rnacentral:lncRNA from 1 species
CCAAGAUUUGUUUUAUGGGUACAUUGCAUGUGAGGUCUAUGGUAGUUCAGAAACAGAAGGUUUUCACGAACUCUUCAUCUCGUUCUUCCAAGUGCCUUGGUGUACACUUUAACAACUUCUCAUGUCUUUAGGCAAUGCAACCAACUCACAGAUGGUUCUGUUGGAAAUAUUGUUUUUCAAUCAACUUCGUAUCUACCUCUACAAAUAUCUAGUUUAGUUUUUUCACUUGAGAUUCUUGUUUUUCUUCUCUUUAAUGUUUAGUUGGGUCAUUCAGCCUCCAAGGUACCAAAAAAUAUCAUACUAGAUCAGUAGGAAUUAGGUGGGACGCAUUCCUCAAAUAGUUUCACAUGUCGGCUCCUAGUGUAUGCGGGCAGCUUCAACAUACAUGCAUACGUACCCCCAGUGUUCCUCAUUGUUCAUCGACAACGGAGACAUACAAGAACAGAAACUAGACCAUGUCCAAAGCCUCACCACAAUCUUUGUUACAUCAAUAGAACUAAUUAGGUCUUUGAUCACCUCGAGAAUGAGGCUAUAUACGCCAUGUGUUAUGGCUGAAAACACUUAUUUGCUAGGGUUAAGAUUGGCAUAAUCUGUAGGUCCAUAAGCAAAGAACAUGUCAGCCAAGAAUCCCUUCUUCCUUCUUGGGUUGCAUCCCAUGUCUCGGCACAGCUGAUCAUUGUACCAAAUAUGGAGAGCUGCAAUACUAGAUCUUCGGUAAUACUCACCAGAAUAUCGUUUCAUGUACUUCUCCCAUUCUAAAACAUUCUUUUCCAUUUCUCUUAUGCUGGGGAGUUGAAAACCGCCAUCGAGGAAAUGAAAUAGCCACUUAGAUCUCAUCUCCGAUGUAUGUAAGUUCGUAAAGCUCUCCGAGUAACCAAGAAUUGCCAAUUGUGGAAUCCGGGGGUGGAUGCACUCCCUGUCAAAGUUAAAAAUAACUUCCAUUAAACUUAGAUGCAAUUAAGAAUAUGAGACAAGGUCAAUGUAGUAACCAUCUUAAUACAAUUGUUCCUUCGCUAGUAGUUUUUUUUUUUCUUUGAUCUUUCCUUCUUUUUUUUUUUUUAACUAGUUUAAAUUAAGGUGAGAACCAUGUCAAACCUAGAUCAAUAGAACUUGAGUAACACUCAAUGACAAUAGAGUCAUCAUCAAUUAUAGAGAACUAUCAUAUUACUUUUGAUUUCACAUUUGAUGUAAGGGUUAAAUUCGAUAUGCUGCUUAAUGCCUUCUAGGAGACAUGAUAAAAUUGGAUAUAUAUAUGCUAGUCCACCAACUCAAACUAAUUAAUUAAGCACGUGCUAAAUUUAGUAGCACUCGAUUGUAUUUUCUACGGGUUUGGAUUGUAUCUUUCUCCAAAAAAUGAUGGAUUUUCUUGUGCAAAUCAACUGUAGGAUCGCACUUUGCACAGCUUUUAAAAGACAACAAACCUCUUCCUUCCAUCCACAAUACAGAUCAUGAAGCUAAUUGCAUGCUUUAAAANNNNNNNNNNNNNNNNNNNNNNNNNNNNNNNNNNNNNNNNNNNNNNNNNNNNNNNNNNNNNNNNNNNNNNNNNNNNNNNNNNNNNNNNNNNNNNNNNNNNNNNNNNNNNNNNNNNNNNNNNNNNNNNNNNNNNNNNNNNNNNNNNNNNNNNNNNNNNNNNNNNNNNNNNNNNNNNNNNNNNNNNNNNNNNNNNNNNNNNNNNNNNNNNNNNNNNNNNNNNNNNNNNNNNNNNNNNNNNNNNNNNNNNNNNNNNNNNNNNNNNNNNNNNNNNNNNNNNNNNNNNNNNNNNNNNNNNNNNNNNNNNNNNNNNNNNNNNNNNNNNNNNNNNNNNNNNNNNNNNNNNNNNNNNNNNNNNNNNNNNNNNNNNNNNNNNNNNNNNNNNNNNNNNNNNNNNNNNNNNNNNNNNNNNNNNNNNNNNNNNNNNNNNNNNNNNNNNNNNNNNNNNNNNNNNNNNNNNNNNNNNNNNNNNNNNNNNNNNNNNNNNNUGUACCAUUUGCAUUCGCGCACUCUGCUGCAAUGUCCAAAGCUGACUUCAGGAAUCCUACCACUGUAACUCGUUUUCCUUUAAUCAGUUCAGUGGCGCGAGCACUGCCCAUGUUUGAGUAGUCCCUGGAGUGGAUCACCUUUCCAUCAAACACUUCAGGACCCUUGUUUACUGGAAACGUGGGUAUAUUCGGUGUGCCGCUGAAUCGCCCAAUGCAAAGGAUCAAAAAAUCCACUUGGUAUGUCUGCUAUCAGGAAAGAUAUAUGGAGUUAAAGGCUACACUUACGCAUUUGGCUUCAUAAUUGUACAAAUUAAUUAUUUUGAAAAAAAAUCAUAAAUGCACAAAUUAUCUAUUCAUCAUAUCUACAACUAGGAAUUUAUGCCAUUUUAUUUCCGUGUUCGUCUUCUUGGUGGUUAUGUUCACUAUGAUGAUUUCAAAGUUGUAAAUUUUUAUCAAUGCUUCAAAAAAAUUUUUGAAUAGAUUUAGUCUAUCAUGUAUAUCAAUAUUUUGAACUAAAAGGUUCUGCAACCAUUUCAACAACAGUGUGUUGAGAUUGUUAAGUAGAGGUGUAUUGGGACAGUAACAGAAUUUUUUGCAACUCAAAAUACUGAUCUGAUUUUUUUUUUUAUUAGCUUUGUCUACAACAAUAUAUGAUAGAUUGAAUCUAUCCAAAAUUUUCUCAUGCUUCAAGCAUGAAUAGAAUAGAACUCAUCUUUACAGUAUAUUUGUUUUACUGCAUUGAUGUCUUUUAAUUUAUGAUUUCAAUAGAGAUCAGCUGAUUUUACCACUAAGCUGGUCAGCUAUAUAUAUAUAAGAUUGUAUGCUAGACAGGGCAUGCUGCGCAUCGCACAGCACAGAAUCCUCGGAUAUGUUGUUGUACACCGUAAGGUACGGUGCAUAGUGCACCGUCCAUCACAUGAUGCAUGCAUGUUGCAUACGAUCAUCCAUCGCACGAUGACCGUAUGGUGUACAGUAAGAAAAUAUUCGUUGCAACAGUGAUAUCAUGUCACCGUGGUAACAAAUCAAUGAAAAAUUGAGAAUAGGUGGAAUAUACGAAACAGUAUAAAAUAUUAUUUAUAAAAAUCAAUAUAAUAUAUGAUAAUUGAAAUAUAAAAAUUUUUAUUGAUUUAUUAUAAAUUUGGUACGAUAUCACCGUUGCAAUGAUUAUUUUUUCGUGCACAGCAGAGGAUCCACGCGGCAUGCGCUCUCAGUUCAGCUCACGGGAGGAUUAAUUAAGAGUAAUGAAGCUAUGUCUUACCUCUGGGGACCCAUCCUCCCCUUUCUGCACUGCGAUGUGCCACUCCCCCCGCCGCCCACCGCCGAACGCCUCGCCGUUUCCGGCCCACAGCUCCCACGCCAUGAUCUCCUCCUCCUUAGCCCCGACGUACUCGACUUCCACCACCCUCGCCUCGAACUCGACGUACCUAAGGAGGUCGAAGUGGCGGGCGUACGACCGCAGGUAGUCCAUCACCUUCCGGUGGUCCGGCGCCGCCUCCGUCACGCUCGCUGGCCACGGGAAGUCCGUGAACUCGUAGAUCGGCCGCGGCGACUGGAGUUUCGUUGAGUCCAGCGUGCGCGCCCACACUCCCCCGAUGUCGGCCUCGGCCUCGAAGACGGUCGGCAAGAAGCCUUUCUCCAACGCGUGCUUGCACGCCACCAGACCACUGACGCCCGCCCCCACUAUGCCCACUCUCUUCUUUUCCAUCCUCCUCUCUUUCUUUUCUUGCGCAGUUCCGCUCUAACUUUCCCCUAGAGGCUAGAGGGUGUGCAGUGUCCUCUUACUACCGGGUGGCAAAUAAAUGGAGUUGAGCCAUGAGCUGGAGGGUUCUUGAUAUUAUCUUCGAAGAAGUGGACAAAAGGAGUGGUAAAUUGGUUGUGAAAAGAUUUUAUGAGAUCGGCCAACGAGUGGUAAAUUGGUUGUGAAAAGAUUUUAUGAGAUCGGCCAACGAGUGGUUGGGGUUAAACAGAAGUCCGAAUUUGAAGAGGAAAUUUCAGAAAAAGUUAGAUGAUGAGGUCGAGAUGGGGAGAGUUGUCCCGACUACUAAUGCCCGGGCUGGUCCCUGAAUGUGUGAUUCUUUUCCGACCGUAUGAUGACUGGUUGACGGGGAUAAGGCGGCCCACCUUUGUUUUGUGGCCUGCGACGCAGAGAAACUCUUUGUGCACUGCAAGCGGUGCGAAACGCGGCACCACUCGACUCAUGCAUGAGGUCAGCAUACGAUGUACGAAAAAAAAAAAAAUUUGAAUUCGUGCCCGAGCCCAUCAUCAUAGAUGAUGCAUGCAAUUUUAUACCAUCUAUGAUGUACAAAAAAAUUUUCACAAUGCAUAGAACAUAACAUGGAUGAUAAAAAAUUAUUGAUUGGAUCAAAUUUUUCAGCUCGAUAGAGCAACAUGCACAAAUAUAGGAGGACAAAAUUAUAUCUUGCAGUGUAUGCAUCUGCAUGGCCUAUCAAUCAUCAAUGUGCAUUUCUGUGAACUAAUCGUGUAGACGACCAUAUGAUGAAUGGAAUCCACAGUAAGGUAUCUCAAUAAGUGGGAGCAUACAAGGCCAGUUGGUGUACGUAGUAUGGAGAAUAAUUUCUCGAAGGAGGAUACUUGCGCAUGUUAAUUGGAUUGGUUUACUGCUAAAUUGAUCGUGGACUUGAUCCAAACUAAUAAUUUUUUUGUACAGGAAUGCUGAGCUAAAUAAGUACCUGAGAACAUUUAUUUCAUGGCACAGCCCAUAUUUAAUGUUUGGCUACCACAUACGACCAGUAAGAUGAGGGGCCUGAUGAAUUAUGCACAAAUCUUAUAGUUAAGUCAUGAAAAGUACAAAAAAUCUUUAUGUGGUAUGACCUAAUAAUAAAUACAAUUUAAUGGUAAUAUUAUUUAUGCUGCCGUCCAGUAGUCUUGUCUCUAGAUAAAUUAUAAGUUUUUUAAAACUUAUAACUUUUAUGAGUUCAUAUGUUUUAAUUUUUGUCGGAAAAAAAAGAGGAUGUGAGAUACUUUACCUAAUUUAUUUAGUGCAAAAUUUAUAUAUACAAAUUAAGAAAAAAAAAAAAAGAAGAGAUAAGGAAUCAAACCAAAUGGAGCAAUGCAAGCUAAAAUUACUUGAUGAUUUUUCCUCCCAUUGCUAUUUAAAUUGAUCGGAGUCGAAAGAUGAAUAUUUGAAAAUUUCAUGUGGCGGUGCUAGUACUGGAGUGACCUGCAAAUCUCAAAUUAGAAGUUGUGAUUCCGACGAAAUCCCUCCUACGCUCAAGUCAGAAAAGCAGAGAAUGAAAAAGCAGCAACGAAUUCUCUGAGAGGGAUUUGAUUGAAUUUACCUGGAUCCUUAGGGCUUUGAUUGUUUAUAUAGAUGAAUGUCGGACAACUAGAUUGUUAUCUAUGAGAUUGUAUGAUCUCGAGAUUGUCGGAUCGUUGGACAUGUCAAACUGGACGAGAUAAUUCAGCCUUUAAUCGCUCCCGUGAGAUCAGAAGAGAUGGUUUUCGUCAAAUCUUAUAUAUUCGAGAUAGACAGCUGUCACACACGUUGAAGAGAUAAAUCGACUAAGUAGCUCAUACACAGGUCAGAUCUCGGAGAUGCCUUAGCUCAUCAUAAAAAUAGACUCCUCAGCUUAUACGACAGUCAACGAUCGUAUUGAUGAUCCAAAAAUUUAACAUGUAUUACGAUAUAGUACUGAUUCGAGACACUCGUAGUAGCCACCGUAACACCUCCUUUUCUCAUUUCAAAUGCAGUGUAUCAACGGAGCAUCUCUCCCUCAAGAAAAAUCCAAGCAUUUCUUUCCAACAUAUAGACCAACAUAUCGUGACGUGUACUCGGUCCCACACUCUUCUUCAUGAUGGCUUAAUCCUAACCUAUUGCGCUGUACGUUACAAAUUUCAUAAAUAUUUGCCCGUUGAGCUUUUAGAUUGAGAGACGGUUCCAAAUGCUUCUGGCCACUGGGCAUCUGACAAAGAUGUGAGAAACCGACGAGAAUUUAAACUUUUGAUUACAUUAUCUCCCUCUGAAGUUUUGAUUAAUAUGCCAGCUUCUCUGCCUUUGCUUCUGGCCUCUUGCUCCGAAUGCCCAUCGCCGCUGGCCCACCUGGCCGACAAGAGCAGCUCGUCCAUUCCGCCAGCCAGCAUAUUGUAGAUGUUUUUUCCGAGUGGAUGUUUUCUUGUUCCUGGUUGUGGAAAACGUAGUAAGAGAUUUAUAGUUUAGGAAAUGUUAGAGUCAUCAUAUCUUGGUUACGUGGUAACCUUUAAUUGGCAAAAACUCAUAGUACUUUGCAGAAUUUAUUUAUUUUUAGUUUGUUCCUAGAAUCAUUGGCUAGUAGAUCAAUCAGGUGACGAGAUCUUUGUAGAAAAUUUGCUACCGCCAAACUUUGUAGAAAAUUCAAGUUCAACUUAGGAAGGCAGAACGGCUGUCUAAAAACGUUAUGAACUAUAAAUGUUUAUCAAGGAUUUGCCAUGAGGUAAUUAAAAAAAAAAAGUCAAGUGUGCAUCUUGAGCAUCACUAUUAUUUCCAUAACUACAUUGGAGUUGGUAACAAAUCCUAUCUAAACAACUAACAAGAAAAUUUUUCACGACAAACCAUACUGUGUUUUGUUUAGGGCCCUGUCUUGAUCAGUAAUCUUUGAUGCUAGUUGAAUUGGAUUUAGAAAUUUCACAUAGGUAAUAUCAAACGUAAUGUAUUAUAUAUGCUUGUCUAUAAAUUAUAGGAUGUCUCCAUCUUGAACACGAGUACACCGCAGUACCCAUGACAGCAUUGCACUAUGUGAUGCACCGCAUAUACCGUCCAUUGCAUGAUAGAUGACUAUAUGCGACUGUAUAUGAUAUGCAUCGCACAGUCUCAUACCUGUUCGCAACCAUCCAUCAUGCGAUAGAUAGUACAUAUUAUGUGAUUGAUGUCUGCAUGCAGAGUCACGUAUGACGUGCAUCGUAUAGUCCAGCAUCCAUUCACAGCCAUCUAUAAUGCGAUGAAUGGUGUAUAUAAUGCAUCGUAGAGGAUCCGUACUCCACCCUAUCACCUAUUAGGGGUGAGCAAAAAUAUCCGAAAAAUCGAUUAACCGAUCCGAAAUCGAAAAACUAAUCCAAAAAAUGCAGUUAAUUGAACCGUUGGUUUCGAUUUCGAUUUAGAUUAUUUAAAAAACUUUCGGUUUCGAUUCGGAUUCGAUUUUUUCUUUAAAAAAAUAAUGGUUAACCGAACCAUUAUAGAUAUAUAAUAUAUAAAAAGUAUGAUUUAUAUAUAAUAUGUAGUUGAAUUAGUUAUUUUUGUUAAGGAUAACCGACAGACUCAGAGUUUGAAUUAUAGUUUCACACAUUUAUUUUUUUAUAUUUUUUGAUUUAAAAAUUAAAAAAAAAUUUAGCUUCAUUCCUUACUCACUCUUCAAUGCCUCUCAAUCGUAGAUUUUUAUUUUAUCAUUGAUAUAUUUUAUCAUAAAAAUUAUAAUAUUAUUAUGAUGGAUAUUGUCACGAAGAUUUUAUUAUGAUGUAAAAUUAUUUAAUAUUUUUAUAUAUAGAUUAAAAAAAUUGAUUAAUUAAUUAAUUAAUUAAUUUAAUAUGGUUAACCGAUCAUUGAAUGGAUCGAUUAUGAUUUAUAAUUUGAAAAAAUUGAUGGAUUCAAUUUGGAUUGAAAAUUUGAGUAGUGAUCCGAUUAAUCGAGCCAUGCUCACCCCUACCACCUAUACACAACCCACCUACUUCAAUCAAUCCAUUUUAGUCUGGACUAUUCGCCAUUCAACCUAUUUUUCUGGUCAAGGGUCGUGGCUCCCGGUCAUCUCCUGUACGAGCACGGCACCUUACUCUAUCACCGACGGUGCACGUCACUGUAACGAAAGACAACAUUGAUAAGCAUAUGAGAGAGACAUAAAUGAGCCGUGUAGAACCACUCCAACAUAGUGACUCAAACAACUAAUAUACCAAAUAAGGUCUGAAGCCAUGUCAACGAUUGUAGCGUAAAUUUUCCAACCUGACUGCUAUUCGCUUUCUCGAAAAGUUUAAUUGCCAAUUGAUUGUUCUGUCUAAUUAUUGAAAAUUUUAUUACCUGAUUCCAAUAGAUGCAUUUAAUCUAGGUUAAUUUAAUUUUAUCUAAAUUUUCAAAAAAAAAAUUUAAUUACUUGCCGUAAUAGUGAAUCGAAAAAAAAUUGCCAAUCUCUGCUUAGUUCCUCCCAUUGAGAUGGAGACAACACUACAUCCUCAAGGCCGAAAAAUAUAAGGGCAAUGCAAAAUUAAAAAGAUUUGAAAAAUAUGAAACAAUACCAUUUCUAAUGAAUUUAAGUAAUAAAAUAAUUAAGAAAAUGAAACGAUAUAGCAAGGUUAGGGUAUCGCCUUUGAGUUAAGAGGUCAAGUUUAAUCUUGAGGAUUUGCCCGAGUGGGAGUAGCGUUGUACGAUAAUGAUAUGGGGCUCCACUUAAUCAUCCCAUUAAUGCCUCGUGCUGACGUCGCAUAUCGCAAGAGGCAAGAGGCUGCUUGCAUUGUUAGUGCGAUUCGUGAAGAGAUAUAUGAAAAUAUGUUACGAUAGCAUGUAGGAUCCUUGCAGCGCAAUAACGCAUUUUGUUUUUCUAAAGUUUAAAGCAGGGUGGUUGCAUCUCAUUUGCGUAUUACGAUAGCAUGUAGGAUCCUUGCAGCGCAAUAAAGCAUUUUGUUUUUCUAAAGUUUAAAGCAGGGUGGUUGCAUCCCAUUUGCGUAUACUGUCCAAUAAACAGAAUCAUUUGUCCCAAUUGACGGUUACUCUUUCCCAAAGUGCUGUUGUCCCAAAGAUCUGGUCAGUGAUCUACAUGAUGCAGUCCAUAAUUUAAAAUUACGGGUACGUUUUUUCUCUCACAAAGCAAGUACUGAGGUCCAUGCAUGAUGAAAGUCCGCUAAGUUUGCCAAAAAAAAAAAAAAAAUGUCCGCUAAAUUCCAAAUGAAGAAGUUAUGUGUGAGAAGUAUUGAUAUGUACGUGAUUUGAAAGCUUCUCUUUUUCCUCCUCUUCUUUUGUUCUCAUUCACGCUAUGGUCCCAAUAAUUUAUAACAAUUAAAGGUUGGUUGUGACAUAAACAAGCCCAUGCUGGCUAUUUUUUAAUGUAUUUGUCUUUUUAAGUUCAACGUCGUGUUUGUGUGUACAUACGGAAUUGGAUUGUAUUUUUCAUACAAAAAAAUUCACCAACCUUCAUAUAAAUUAUCAUUAUAUCAUACACCGCACAAACCUUAAAACAUUACAAACUUCAUCACAUGCACACACGCGGUCGCGUAUAAUAUAUAAUUUUAAAAGUAUUGAUUCUUGAGUGUUCAAGUGGUUGCCAAUAUUGAUUAGCUUAGUUGAUUGAUUAUUUUUUUUUUAAUAAAUACUUGUAUUGAGAGAAUUGAGGAUUUAAAUCUUGUUAAUGGCAUAUCGUUAUAUUGUUUUAAAAAAAAUAAAAGAUUAGGUUGUGCAAGAAAUAAUGAGAGUAUAUCAUCAUCAAUUAUUUUAAAAUAAAAAAAAAUCAGAUUGUGCAAGAAUGGCUGCCGCUUAGCAUGACACGCCAAAAUAAUGUGGUACGGCAAAAAUUUUCCAUACCUUUUUACGUCAAAAAGAAAAAAAAGAAAAAAAGAAAGCAGUUUAUACUCAAUGAAUCGAUCCGGUGAGCUAUUCUUCAUUUCAUUUGCACUUUUUUAUCUUGUAGCCAUUUAGACAUAUCCAACAAAAAAUCUUGGCUUGUACGCUAACUACCAUUGCCCCUCUGGCCGGUGAUGAUCAUCAUGGAUCGAUGUGAUGCAUUCAUGGAUGAACUAAUUUGCAAUGAUGGAUAGUUUUUUGCUUAUUUAAUAACAAGAAUCUUACACAGGAAAACAUAAGGGAAGGGAAAAAAAAUCACAUAUGCAAGCCGCCGCGAUGACAACAUAGAUAUUAAAAAAUAUAUAUAUAUAUAUAGAUUAAAAUGCUAAUAGUAUGAUUGAUUGGAUGAUUCCGUAUGUGGCCAGUCAUCCUAAAAUCAUGCUAUAGGAUUUUUCGAUAGAUCUUCCUCUUCAAUUGUUAAAUAUUUUGUUUGUUGAUUUCAAUAGAUAUAUUUAUAUUUGAAUGAUUUAAUUUAUCUGAUUUAUUUAAAAAAAAUGUUGGCUCCAAGAAAACCAGGUCUUCCGUUAAUAUUGCAAAGGGACAACUAGGUCAAAUUGGGUCAGUACCUUUGGGCCUGUUCCAGCUAGGUGAGUAACCAUGAUGUGAUUAAAUUUGGGGCCGGCCCGGCCCUUUGACAUCUCCAAGUGAAAAGUUGUCUCCGAAACCAUGGGAUUUUUUAAUGAGCAUCGUUAUGCUUUGAUCUCUAAAUCAAAGUGCCAUUCUGGGAUAUAAUUCCUUGGAUUUUAUAUUUGGGUCCACUAUGUUUUUGUAUACUAUCUCCUCAGAGUGAAGUUCACAUAAUCAAACAAUAGUUCACAUAAAAUGGGAUAGAGCAAGCAAACUCUUGGUUCAGACCAUUUUGCAAAGACACAUUAUAAUAGAAAAUGCUCAGGGUUUGUUGGGAUGGUUGGGUCAUAAACUUGACCAACAUAACCAUUCAACCUAAGCUGAACUAGGCGAUAUUUAUAAACAUCUAUAAUGCCUUUGGAAUAAGCCUCCCUGAAUCCCAUAAGAAGGGAAAAAAAAAUCUGUCGAGGCUUUUUUCCUUUUUUUUUUUUUUUAAUAAAUAGUUCACAUAGAUCCGCAAUUAGAAUUUGGAGGCUCUUUUCAAGGAGUUUGGGAUUAUAAGUACCCAUCAGUUCCCUUCCCUGAAAUGGUCGUCGCCUCAGCCUAUCAUAUAAAGAUUAGGAGGAGCUCUAACCCCGCCUGCUACCUUCUAUGGCCUUUAUCAUUAUACCACCCCAUCCCACCUAGGACACCUAAGCCCCCAGACAAACCGAGCCAACAAUCAAAAAUCGAGAUUUUAUUGGCUCACGCCAUUUAGAAUUGAACCUCCAACCUCUUGCUCAAAGAAAGAGAGAGAAUGCCAUUUAAGCAAGUGCUUGGUGGUUCAGUGCUUGAAUGCUCCAGUCCACACCAUGUGUAGAUCUAAGGGGCUGCAUUUGAUAAAUGCAAUUGGAUGCAAAUUAAUAUUAGGUGCUGCCUGCAACAGCAAGUUGCUAUAUAUGUAGCAAAUACCCAGGCAAACGUCUCAUAUUUAUUACUAAAAUACUAUGCACCAUAAGAGAGUUCUAGGAAACCUCUCAUCACAUUUCUUGCUACUACCUCCAAAGAUGCACUUUCCCAGUAUAUCGAGGCCUCAACUGGACGGACGGUUAGCUACUGGCAUCAUCACAUACAAUGGGCAAAUCGUAGUGAGAAUCUUACGAACUUCCAUGCCACUUAUUUAGUCACCAGCCAUCAUAGCCAACUCGCCGAGAUUACCUCAAAGCUUGCUAGCACCCUUCUUGAAGAGGCUCCCCAUGGCCUUUGCCUUCUCCCUAAGGACAAACUUUUGCGUCUUCCCAGUCGAAGUCUUGGGAAGAUCUUCAAAAACAACAGUGCGAGGUGCCAUAUAGUGUGGCAGUCGGGCACGACAAAAUCUAAUAAUCUCUUCAGCACCAACAUGAGUACCCUCCUUCAACUUCACAAAAGCACAGGGUGUCUCACCCCAGUAAUCAUCUGGUCGUCCAACCACUGCUGCCUCCAGCACUGCUGGAUGACCAAACAGCACAGACUCAACCUCUAUAGUGCUUAUAUUCUCCCCGCCUGAAAUUAUAAUAUCUUUCGAUCGGUCCUUGAGCUUUAUGUAUCCAUCAGCAUGCCUCACUCCAAGGUCUCCAGAUCGAAACCAUCCUCCAGACAACGCUUCCUUGGUUGCAUUCAAAUCUUUGUAGUAUCCAUUCAUGACUGCGUUGCCUCUGAACAUCACCUCCCCCAUGGUUUUCCCAUCAGCUGGAACACUUUUUAAAGUAACUGGAUCUUUCACAUCUAACUCCUCGAUUGCAAGAUGCUGAAGUCCCUGGCGGGACUUGAGUCUUGCACGCUCCUCGGCAGAGAGGGAGUCCCACUCAGGCUUCCAUGUGCAAACUGUCCCAGGACCAUAGGUUUCUGUCAGGCCAUAGGAGUGGAUGACAUGGAAACCAAGUUCUUCCAUCUUAAAUAGAACCUGGGGAGGUGGUGGUGCAGCGCCUGUCAUCACAGUCACUCUUCCAGGCAAUGGUUUCUGCUCAGCAAUUGGAGCAUUCACAAUCAUGUUGAGAACUGUGGGUGCACCACCCAUGUGGGUGACCUUAUGCAGGGCAAUGUUUUCAAAAAUAACCUCUGCAGAGACAUUUCUAAUGCAGAUGUUUGUCCCACCUUGAGCUGCUAUACCCCAAGGGAGGCACCAUCCAUUACAAUGGAACAUGGGCACAGUCCACAGAUACACUGGCAUUGUGGUCAUGUCAUUGAGGAGGACUGUCGCGAUGGCAUUUAGGUAGGCUCCCCGGUGACUGUAGAUAACACCUUUGGGUCUGGAUGUGGUGCCAGAUGUAUAGUUUAGUGAGAUAGGGUCACAUUCAUCAACAGGCCAUUUGAUCUCAAACUGAGAAGGUGCAGUCUUCAGAAGAGUUUCAUAUUCCUCAUUCACUGAAGCAGCGAAAUUUGGAACUGCAGGAGGUGAUCCACAAGAUUCUGAGAUUAUAACCAGAAAGGGAGGUUUUGCUCGGGCUUGGGAGAGAAGUUUCAGUGCUCCUUGGGCGACCUCAAGUAAUUGAUAGUCCACAAACACAACUUUAGCCUCAGAGUGCUUCAGAAGGACUGAUAGCAUGGCUGAGUCAUGGCGUGUAUUAAGUGUACAGAGGAUUGCACCAGUCAUUGGCACACCAAAAUGUAGUUCAUACAUUGCUGGAACGUUUGGAGCAAGUACAGCUACCUGAUUCAACAAGCAGCAGCCGGUUACAGCAAUGACAAACCACAUGCAAAUGUAAAAAGAAAAUUGCAAGAAAAAUCAUACUUUAAUGCAGAAUGUAAAUUCAGAAAUUGAAAUCACAGUUUGCAAGAUAUAUCUUAAGGUCUGAAUGAUCAUAACUGAUGAUUGUACUAGUUUUGCAACUGAAGGUCACUAAAGGUUUUGCAGAUGCAUCACUUCUUUAGUUUUGCAGAUUUUUUUUUCUUGUUGUGGUAUUCUUGAGUAAAAAGUUUCACUUUCAGCUCCCUCUCUUCUCUUCAGGAAAAAAACAAAGAGAACAAGUUAGGGCAUGUCUGGCAUUGCUUUUAUUUCUCUUUUUUCAAAUGGCAGAAAGCAAGAUACAAACAUGUUUGAUGCUAUUAUUUUAUAUUUUAAAAUUAUUCUAUUAUUUCUAAAAAAUAAAAAUAAAAAAGUAAGAAAUUCUUAUUUUCACUAUUCUAAAAAAAUAAGAAAUUCAUGCCUUCUACCAUCAUUGUUACACUACUUUCAUCGUCACUAUCAUCAUUGCAUCGCUACUGGCAUCAUCUCCAUCACCAUCACUGCCAUUGCUAUUGCCCCCAACAUCAUUGCUGUCUCCACCACUACCAUCACUGCUGCCAUUGUCUUCAUCUUCACAACAAUCUCCAUUAUUAUCAUCUCCACUACCUUCACCAUUGCUACUGCCACUGCCACCAUCUCUACUACAUAAUUGUUGCUACUACAGUCUCUAUCACACCACCACCACUAUUAUUACCACAACCACCACAUCAUUGAUGCUCUCACCCUUGCCACAGUCGCCACCACCACCACACUACAGCUUCCGUUAUCUUCCCACCACUACCAUUGUCUCAGCCACCAUCAUUAUGUUUAUUUUUUAAAAAUAAUUAAUUAUAUCAAACAUGUUUAUAUUUUUAAAAAAUUAGAUUAAAAUAAAAAUAAAAUUUCUAUUUGCUAUUUCUUUUAAAAAGAAAAAUGAAAGUGAUGCCAAAUGGCACCUUAGUUUUUUUGUUCUAGAUGAAGCAUAAUAAAAGGAAACACUAGCAUGCAAGGGUGACUAAAUUAAUAGGCAAACAAAUUUCCGAAGGAUAUUAUACAGCAGAAUUUAGGAGUGUUAAUGAUUCAUCAAAAUUCACAUCAAGCAAUGCUACUAGCAAGAGAAUUAGUUCUCUUUUCAUGAUCCAUCUUAUAAAAUUAUAGUAUAUGUAGUUUUCUUAAGGUUAGUACUUCUCCAAAAAAAACAUAAGAGAAAGCAAGCAACUCCCCUUGGAUAUGUGGAACCAUUCCAAUUCAAUAUACAAAAUAAUGACUGCAUUGUAUCCACAUUAACAAUAUGAGAAUAAAUUGCAGAAACGAGGAAAUAAAAGAGUUAAGGAGGAAAGAAUCAUAUUGAUCUAAGGGUGCAAUUUCUGGUCCAGCUUAACGCUUUUGUUCUAUUUGACAAGUUUGACUGAGGUGCAAUGUACAUAAUCGCAUGAUCAGUUGGGCAAGUGCAUAGACUGAAAACAAAACAAUUUGUUAUACAGCAAACAAUGACCUACAAUCUCGGUGCUAGUUGUUAUGCCAAUACACUACUGGUUCAGUACAGUACAGUACAAUACACAUCUUGUUCUGAGACUCCUUUUUCUCAUUUUUUACCAUAGAUGCCCGAAAUCAGAUGGUAUGCAUACCAAUUCCAACUUGGUAGGAUAUAGUACGCCCUGAAGCAGGCAAUUCAGGGUGGUAUAGCAAACAAUGAAGCUGGUAAUUCAUAAUAUUCAUUAGGUAUGGAGACUGUUGAACAUGUCAGUAUACUAGGCACAAUUAUUAGUUGUCAUAAAAACUGCAUUCCAGUGUACAGCAACAUGAAAAAAAGAGAGAAAAACCUGUAUCAAGGAAAUGACUAGAAGAAAUGCAAAUGAAUCUAUAUUCAUUGGUUCCUUUUCUAUGACUUUAAAGUCUUUUAUUGCACCAAAAAUGAUCUCAACCUUCUUUUAUACCAAUUAAUUUAUGAAACUGUUGAUACACUAUAAUUUUGCGAGCAAAAGAAGUUAAAUAAGAAAAUUAAACAUAAAGAUGGACAAGGUGAAGCAGCUAACAGGUUAUCAAGAUUUUCUUCUUUGUUUGAUUGCAACUCAUGUAACCUAGUAUGUAUAUUAAUGAUGAUCCUCAUGAUGAUCCUCAGUUACUUUUUUUUGUUAAGAAGACAUUACACUCAAUUAUAUCAUGUUCGAUAGUUGCAUAUGCUUUCAAGGGUUCAAGCUGAAUAAGCCUGAAUGUGUAUGGACGAGGCUAUCACAAGAUUCAGAAGUUAGAUUGUUCAUUUGUCAUCUAUCUUUCUAUAAUCCAUAAACAGUCAACAAUAUGUUAAAUCCAACCAUCUCCAUACUUAAUUAAACCGGUGCUGUUAUGAUGGGUUCUCCAAGUUACAUGGAUGGGGAGGUUGGAUCAGUAACUAUAAUCAUUAAAGAGUCAUCCAUAAAUUAAAUCCAACCAUCUCCAUGCCAACUUUAUUUCUCUUUCUUAAAAUGUCAUGAAGGGCCAUGAAAUGAAGAUUUUAUGAAGAGGAGGAAAUUCUUCACCAUGUCCCUCAACAGUUCUUCCCGAUAUCUACAGGAAGAUACAAGUUAGAUACAUGAUCUGAGAUCAUGAUACAAAAUGCAAAUGCAUCUCUCUUUCCACUGUUCUCAAAGCUCUAUAUUUAUAUCCUCGAGGUUGACCUUUUGUACAAUAACCUAUGCCAACAUCAGUUUCCUAUUGAGGAUCUAUAUGGGCUACCUCCUCUAUUUUUUGACCUGGAUUUUUUUUCAUUGAUAUGGGAUAUCAAAAGACAACUAUAUUAAAAAAUUAGUAUUUAAGCGAACCCAUAAAUAUCAUCUGCCCUGUGGGAAUUGGAGGAUAGAAGAGAGCAACUCUGGUCAGAUUUUGCUUAAAAGACCUUGCUUAUAAUCCAUAGAUUAAAAUUUAUAUUUAUGAGAUCUUUUCUAGUUUACAGAGUAGAGGAAUCUGCACAAAAUUCUCUUCAGGUAGUCAUAUAGUUUAGAUGUGAAUUUAAAACCUUGGUUACUAUUAGUUUGAACAGUUAUUAACAUUUUCUGAUUAUAAUCAUAUUCAUGACUUUGUUAAUCUACUAAAGUUAAGCCACUUGGCAUGUAUAGGAGGUGCAAUGACAUCCUGUAAAUUUGGCCGAUUAUAUGAUUGUUUAAAUUUUGCUAAUCCUUUCUCUUCCUUCUCUCAUUCCCUAGUUUUCAUCUUUCAACUAAUAGCUAAUAAGAACUUUUGCAUGCAAGUCCCCUGAUCUAAUGCGUCAGAACUACCAAACCAGAGUAGCAUAAAAACAAAGCUAUCAAUUUGAAUAGCUUGGCGAUUAAAAUGAGAAACUAAAGUAAAGAGGAAUAUUGGGAGAGUAGCGCUGGCUCCUUAAUGCCUAUCACAAUGCCCGUGGAUCAGUGAGCAAGCCCUAGUGCAGUAUACAUGAGGGCAAUGCACUUCCUCAAACAAUCCAAGUUUCCUACAUGAGGGCCGGAAAUCUGGAACGGUGCUAGUAAAUACUUCUCUAUACCAUCAAUGCUGAUUAAAUCAACUCUGGUUUCGCAACAUCUUCCCUUAAGAAUCGAAAAACAGAGCAACCCAUAUAGUGAUCGUAAAUUAUAGGGAAGCAGACGACCUAAUAAACCAGAAUUAUGUUUGAUUGAAGUAUAAACGCUAAGAAGCGAAAUGACUGAGCAGAGAAAAUCAGCAAUGCAAUUGAAUUACGGCAAAAGUAAACACUAAACAAAUUUCACAAGUGCAGAAUUUAAUGCUAGACAGAGCGAAAACCCAAAAAAUAACUGAUUAGCGCAAAAAAUACACACCAAUUACCCACAAGAACGGAGCUUAUCAGAUUGGCUAAGAAAAAAGUUCGAGAAGAUAAACUGAAAGAUUGUAAAUAGAAACUAAUCGCAAACACCAUCAUCAGAAAUAGCCGAAAAUUUUAUCGAAAAAUCUCAAACUAGAAGCUCCCAUCGAUCAAGAAACCGGAAGCAGAGAAGGAAAGAGAGCUUACGACGUCGCCGCGAGAGAUCCCCAAGCGGGAAAGAGCGGAGGCGAGGCGGAGGCAGCGAUCGCGGGUCUCCCUCCACGAGUAGGUGGUGGAGCCAUGGACGACGGAGGCGCAAUCACCGUAGACGACGGCGGCGCGCUCCAAGAAGCUUAUUGGGGUGAGGGGAACGUAGUUGGCUGAGCACCGGACCGCGCCCUCCAUCAGGUACUGCUUCCCUUCCUCGCUCCCACUUCCUGUCCUCUUGAUCCUCUCAGUGGAGAGAAAAAGAAGCCUAUACGGCCGCUGUCGGGACGCGGAUUUUUGGACCGUAGUGAUAGAAACGGAUGCCGUCCACUGUCCGAGUUUUUUUUUUUUUUUUUUUUUUUUUUUAUGUAGUAAGUUAUCCUUUCUAUCGGAGUAAUUACGUGCCCAUCUAAUAUUUUAAAAAUAGAUAUAUAAUUUUUAGAUCAAAUUAAAAAAAUUAAAAUUUAAAAAAUAAAUAAAAUAUAAAAUAUGUUAAGAUUUAAAUAAAUUAGAUGAUGAUGAUAUUAUUAGAAAUUAUCAAAUAGAUUGAUAUUUUAUUUAAUAAAAAAAUAUUCAUAAGAAAUUAAAUAUCAUAUAUAAAGUAAAAAUUAGAUAGUAAAAUAUAUAUUUUUAAAAUUUUGAAGGAGGAUCGAUAAUUAACUAAUUAUCUCAGAUUUUGAGGAAGUUUAUUGUAAUUUUAUUUUUUUUAGAAAGAAAUGGAGAAACAACGGCUCCAUAAUUAUAAAAUUAAAUCAAGGCAUAGUUAUAAAAGAGCGGAGAUAUUUUUUUUUCUUGUGAUUGGUUGUCCUUUGUCCUUACCUACCUAUAUAUUCUAGUCUAUAUUAACGAGGAAAGGGAGAGCCCGUCGGACACUUAUGGCCGCACAUGUAUCCCACGACAGCCGUUGUGAUGGAGUCCGUAUGAUUUAUAAUUAUAUGCUGCUGUGGGCCCAGAUGGAAGAUAAUGGUGGCUCUUAAAUUGUCUACCUCUGGUCACCUUACAUAUUUUGAUUUUUUAAUAUUUUAAUUUUAAAUAAAUUAUAUUUUUAUUUUUAAAUUAAAUUAAAUUUUAUUAAAUAAUUUCUAAAUUAUGUAAUCCUAAACUUUAGUCUCCGUACAUUCUGAAUCAUUUUAAUGCAGUCUUUUCUUCGAAUUCCAACUACUUUCUCUUAUCGAAAAUCUUAGCUAACAAUAAUCGGUGCUUAUGUCGCUAGAAAUAUCUAGCGAAUAUGAUAUAGCACAGAUGACGUGGAAUGAUGGAUAAAAAUUUUUAUUUGUUGAAAUAGUAUAGGUGAUGAUAUGAUAUCUGUUGCGAUUUUUUUUCAGUAGUAUCCUAUCAUUUAGUGACACGUUGAAAUAUAGAAAGUUUGAUUUGAACCUAAGAAGAAUGAAAGCAAAAGAGGAUAAAUAAAAGAGAAAAAAAAUAAAUUCUAUUUUUGAUUCAUUUAUUUUUUGGACUUGCUCAUACUACUCCAAUCGGAAUAAAUAUCUGAGAUCCUUAGUUGCAUAUUCCACGAUUACUAACCUACUUUUUUUCGAGAAGAAAUUCAACAGCAAUAAUAAGCUCAAUAAUGGCAAAACUGAGAACAUGGAGUUUGCAUAUUUUUUUGUUGUCACUGUUAUGUUCAUAAUAAUGAUUUUUAAAUCUCUGAACCUGAUCUGCUUUGAGAUCAUCUCUAGAUCUGGAUCCGGCUCUCUGUUUUAAAUAUUGCUGUCAUUUUCAACUUUUUGAAUACACCAAUGACUCAUCCUUCAUCAGAAUGAUCAUCUUCUUUGCCAUCCUGCUGGAAAGAUUAAACUAAAUCUCAUUAGAAAAUCAAAAGAUCUAAUUAGAAUUUUUUUUAAAAUAUAAGGAUGAUUUAAGAGUAUUUAUGAAAUUUAGAUGAUGAAAAAUAUAAUUUAUAAUAUAUAGAUAAUGAUGUGGUAUAGGUGACAUAGCAUAUGGAUACUGGCGUUAGAUUGGAUUACUAAUGUAGGACUCGAUGAUUGGAUAUUUUUGAUACGGCCGCACCUAAGAAGCUUAUAGGGUGAGGGGAACGUAGUUGGCGGAGCAUCGGACCUCACCCUCCAUCAGGUACUGCUUCUCUUCCUCGCCCCCACUUCCUGUCCUCCCGAUCCUCUUAGUGGGGAGAAAAAGAAGUCGAUAUGGCUGCUAUUUGUGACGUGGAUUUUUGGACUAUAGUGAUAGAAAUGGAUGCUUUCCGACGUCAGUAGUUUUUUUUUUUUUGAGUAAAUUAUCCUGACCCUUGAAAUUUGGAGUAAUUAUGUGCCCCAUCUAAUAUUCUAAAAAAGACACAUAAUUUUUUGAUCNNNNNNNNNNNNNNNNNNNNAGUUUUUUUUUUUUUGAGUAAAUUAUCCUGACCCUCGAAACUUGGAGUAAUUAUGUGCCCCAUCUAAUAUUCUAAAAAAGACACAUAAUUUUUUGAUCAAAUAGAAAAAAUUAAAAUUUAAAAAAUAAAUAAAAUAUAAAAUAUGUUAAGACUUAAAUAAAUUAGAAGAUGAUGAUGAUAUUAAUAGAAAUUACCAAGAUAGUUUAUUUUAUAAAAAAAUAUUCAUAAGAAAUUAAAUAUCAUACAUAAAGUAAAAAUUAGAUGGUAAAAUAUAUAUUUUUAAAAUUUUGAAGGAGAAUCGAUAAUUAACUAAUUAUCUCAGAUUUUGAGGGAGUUUAUUGUAAUUUUAUUUUUUUUUUAGAAAGAAACAGAGGAACAAUGGCUCCAUAAUUAUAAAAUUAGAUCAAGGCAUACUUAUAAAAGAGCAGAGAUAAUUUUUUUUCCACGUGAGUGGUUGUCCCUUGUCCUUCCCUAUCUAUGCAUUCUAUUCUAUAUCGACGAGGAAAGGAAGAGACUGCCGGAUACUUAUGUCCGCACGUGUAUCCCAUGACAGCCCUUGUGAUGGAGUCCGUAAGAUUUACAAUUAUAUGCUACUGUGGGCCCAGAUGGAAGAUGGUGGUGGCUCUUAAAUUAGCAGCCUCUGGUCGCCUUACAUAUUUCAAUUUUUUAAUAUUUUAAUUUUAAAUAAAUUAUAUUUUUAAUUUUUUAAUUUAAAUUAAAUUUUAUUAAAUGGCCCCUAAACUACAAAAUUCUAAACUUUAGUCCAUGUAUUUUCUGAAUCAUCUUAACGUAGUUCUUUCUCUGAAUUUCAACUACUUUCUCUUAUCGAAAAUCUUAGCUAGCAAUAAUCGGUGUUUACGUGGCUAAAAAUAUUUAACGAAUAUGACAUGGCACAGAUGACAUGGAAUGAUGGAUAAAAAUUUUUAUUUAUUGAAAUGGUAUGAGUGAUGAUAUGGUAUACUUUUUUCAAUAGUGUCCAAUCAUUUAGUGAUACAUUAGCAUCCAUAGAUGAUGUGACAUAGAUGGCAUGGUAUGAAAUAUAGAAAGUUUGAUUUAAACCUAAGAAGAAUGAAAGCAAAAGAGGAUAAACAAAAGAGAAAGAAAAUAAUUUUUAUUUUUGAUUUAUUUAUUCUCUGGACUUGCUCAUGCUAUUCUAAUCGGAGUAAACACCUGAGAUCUUUAGUUGCAUAUUCCACGGUUACCAACCUACUUUUUUUCAAGAAGAAAUUCGACAGUAAUAGCAAGCUUAGCAACAGCAAAAUUGAGAAUAUGGAGCCUGUAUAUUUUUUCGUUGUCACUGUUAUAUUCAUAAUAAUGAUUUUUAAAUCUCUGAACCUGAUUCACUUUGAGAUCAUCUCUGAAGCUGGAUCCGGCUCUCUGUUUUAAAUAUUACUAUUAUUUUUAACUUUUUGAAUAUAUUCAAUGACUCAUCCUUCAUCAGAAUGAUCACCUUCUCUGCCAUUCUGCUGAAACGAUUAAACUAAAUCACAUUAGAAAAUCAAAGGCCCUAAUUAGAAUUUUUUUUAAGUAUAAAGAUCAUUUAAGAAUAUUUAUGAAAUUUAGAGGAUUAAAAAUAUAAUUUAUGAUAUAUAGACAAUAAUAUGAUAUAGGUGAUGUAGCGUAUAGAUGUUGAUAUUAUACUAAGUUACUGAUGUAGCAGUCGAUGAUUGGAUAUUUUCAAUACGACCGCACUCAAGAAGCUUAUAGGGGUGAGGGGAACAUAGUUGGUGGAACGCCGGACCGCACCCUCCAUCAGGUACUACUUUCCUCCCUCGCUCCCACUUCCUGUCCUCUUGAUCCUCUUAGUGGGGAGAAAAAGAAGCCGAUCAUUAUCUGGGAUGUAGAUUUUUGGACCAUAGUGAUAGAAACGGAUGCCAUCCACCAUCAGNNNNNNNNNNNNNNNNNNNNAGUUUUUUUUUUUUGAGUAAAUUAUCCUGACCCUCGAAACUUGGAGUAAUUAUGUGUCCCAUCUAAUAUUCUAAAAAUAGACACAUAAUUUUUUUGAUCAAAAAAAAAAUAAAAUUUAAUAAAUAAAUAAAAUAUAAAAUAUGUUAAAACUUAAAUAAAUUAGAUGAUGAUGAUAUUAAUAAAAAUUAUCAAAUAGAUUGAUAGUUUAUUUAAUAAAAAAAAUAUUCAUAAGAGAUUCAAUAUCAUAUAUAAAGUAAAAAUUAGAUAGUAAAAUAUAUAUUUUUAAAAUUUUGAAUGAGAUCGUUAAUUAAUUAAUUAUCUUAGAUUUUAAGGGAGUUUAUUGUAAUUUUAUUUUUUUUUAGAAAGAAAUGGAGGAACAACGGCUCCACAAUUAUAGAAUUAGAUCAAGGCAUACUUAUAAAAGAGCGAAGAUAAUUUUUUUCCACGUAAUUGGUUGUCCCUUGUCCUUACCUACCUAUACAUUCUAUUCUAUAUUAACGAGGGAAGGAAGAGAUUGUCGGACACUUAUGUCCGCACAUGUAUCCCACGACAGCCCUUGGGAUGGAGUUCGUAUGAUUUACAAUUAUACGCUGCUGUGGGCCCAGAUGGAAGAUGGUGGUGGCUCUUAAAUUAGCUACCUCUGCUCAUCUUAUAUACCCCAAUUUUUCAAUAUUUUAAUUCUAAAUAAAUUAUAUUUUUAAUUUUUAAAUUAAAUUUAAUUUUAUUAAAUGAUCUCUAAACUAUAAAAUUUUAAAUUUUAGUUUCUAUAUUUUUUGAACCAUUUUAAUAUAAUUUUUUUUCGGAUUCGAUCAUUUUCUCUCACAAAAAAUUUUAGCUGACAAUAAUCGAUGCUUACGUGGCGAAAAAAUAUCUAAUAAAUAUGAUGUAGCAUACGAACAAUAAUGUGAUAUGAUGGAUAAAAAUUUUUAUUUGCUGAAAUGGAAUGGAAGAUGAUGUGAUUUUUUUUUAGUAUCUAAUCAUUUAGUGACACAUCAGCGCUUAUAGGUGAUAUGGCAUAAAUGACGUGGCAUAAGUGAUGAUAUCGCAUCUGAUAUAAAAUUAUUUUGAAAGUAUCCAAUCAUCAAGUGCUACAUCAGCAACCUAAUGUAACGUCAGCAUCCAUAUGCUACAUCACCUAUAUCACAUCAUUGUCCAUAUACCAUAAAUUAUAUUUUUCAUCAUCUAAGUUUCAUAAAUGUUCUUAAAUGAUCUUUAUACUUAAAAAAAAUUAUAAUUAGUUCAUUUGAUUUUCUAAUAUGAUUUAGUUUAAUCUUUCCAGCAGGAUGGCAGAGAAGGUGAUCAUUCUGAUAAAGGAUGAGUCAUUGGAUGUAUUCAAAAUGUUGAAAAUGACAGCAAUAUUUAAAACAGAGAGCUAGGUCCAGAUUUAGAGAUGAUCUCAAAGUAGAUCAAAUUUAAAGAUUUAAAAAUUAUUAUUAUGAAUAUAUCAGUGAUAACGAAAAAAUAUGCAAGCUCCAUGUUCUCAGUUUUGCCGUUGCUGAGCUUGCUAUUGCUGUCGAAUUUUUUCUUGAAAAAAAAAUAAAUUGGUAAUCGUGAAAUAUGCAACUAAGGAUAUUAGGCAUUUACUCCGACUGGAGUAGCAUGAGCAAGCCUAGAGAAUAAAUAAAUCAAAAAUAAAAAUUAUUUUCUUUCUCUUUUAUUUAUCCUCUUUUGCUUUCAUUCUUCUUAGGUUCAAAUCAAACUUUCUAUAUUUCCUGCCAUGCCAUUUAUGUCAUACCAUUUAUAGACGCUAACAUGUCAAUAAAUGAUGGGACACUACAGGAAAAGAAAAGCCGCAACAGAUACUAUAUCAUCGCCCAUACCAUUUCAGCAAAUAAAAAAUUUCAUCCAUCAUUCCACGUCAUCUGUGCUAUGUUAUAUUCGCCAGAUAUUUUUAGCCACGUAAGCACCGAUUAUUGCUGGCUAAGAUUUUCGAUAAGAAAAAAUAGUUGAAAUCUGAAAAAAGAAUUAUAUUAAAAUCAUUCAGAAAGUAUGGAGAUUAUGGUUUAGAAUUUUGUAGUCUAAGAACUAUUUAAAAAAAUUUAAUUUAAUUUAAUUUUUUUAAAAUUUUUAACUCUCACCGAUUUAUAUUCAAUUUAAUUCAAUAUAUCUUUUUUGUAAUAUGACCAUUCUAUUUUGAGGGCCAACCCACAUCCAAAAACACCCUCAGGCCAUGGAAAGUGAGAAACCAGCAUCUAGACCGAUCCAAUGAAUCAUGUCAACAUCCUCUCCCAUCACAUCAUGCAUACUAGCUUCAAAAUACAAGUCUUGAUACCAAAGUUGAGUCCUAGAAUCACUCCCUUGGGAGCACCCGUUGAGAAUUGGUAUGGUAUACGGAGGAUUAUAUCGACAUGCUAGCCACGACGAGUGCAUUCUGGUGUUUUGAGUGGAGGAUGAUAGGGCGUGAUGAAGCGUUUUCCUAAUGUUAUUGCCCAUUCCUUCCCAAGUCAUGCCAUCAAAUGGCAAAACACAAGGAUACGGAUUUUUGCAAGAGGAAAAUGCUUGAUUAUUUCAAAUAUAAAGCAGAUUUGAGCGACAGUUGAUGUAUGUUAUCACAUCUUUCAUUUACAAGUUCAUGCGAUGCUCAUGAUUUUUCUUUUUUUUUUUUUGGAUUCAUCUAAUGUUGUUCUUAAAAACAUUUUCAGAAGCUUGCUCGUCUUGUUUUCCUUGAUUUUACCGUGUUAGUAGAGAAGUGAGUUGCAAUCUCAAUCAUUAGGCUUUUGGCAAAUGAUAAAUGCUAUUGCAUCACGAAAAGCCAUACUCCACUUAUUUCUUUUCGUAAAUAGCACGAAAAUACUGAGCUACACUUGGGUAAAUUUGGGAAUUAUCGAGGAUAGAUUUCCAUUCUUCUUGAACACUUUUAAUCAAUUCCUACUCUCACUACAAAAAAUUUGAUUUUUAACGAUGAAAUUUUAGCGACGAAAUUUAUUUCGUCGCAAAUAAUUAAGCUUUUGCAACGAAAUUUAAAUUUCAUUCUCAAAAAUUAGGUAUUUGCGACGAAAAAAAUUACGUUGUAAAAAGUUAUAUCUUUUGCAACGAAAUUUUUAUUUUUGUUGCUAGAAGUUGAUCUUUAGUGACGAACUUUUUUUUUCGUUGCAAAAAAUAAUUUUUUUUGUGAUGAAAUAUUUUUUUCGUAGUAAAAAAAUAUUUUUUUACGACAAAAAAAAUUUUAUCGCAAAAAAAUUAUAUUUUUUACGACGAAAUUGAUAUUUCGUUGUAAAAAAUAAAGGCUUUUGCGAUCAAUUUUAUUUAUAUUUAGCGACGAAACUAUUGCGUCGCUAAAUUUUAUUUUGUUGAAAAAAUUUGAAUAUUUUGCGACGAAAUUUUAAAUUUCGUUACUAGAAAUUGAUUUUUAGCGACGAAAUUUUUUUCAUCGCAAAAAAAUAUUUUUUUUCAUCCGGCUGGUCUGAUGAUGCAUCGGUGCCAGAGGCAGUUAGGACAUCCAUGAGCAUGAUGCAAGAUCAGAUUAGUUAUUGGAUGAAUCGUAGUCAGAUGCUCGAGAGGAUAGUAGCUGCGGUGGCGGGACGGCUCGGUAUUGAUGCUUCUGAGUUAGCACCUCUACAGUCACAUGAUGCCGCCUCUGCACCACCAUCGCGACACAUAUCGGAUCAGAGAUCGACGCUUGGAGAAGGGAACGAGGCCAACCAGUCAGAUCAUACCUAGUUUGUAGUUAUUUUAAAUUUAAAAUAGUGUAUGGACUUAUAUUUUUGUAUAUGACAAAGAUGGUUAUGAAACUUUUUGAUACUUGGAAUUGAUAUUUUGAAUUAGAAUAUUUUUAUUGUGUUAAUAUAUUAUUUAUUUAAAAUAUGUUUGAUCAGAGAAUUUGUAUUUGAGCAGAUUUUUUUUUAAAAAAAAAUAAAAAUUUAAUUUUUUAUCCAAAAUUUAUUUUAACAACGAAAUAUUAAUUUCGUCGCAAAAAAAAUUUGUGAACCCAAAAAAGUAAAAUUUUUAUUAUACAUCGCGACGAAAUUUUUUAUUUCGUUGCUAUUUUUGUGACGAAAAAAUAGUUUCGUCGUUAAAAAUUUUAAUUUUUUUACGAUGAAAUUUUUAUUUUAUCGCAAUUAUAACGACGAAUUUUUUUAUUUCGUCGCCCUUAUAGCGACGAAAUUUUUCUUUCGUCGUCAUUAUAGCGACGAAAUUUUUAUUUCGUCGCAAUUAUAGCAACGAAUAUUUUUUUCAUCGUAAUUAUUACGACGAAAUUUUUGCGAUAAAUUUUAUUUGCGACGAAUUCCGUUUUCGUCGCAAAAAAAUUAUGACAAGAAAAGUUUCGUCGCAAAAAAUAAGAAAAUAUUUUUUUAAUCAUUAUAUUUAGCGACGAAAUUAUUUUUCGUUGCAAUUUUAGCAACGAAAAUUUAGGCUCUUGCGAUAAAAUAUUUUCGUCGCUAAUACAGCACAUACUUCGUCGUCUAGGUUUACUAUUUUUUGCGACGAAAUAAAAUCGUUUCGUCGUUAAGAUCUUUUGCUACGAGACUUUCUCUAUAAAUUUUUAGCGAUGAUAUAUUUUAUCAUAAAUAUUUUUAACGACAAAAAUAUAAUUUUUAGCGAUAAAAAAAUUUCGUCACAAAAAAUAUGAUCUAUUUCCAACUCCUGUCCUUGCGUAACUCUCUCUCACCCUCUCAUGCACGCACAUACAUAGAUAACACAUGCAUGCCGAUACAUAUAUACAUACACACACGCGCGUAUGACUUAUAUCUGUCUGUAUUGGAAAAGAAAAAAAAUAUAGCGAUAAUGAAUAUUCAACUUGUACCCGUAUUUAUUUAAAACAAAUAUGAAAAAGUCAUAUCCAAUCGGUACUCAAAUUAGUUUAGAACAACAACGGAAACCAAUCUUGAUAUCUAUUUAAAAUCUAUAUCUGAAUUUAUAUCUGUUGAAAAAUAUGAAUAUAUAUAUAUAUAUAUAGAUUUGUUAAUAUCCGAUCUGUUUUUAUCUCUAAGGUUGAUGCAUGGAAAAAAUGGAACAGGCCAUAUGAUAAAUCUGACAAUGGGAGAGGGUCUGUAUUUUGAGAAGAUACAAUGUCAAUAUGUUCUUGACACGGACAUAUCCAGGAUGUUGCCUCUGUAUGUUGCCGAACUUCCACAUCUUCGAAGACACAUCAUGGAAGGUGGCUUUGGCCACGUCGCAAGAAUGAUUGAAGCCACCUAUGCUUUCGGUGUUCUCAAGUUAGAAACAACAAAUGAUUGUGUUUCAUUUGAUAGAAUUAAUGGUGCCAAUCUUGUGAUUUGGCUGUCAAACAACCGAUAGGCCCUGGAAUGUAUCUAAUAGUUGGAGGGUUGGGAUGGGUAGAUAAGAGGCCAAGCCAAAGCUUUGUUAUAAGUAAAACAGCAUCUGAUUAUAAGAUAUAGAUCAUGAAAGUGAUGUGUAUAUUAAAAAGAAUAAAGAAGUAGAAAUGCAAAGCACAAAAUAGAAGGAAUAAGAUAAUCCAAAGAAGCCCAGUGAAGUCCGAUUCAUAAAUAAUGCUUGUAUGCUUUUGAGAUAGUAUGUGGCUUAAAAAAAAUAUGCACAAUCUCCAUGAAAGAGUUGUAAAAAGUAGCAUCUGAUAUAUGGGAGAACAAAGAGCGAGAUGAAUUUAUCUAACAGUUUUUAAUAAUCAUAGCACUGCAAAAAACAUUUUAGAAAAUGCCACUGUAAUUAAUCUUAAAGCAGAAUCAGAAAUAGUACAAAGUUGAGAAAAAAAAGAUAAGCAAAAAAUAUUUUAACUAUAUUUGCGACCAAUCUAGAAGCACAAAACAAAAGUAUCUUGCAAGAAAAAAAUUUCAAUAUUUCAUUGCCGAAUAACAAUAUUCUAACUACGUUGCACAAUCAUUUGUUAUCUAGUAAAAUAGUUCAAACGCUAUUAUCCAUCUGGUAAGUAGGAAACCAGUCUAAUGUUGAUCCAACAUGAAUCAAGUCCUCAAUAUUUUACAUCUGAAUGUCAAAGAUGCACUAGCUCCAUCAUGUCAAAUAAACACUUUCAUCUUAAACAUUUUAAUGGGCAUCCUGCAUCAUCAAUCCACCCUCAAAAUCUUUUAUUUAGACAAAUCUGCUGAAUAUAGAAUAAAGGCACCAGCUUACAAAAUUUACAUCUUAUCUCACAUUUAUAUCAUGGAUGCUGAGAAUCCAAUAGAAAUUAGACAGAUAAGUGACUACUGCAUGGCCUGCCUGCAUAACUUAUGAUUGUAAUCCAUUAUCAAUUAUCAUCAAAUAGACCUAAGGCUAAGCACGGGUCGAGUUCAAUCAGAUUGAGAGAAAAAUUUCAUCCAACCGAAUUUAAUCGGAUUGAAAAAAAUUCAAUCCGUUACAGACCGUUUAUCAUAUAUAAACUGUUUGAAAUCGAAGUGAAUGGUUUGCAGCGAGUUCGGAUAGGUUGGGUCGGUUUGGACUUCAAUGUUGACCCAAUAUUGAUUUUAAGUCCAAUAUUGACCCACUCAAGCUUAUUUAUUUUUCUUUUUGUCAAUUUAACAUAAAAAAGAUCUAAACCUUUAGAAUGAAAUCUAAACGAAGUAUUGAAGUAUUGAAGUAUUAAAAUAUUGAAGUCUAUACGGUGCCGUCCAAAGUGAAAAUGAGUUUGUGAAAUACUAUAUCGAUUGGAUUCGAUUUCAUACGGAUUAAAAGUGUAGAAAUCGAAUCCGAUCGUAAAUAAUUGAUUUUUUAUAAACUCCAACAUGAUUCCAUCCGAUUUAUGUCUUUUAACCGACCGAAACUGAUGUUUAUUGGGUCAGAUUGGAUGGGUUUCUUUGGAUUUCGGUUAUUUGCUCAGCCAUAAAUAGACCUGUGAAAAAAAAUCUGAAAAGCUAUUUUCUGUCUGUUUUCGAGUGCUUUGAGAUUCAGAUUUUGGGCACUUGGGUUGUGAUUGCUGGCGAUCCGAUCAUCUGCUGUCGUCGGUGAGGGUUGUGAUGUGGAGCAUGACCCUCGAGACCAUCCUAACAUCUCGAGGGAUGGAGAUCGAUCGAAAUCCAGCUGAAAACGGGUGGUUCAAGGGCGGACAGUGUGGGUUUCACCAAAGGCCAUGCUGGAGGAGAUUGCAGAGCUUUUCAAGUGGUUCCUAGAGGUCGUCGAGGCCCCGACGAUGGCUCUAAGAAAGAGAUCAGAGUGGUGGGCCAUGACCGCGGUGGUGGGGAGGAGUUUGGGCCGACGGGCGAUGCUGGAGCUAGUGGCUAGGGAUUUUCGGCUCUGUGGAGUGAUCAGGGGAGAAGUCUCGAUGUUUGGGCUUGACGGGGGCCUACUCCUCUUCCGAUUUGGGGAGCCGGAGGAGCGAGACUGUGUUCUUCGGUGGCCUUGGGCUGUGGCAGGUCAGGCCUUGGCCCUUGAACCAUGGCGGCCUGGGUUUUUCCCAGUGGAGGGGGCAAUCACGAGCGCACUGGUCUGGGUCCACCUCCCAUGACUUCCAGUCAAAUACUGGGAGGAGGCACUUGGGGAGGUGGUGCAGCCCGCCGGCAAGUUCAUCUCGGUCGACAACUAUACGAGAGAUAUGCGUCGGUUGGGUUUCGCCCAUGUGUGCGUGAGGAUCAGCUUUAACCGUCCUCUACGGUCGGGGGUGCUGGUGAAGGGGCCUCAGGGUCCUUUUUGGCAGCAUUUUGUCUUCGAAGGGCUGGAGGGAGCCUGCCUUAGCUGCGGCCUCUUCCACCCACCGAAGAAGUGCUACCAGGUGGGGAGGGGUGCUGUGGCGAUCGGACUGUAGUUGGACAAUACCCUCCGAGCGGAGGAGCAGGGAGGUGUCCAGGAAGGUGCAGGGCCACCCCUUGGGCCUUGGCUCUUGGCUGUCCGACGGCGAUAAUCGGGUCGGGAAGCGGUUGCAAACGAAAGGAGAAAGGAGAUGAGGUCUUCUCACCUCGAGUCCAGGGCGAGUCAACCCAGGCCAGACAAGGCGGCAAUGGACUCGAUAUGGGCAAACUCUGAGGCUGGAUCCAACAGCUAGAUCCAGCCAUCCAAAGUGGCACGGCAGAGAUCGAGCGUAGAGUUUCCCACUAGGGGCCUCUGCACGGUAGUGCAUUGGGCCGCAACAGGGUGGGGCCGUCAUCAGGCGGGUGCAAGCCGAUUUCAAGGGGAAGAGAGGGGCGGGCCGUGCGAAGAGCGGGCUCGACCCAGCCCAUUCAGCGGUGGGCCUUAACCAAGGGGAGCAAAGGAGAGGGGCUAUGGGCCAACCCAAGAGAGCCCGCCCCCUGAAUUUGAUACGGACCGAGUUCCUUCUCGGCCUUCUAAGUGGGAGCUGGGCUUGAAGGGCUCUCAAAAAAGUUGUAAGGGGAAGCCGAAGGCCAAGGCCAAAGCUAUGGCCUCCUCCUCUUCUAGAGUGGAGGUGGUUGAGGGAAUUGGGGGCUCUGCAGUCUUCGUUUUUGCCGCCAGAGCCCCAAAGGAGGCGGACGAGGACUCAUAGGUGCCCACUAGUGCAAGUUAGGCAUCAGAGUGCCCUGUGGAGGCAGGGAUGCUAGAGCGGAGUUCGAGGCACGAGAUGGAGGACCUCACCUCUAGGGAUGAGGUAAAGGGGGGCUUGGUGCACAUAGAUGCAUCGGCUGUGGACCAGGACCCUACUCAUGAGGAUGCAAUGGACAGAUUGAGAUAGGCCAUCCACGACGAGGGGGUGUCUAUGAUGACAGCUGAUCUGAUGGAUGAUGAGACUAGGACAGAUUCUCAGGAUGAGGGGGAUGCCAGUGCAGGCCUCCUUCCUUGUGAGUCUUCCCCAUGAGACUUCUGAUCUGAAACUGUCGAGGGGCGGAAAAGCCCUUCUUCCAGUCGAUCUUUGGCCGGCUGAUCCAGCAGCAUAGUUUGGAUAUUUGUGUUUUGAGUGAAACUCGUCUCUUUGGGACCGAAUUGGCCCGGGCUCAACGUUGAUUCCCCUUGUCCUAGAGUUCCUAUGCUGUGGAAUCCCGUGGCUUAUCCGAUGGCAUUUUGGUGAUGUGGCACCACGGAUUGAUUAGAGUGGAUGCCUUCCACAGAUGCGAGCAGUAGGUGGCUCUAGUCAUCUCGGACCAAUCUGAUGGGCCCUAGCUUCUGUCCGGCAUCUAUGCAAGCACUGAGUACAGGGAGCAGAGGAUGCUUUGACUGAGAUCUCUAGACUUUUGGCACAGGGUUUGCCCUCGUUGGUGGUUGGUGAUUUCAAUUGGACCCCAUGAGAAGCAUGGAGACAGGCAGCAAGGGGACAACAUUGAGUCUAAAGAAUUCAAAGAUUUUAUCAGUAGCACUAGUCUAAUUGAUCUUGACUUUGUGGGUCUGAGGUUUACCUGAUGUAACAACCGAUUAGGAUCGGCUCGAAUCUGGGAGAGGAUUGAUCGGAUGCUUGCUUUUGCGGAGUGGAUCCAGCGAUUCUCGGGGUAUCAUGUCCAACAUUUAUCGAGGAUUGCCUCAGAUCACUGUCCGAUCCUCAUCUCGACAAAUGGUCUUGACCUGCCCAGGAUCCCUUUUCGGUUCGAGAAAUUCGAGAUCUUCUAUCUGAGGUCGUGAGACUUGAUCUGGGAGGUGUGAAGGAUGCCUAUCCGUGGUGACGCGAGGCACAGGAUGACCCGAAGGCUUGAGUUAGCCCGACGCAGACUUCUCAAGUAGAACUACUUGGAGAUGGGUGACAUAUUCCGACAGGUAGAGCAGGUGGAGACGGACAGAGCAGAGCUGUAGAGAAGAGAGGAUCAAGAGGGGGGCCUAUCGAAGCCAGCACUGGGAGAGCUUCACGGUGGGCUCGCUAAACAUCACUCAUUACUGAGGCAGCAGAAGACCCCGUGGAGGCAGAAAUUCAGAGUUCAGUGGAUCCAGGAGGGAGACCAGAAUAUCAGAUUCUUUCAUCACUCUACCAUGAUCAGAAGAUCCACCAACCAUAUUAGACAGUUGCGAAGGAGUGAUGACAGUGUUGUGGAUGACAGUAGGAGAAUUCGGGAGGAGAUCUUCUGCUUCAAGGACCAUUGGACGGCACCGCUGGGUGAGGACUUCCCCAUCCCGAGAGCCCACCCUGUGACUAGUAUCUCCGAGCAGGAGAAUGGUAUCUUGACCAGUUUGGUGUCUGUUGAGGAGGCGCAGGGGGUCCUUUGAUCCCUUGAGGAGGACAAGGCCCCAAGGCUUGAUGGAUUUCUCCUACUGUUCUUCUGUCAAUACUGGCUGAUCAUCUGUGAUGAGAUGAUGGAGGCGGUGCAGGUGGCCCUACAGUCCAAAGGCAAUCCGGUGGAGUGGAAACGGACCUUGAUCACCUUUAUUCCAAAGCGACCUGACACCUCGACCCUCGGACACUUCAGACCGAUCAGUCUUUGCACUACUCUUUACAAGGUGCGUGCUAGGAUUUUGAUCGGAUGUCUAAAGCCGUUGAUGCCUCGCCUGAUCAGCCCGGAGCAGGGAGUCUUUGUUGGUGGUCGAUCUAUUACCGACAAUAUUCUACUUGCCCAGGAGUUUAUGCAUAAUCUACAGAGAGUUCUUGGUCGCCACAGCCUUAUGAUGAUCAAACUGGACAUGGAGUGGGCGUACGAUCGGAUGAGCUUGUCCUUUCUUCGUCAGUCGCUCCGAAAGCUGGGCUUUUGGGAAAGAUGGAUCGGCUGGAUCCUGGACUGCAUGGAGGCACCGAGCUUUGUCAUUCUUGUAAAUGGCACCCCGACGGAGUUCUUCCACUCAUCUGUUGGUCUUCGACAAGAUUGCCCUCUCUCUCCUUAUCUAUUUAUCUUAUGUGCUGAUGCUUUGUCGAGGACUUUGAAAAUAGCGGUUCAGAGGCAAGUCCUGAAGCCGUAUUGACCUACCUCUAGGGCCCAUUCGCUUUCAUACCUUCUCUUUGCAGAGGAAUGCCUCCUUAUUGGGUGUGCCUCAACCCAAACCGCGAAGUGUCUUGCUUUCAUUAUCGGAGCCUACUGUCGAGCUUCUGGGUAGAUGGUGAACUUUCAAAAGUCUACUGUCAUUUUCAACCCCAGAAUGAAGCCCCAAAUGAGGCUAGCGAUUCGAGAGCGUCUGGACAUCUAGGAGUAGUCAGAGAGCCUGACCUACCUCGGAGUCUCGACCACGGGCCAUCACCUGUGGAGAGUAGAGUGCAGACCCAUGGAGCCGCAGAUCCAGGAGCGCCUGCAGGGAUGGCAGGCCAGUGUCCUGUCUCUGAUGGGCAAGAUGACUCUGAUGAGGUCGAUGCUGAGCUCUAUUCUAGUGUAUCUCUUGGCCAACAUAAUCAUGCCGAUUUUGUGUCUGCAUGAUCUGAAGCAGCAGUUCUAUAAUUUUUUAUAGAGCUCUGGGUAGGAUUGGCAUUGGAUCCACUUGCUAUUCUGGGAGAUGGCUUGCUAGCCGGUGUGGGAUGAAGGUCCUAAGAUCUAGUCCCUGUUGGUGAGAAGGGAGGCCCUAAUUGCUAGGCAUGCAGUCAGAUUUCUGAUCCAGCCGGACUGUUUAUAGAGUAGGAUAAUGAGGGCUCGCUACAGAGCAUGGCACCAGGGGGUCCCCAUCCAGGCUGUGCGGGGUUGUCCUUUAUUUGGAGAGAGAUCUGUGCUCGUGGACCAGAUAUUAUAGAUCGGAUCAGAUGUCUAGUUGGGGAUGGUGCUCGAUGGAGGUGGUCCAGGAUGUCUGAAUUUUGACUCUCCCUCUCUCCCGCUAGCCGACCUUCUUCAGCUGCGAGGUAAGUGAUGAUAUGUGGGUUUAUGACCUUAUUACUGAGGAUGGUAUGCGAUGGAGAGCGCAGGAGAUCACUCGAUUGUUUGACGGUCCUCUUACUAAUCGGAUCCUCAUCAUCUUGAUUCCUGUGCACCCCAGCCAGGACGUUAUGGUGUGGGGUUAUUCUUGUUGCCCGAAGGUUCCCCUGAGGAACCUCUUCCUGAUGUGCAGUUCGACGCUGACUAGGAGGAUUGAGGCUACGUAGAUCUGGAGAGUUGCCGCUCACCUUAGGGUGAGGCUCUUUCUCUGAAAACUUGUUCGGAACCGCCUUCCGAUGCGAGUUCUUCUCAAAGAUAGGGGCAUGAAGAUCUCGACCUUGUAUCUGAUCUACGGCUUGGAGGAUGAGUCAAUUGAGCAUGCUAUUCUGCAUUGUCCCAGGACGAGGAUUGACAGACAGACGACCACCCUUGGGAGUCGAAUAUGGAUUCGUGGAUGGUCCCUUUCCUUGAUCUCAUCUGCCAAAGCAUCACUGACAGGACGACUGUUGCUGGUGACCAGAUGGCCUAUAUCACCUACUACAUCUGGCUCUCCAGAAAUAGCUUGGUCUUUGAGGGUGAUGUAGUUCCUGCUCAUCGAGUACUGAAGAGAGCUAUUUACCUGACUGCGGAGUACAUCCAGUUUGACACUACUACACCGUCCCCUAGCAACCUCGAUUUCUGGAGCUCCUUUGGUGCCCCGACAGCGAUCCGUAGGAUUUUAUCCAUCUCCUAGGAGUCCCCUGUCUCGGGGUUUGUCAAGGUAAACUUUGAUGGCAGUGUCAGAGAUAGGAGAGACAGUGCUGGCUUCAUCAUUCGCGGCCCUAAUGCUAGAUUUUUGACUGCUGAUGCCUCCUACCUUGUUAAGCCUUCCAUUUCGGAAGCAAAGCUUCAUACCGCCUGGAUAGACAUCAUUUUUGCCAUGCAGCAGCUUCAGACAGAUAGGAUCUGUAUUGAGGAUGAUUCUGCUACCAUCAUCACUUGGAUCCUGGGAGGGGUGAAGCGUCAGGAGGCUCACCCACUUAUUCAAGAUAUCUGGACUUCUCUCCAUCGUGCUACUGCAGUCUAGGUGCGGCAUGUCUAUCGGGAGGCAAACACUCCUGCAGAUUGGGUUGCGGCUUUCAUGGCAGAGUAUUCUGGCAAAUGGAUCUAGAGAUAGGGUGAUGUUUAUCCCACAGUCCUACGGGAUCUUUUAUACCUUGAUCUAUUGGGCUGCUCUCGCACCAGAGUGAUAUGACCGUUUAUUUGUAUCUUAAAAAAAAAGAGACCUGUGAAAGUACUAAUUAUAGACUAUUGAGAAUUAUAUUUUUGAUGUAACAUGUGAUUGGUCUAUCCCUAAACUAAGUGGUAAAUCGAAAAAAAUGAAAAAUAUCAUGAGGAUUCGUAAUUCCACAUUAAAGCAACAAUUGUUAGGAUGUAAAAAGAAUACCUAUUUCACAACCUAAAAAGAAAUAGAUGUAUACGAGAAUGCAGCAUAAAACCAAUUUACACACUAAUGAAAUAUAAAACUUUUUAAUCUAGAUCGGUGCUAACCACCUCAUUAUUUUCACUAAGGUUGUAUUUGGUGCAUCACCAGACAAUCUUGAAAGAUAAUGUGGAUUACCUUCAGAAUAGAUUGUCACCAUUAAAUUGCCAGUAAUGUUGAUUACUAUAUUUGGUACACAGAUAAUAUUACAAUAAAAUCACUGAAAAUCUUGAUUGACGUAUUUGGUACAACAACCAGAUUAUCGAUAAUAUGAAAUUAAAUUUUUAAAAUAUCUCCAAUAAUUUUGCCUCGAUGCUCUUCUUUUUCAAUAGUGAGAAAUAAUGAAAGUGAUGUGGGUAUGAUGAUAGUACGGAGAAGUGACGAGCUAAGGGAUAUGGAGAACCGCAGGUACUAGGGGGAUAGGAAGGGGGCGGGUGCGUGUAGAGCCAUGGGGAUAGUGGGGACGAGUGCGGAGGAGCCACGAAAGGAUGGUAGUGGAUAAGGGUGGAAGAGACAUGGACAGGCAAAGAGAGAUGGAGGAGCUAUGAGCUGGAGCCGCACGCAGAGGGGGUGGGGGGUGAGAGGAGGGUUGGAUAAUGGGUUGUGUGAUUUUUUUUAGAAAUAAUUUUGUCCAUAAUUUUUAUUGCAAUAUUGUCAAAAAAAGUGAUAAUUUGAAUAGCCACCCCUCUUCAAGACAAUACAGAUUGCCUCACAUAAGGCAAUCUGAAUUAUCACUCAAAAAGUAUACCAAAAGUAAUAAUCCAGAUUACCACAUUAAAUUGCCAGCAAUGUAAAUAGAUUGCCAGCUGAGGCAAUCUGAAUUAUCACUCAAAAAGUAUACCUAAAGUAAUAAUCCAGAUUACUACAUUAAAUUGCCAGCAAUGUAAAUAGAUUGUCAGCUACCAAACGCAACCUAAAAGAGAUGAUAACAAACAUCUAGCAAAAAGAGAUUUCUAUUUAACAAGUUUUUGAAAUAAGCUUCUAAUAUCACAUCAUCCAUCACACUUUGCGAGAAAUUUGGUCUAACAGCAAGGCUUACUUUUUUAAGGUUCUAACAGCAAGGCAAUCUCCUAACAAUCAAAUUCAGGAAAUUUGUUUCAGCGAGCAGUGCUAAAGAUGUAUAUUCUUCCACCGCUUCUCCAUCACCAAUGAGACUCCAUUUUUUGGUAGAAUCUUACGAUUUGUAUCUACGUCUUCUUUCAUCUCUGAAAUUCUUUUUGUCAAAACAGAUUCAAAUAACCUUAACCAUCAAGCCUGAGUUACAAGGCCUAGAGCAUCUCUUGCAACCAAGCAUCUGUCUAAUUUUUGAGCUCUGCUAGGUCUUCUAGGUGCCAUAUUUGGUCUCCAUUAGCUUCCCUUUUCUUUGAAUUGUUCCACGUUGGCCUGUUGCAUUUUUGUUCAUUCCUCCAUUCAUCUCUCCGAGCCUUUCCAAACUAACUUUGCUGCACCAAACUGAAGGAGACCAAAUUCUAUUUGGCCUCUUCCACUUUCAGGUCACUGUAUGGUUGCUGGCGGACCACUUUUCUUCAAUCCUUGUGCCUAGAGGAAAACACUUUUGAGAUAGUCGUUUAUGUUGCAGCAGAUUCUUUGGUUCUCAACAGGUUUGAUCCACCACACUAAUAGGCAGGUUUAAGUCUUGCCCAUCUACAUCAAGUCCCCUAUUAUUUUGUGUAUUCCGACCUAAUUUAGUGGGUAAAAAUUCUCCUAUCAGUGUCUAGGUUUACACCAUCAUGGUUUUAUUUUUUCAAUUUUGUUGUAUGCUUCUUUGACUCACCAAUCACAUUUCAGUUUGUUUUUGCUUUGCAUCUGAAACACAAACUGCAGUCUGCAGACUUCUUGGUUGUCCCAUCUCCCAAGAACGUUGCAGCCUCCUAUUCCAUAAAAUUUAUUCCCUUUGCCUGUACAAUUUUGAACUCAGCCUUUUGAUUUCAAGAUCUUGUCAAUUAUCCUCUAUUUGCAUAGGUGGUGGAACACAUCAUUCUACGGCCUAUAAGUAGUGCGUGCGUGCGUGUGUGUAUUAUCAUUGUUCCAAGUCAAGAUGCUUUACUAGACAUUAAGGUUGCUGUUGAAGUACUGCUUCCUUGAUUCAAUACUUUGCAACCUUAUGUUGACCAGGAACACAUAUCCAAAAGAUUGUCUAGAACUCAUGCAUCAUUACUCAAUUAUUCAUUCAUCAAACCCUUAAAUGCUAUGGAAUGAACCAAACACCUUUUUCUUUGUUGCUUUGGGAUUGAAAAAACCUAUGAAGUCACCACUUCCUCUUUAUCAGCAUCAGCUUCUAGCACCUUAUAUGUCUUCACACAUCAUGGUCAUGAUAUUCUUGCCACCUGAAAUGUAAUUUUAACAAUGUAAUAUCCAUAUUAAUGGCUAAUCGUCUGUCCACACAGUCUCUUUAAGAUUCCUAUAAUCAUCUCUCCAUGGCUUCUUCACCUUUACACAUGAUACACAACAAUCAGUCCACCCGUAAGCUAGUGUAUGCCAAGUAUCCUACUUUAUUGCCAGACACUAACACAAACUUCAACCUGUUCGCAGCUUGUUUGUCCCAUCAUUCCCCCUUCCUCUACACAUUAUUACCACCACUGUUUCAAUGGUGCACUUAGUCAUCCACAUUUUCAUAUGAGAGUAUAGGCAGAGGUUGGUUGCUCUUUCAACAAUAGUUUGCAUCAAAUGAACGUAAAUGGUUAAGGAUCAUGCUCUGGGAGCCCCUUCAAGUUUCAUCUUAGCUGCACAACAGAUGAUUGAUAAGCACUGUCACUAGCACCAAUCCUUCAUUUCCUCUAUUCAGCCAUUUCAUUGAUAUUUCCCUGUGGCUUUGACUUCUUAUUAAUGCUUGGGCACCUUAAGCAUUAUCUUAGCUCAACCAUCAAGCCAACACCUUGGCCACUUAUUUUGCAGUCAAUACAUAAGUUGCUUCAACUAAGCAUAUAAUAACUCCUCCUUUUAUGAUAACCUUUAGAUAGGUGUUGUUGUAUCAUCAAAAACAUAAACACCUAAACUCUAGGGAUUUCGAACGUGUUCAACAUUCAGCUUUUCAGUCUUCUCGUCAACAUUAAAAUUGUACAUGAACAUUACACUGAAGGAUCACCUAGUAUGCUACCUCCAUCUCUUGGUUUUCUUCUCAAAUUUAAAUUCUUCUCAUGCAAGUCAAGCGGAUCCAUUAACCUACUGUCUUUUAAAUCAUAUGGAAAACAUGUCAUCAAAAAGGUCUCUAAUGUAACUUGUUCUACAAAACAAAGACCAUUGAAUGUAUUUUCUCAGCCACAUAUGUAAAAUAAGAUAAAUGGCACGCACAAGUUGAAAAGGCAGUUCCAUACUACCUACAUGCAUGGUUUUCAUCUCAGCUGAAAUGCUGACCAAGCAGGGUUUGAAGCUUCAAGGGAAACCAAUCCAUAAUUAGAAUCCAACCAAAAUUAACCAUCAAAACUUGAUUUCAGGACAAUAAGUCAAUUUUGAUCUAGUUUAGUUCCAAAACUCAUUGAAACCAACCACAGCCUCACUGAUAACCUCAGUAUAUCAGCCAAUACAGACCAACAUACUCCAAAAUAUUGGCUGACAUAAAAUCGAUGUAUGAGAUGCAACUUUUUCUCUUUAUUUUACUAUCUUAAAUGGUUUGUUAUACAAAAGAUUAAAAUCAAUGCCUAAAAGACUGUAGUUUCUCCUAAUUUUAAUAUCUUGGCCAAUAUCUCAAGUCAUUACAUAUUCACCAAAAUCUUAGCAUAUUUUGGUUCUUCUAAACUUUUAAGGCCUUUCAUCUCAUCCAAGAUAAACCUAUAACUUGGUUCAUCUAGGCAUAUGUCAUGCACUGAGAUAACCAGAGUAUCAACUGUGAAAAAACUUAGGAUUAUCUAUUUGACCCGACAGAUAGAGACCAUUUUUCACAUACUUUAUUGGACAUAAGUUUCAACUAGAUUUGCUAGAAAAAAGAAUUCCAUCAAAGAUGUUAAAAGCUAAAACACAAGCACAAACGACAUACCAUUUUCCAUCCACUUGAGAUGCCAUCUGUACUUAAUCCGACAUCUACCCCAUGAAAAUGUAAACUGUCACCAAAAAACCCCUUCUUUGUUUUUCUUUUCUUUUGGUUAUCCAAAUUUAAACUAGGAACCCUGCAGAACUUGCAUGACUGAUGAGAACCAGGUCAGACCAUCAAAAAAGAUUCUCCUCAACUGGUCCUAUAAAAAGACAUAUUCAACCUCUCAGAAGAACUGAUUGCUUCCCUAGUUUUAUCAAGCAUACAUUUCAACCUCACCAUCUCCUUCAUAACCAUCAUAUGCCCAUGUGCUCUCUUCACUUCUCAAAUAGAUAAUAAUGAUGGUCACUUAAAAAUCAACCGAAGUUUCAUAAACAUUAGAUAAUCAGAUGGCAGCAUUAGAAGCAUAUCAUAAUGCCAUCAAUUGCAAAACAACGAUAGAAGGAAUCAAAAAACAAGUGCAUAAGCAUCCAUACAUGGUACACACACAGUCAUACAAAUACAGAUGGAUGCAUGCACUAAAGUGUUUGCUCUUUGGGAAGUGUACCUUCAUCCUUCUUAUAUGCAAAUGCUUGCCCUUAAUCACCAAAAGUUAAAAGCACAUAAUCGCCAAGAAAGGCUCAUCCUAAUCUUGAUAAUAUGUUGCAACUAAUUGCUUUUUGUCAACAGAUUCAGAAUUUAACAUACGAACAUCAUCAGACUAGACUUUUUUUAAUAAAAAAAGAAAGUAAAACAGAAAAGAAAAGUAUAAGGUGGCAGACGUAUGACUCACUUGAAUACAGACAGCAAGUUUCCCGUCACAAAGAAUGUCAGUAUCUUCAUCUCUUCAUCUAAGAUUGCUAGAAAAUCUGGCUAUUCUAGAUAAAGACAACUCUCUAGUAGCUUCAUAAGUCGGAGUACUAAUUAUCUGCCACAACUCUCAAACACAAACAGCACAUGAUGCAAAACUUACACCCCUUGUUGGGAUGGACCCACUCCACUGCUUCCUAGACCCAUCUUCUGCCCCAACUCUGUGAGCUGCUCAACAAACUCCACCCCAUUAAGAACCUCUGUAGUACCAUAUAUGACAUGCUUGACCGGCUGUGAACGUUGUGCUAGCUCCAUCAAACUCCUAUAUUCAACAUAAUUUCCACCACCUAUCAUAAAUACAAUUGCUUCUUUGAAUGGUCCCCUCAAUUGUGACCCAGAUCCUGACCUAGGGACUCGUGGAUCAAACACCAGGUAAGAAUCCACCUCUGGGUUUGGCUUUCCUUCCAUUAAUGCUUCCACUGUCCUUGUUAGUGCCAGUUGCCUUCCACCGGAUAAAAGAUUUUUCAUACCCGCAGUCACCGCACUAAUGGACUGCCCAUAAAGCUUUUCAGCCCAAUCCACAAUGUUGCUCCUGCUUGCUGAACUUGCUGAAGCUGCCAAUGAUGCAUUCAAAGACUUUAUCUUCUUCACAUACUGAAAGGCACAAGUAUCAACCUCGGUCUCCCUCAAUGCUGCUUCUAUCGCUUCUACUUCAGAUUGUGGUGUGGUCUCCAAAGAGAGAAGGUAUGUUAUCGAAAGCCGAAGCUUAUCCACCUUUGUGCCCUUCCCCUUAAGAAGACUAAGCAAUUGACUCUUAUCUACACUUCCUUUGGUCAACAUGUCAUUCUCAAGAUUGCAGUAACCAUCCAAAGACCUCUCCUUGAUCUCACCUAGCAGCACGGUGGCAAUGUUGGUAUGCUUGUCAAUCAUCUUCUUCCGCUCAGUGAGCUCUGGAAGUGAGUUCACAGCAUUCAUCAGAUGCUUCGUGUUCCCAAUCAGAUCAGUACCAUCAAAUUCAACCCCAUCCUUCCCGCCAGUUCGCUUGUUCACCUCAUCAAUGUCCUGCUUGUACUUGCUCAGCUGGUUCUCGAUUUCUUCAGCAACCUUCUGAAACGGAGACCAACUGUUGGAAAACCAGAACGAAUCAGAGUCAUCCAAUUCAUAAGAUUUAGCAGCAGAUUUCUCUGCAGGCAUGGUCACUCUGUUCAGCUUCAUUCCAAGCACGUCAUGGACCAGUGGCCGGUAGCUCCAGUCAUGCUGGAUCCCAACUGCGAGCUCGAAAUUCCGAUCAAAUAUGCAGAGGAUCGGACGCUGGAAGGAGCUCGCAAGACCACCACUUUCUGAGAAAAGAUUGUUUUUUAUCACCAAAUGGUCACGAAUGCGUGAGUCCAGAGCUGAAGCAACCAUCUCCGCCGGGCCACCGCGGGCACACCGGAUUACCGGCACAACCCCGAGGGUGGCGAGGACACAGAACAAGCCACUGACGAUCUUCUCCACGAUCUCCUCGAUCUCGCGAUCCCCGGCGGAGGGGUCGUUGAUCUGAACAUAGGUCUUGGGCUGGGCCAGCGAGAAGAGGGAGUCCUCCAGGGUGACAAACUCGAGGUAUUGGUCAUAGAUCUUGGAGAUCCGGUGCACGGCGUCCUUCUCGAGGGUCUUCAAGGCUAGGGUCUCGAGAAGGGGGCGCGGCAGGGAGGAGGAGAAGUUGAGGUGGAAUGACUCGUAGAGGCCGCGGGCGGCGUCGGCAGCGAUAUGGUCGAUGUUCUCCGGCGUGGGGCGAACGAAAUAUAUGGCGGGGACGUCGGGGACGGUCUGGCGGCUCUUGUCUAUGGGGAAGAAGAGAGUGAUGCCGUGUUUCCGGAGGUCAUUGACAUGGAUCAGGGGGGAGAGGACGCCGCGGCAGAAGGCGUCCAUGAUGAGGAUCUUGUAGACCUCCUCGGCGCCGGCGGCAGUGGAAAUCCCGCCGCCAGGGUUCGGCGGCUGGUUCAGAUUCAGCAUGCGGACGAUAAGGUCUGGAGAAAAAUGGAUCAGAAUUGGGGGAUGGAGCGGAGGGGAGAAGAAAUCGAGAUUGGAGAGAGGAGGGGACUUACUCAUUUGCUUCUGCCGGAGAUUGAGCGCCAUGGAUGGGAGAAUUUCCGAGGGUUUUCUUCUUUUAGGGCUACCGUUUUGCAAAAUCCUUCGCCGAGAGGGAGAAUUAUAGGGUUAGGAUUUGGGUUUGGAUCUGGGAAUCGGAGGGGGAAGAGGAGACGGAAGGAGAGCGGAGGAGUAAGGCGAGAACAUUUACUUCGACCGACGGAAAGUAGUGCUACUCACGUGAGAUGCAUGUGAGAAGAAGGCUGGAAUCCCUCCCCUGGAUAAAUUCGGUCCCAAAUUUAGCCGACGAACUCUUACUUGUUUCGCCUCCUCAGAGGUCAGAGCCAAGGAAAAGAAGCGGAGUAAUUUUAAACAAGGGUAUACGCAUAAAGUCGGCACUUCGAGAGACGUGUGGCGCCGAUGCUAUAUGAGUACCCCUAUUUUUUGAAGUUAUACUACUAAUAUAGCUAUUGCUGUCCGAUUAAUGUCGGACAAUGGAUGGCUAUAAUUUAUCCGUCAGAAUAAGUAUUUCCCCUUCGUUGGGUAUGGAACUUGAUAUAUAUACUCCCAUUUUUAUUGAUGCACUCCUCUUCUUUUUUUUUUGUUUUUCACGAGAGGCGUACAUGUGCAUCCAAGCGAGUGCGUUUUAAAGGACCGGGGGAGGGCGGAGUGCUAGAACUGGAAUCAUUCGUCGCGGCUAGCGAGCGAAAAAGCUCCGAUUUUUUUCUCGCCUCUUCUUCUUCUCUUCUCGAAGUUUUUGCGUGGAUGGCUGAGGGAUCGCCCUUUCUUCGCAACAGCUAUUGGGUUCUGAGGCACGGGAAGAGUAUUCCCAACGAGAAAGGCCUCGUUGUUUCUUCCAUGGUUCGUUUCUCUCACUCAUUCAUAUCAGUCUUCUUGUUUUCUGAAAUUGGAAAGAAGAAAUCUUUUGGUUCUUCUAAUUUUAUCGAUGAUAUGGAUUUUAGGGUGUCAUUUUCUGAUAAUCCUGAUACUUUUUAGAAAAUGACAUUUUUUAUGCCAAAAGAUUGGAACUUGCAAAAUAUGGCUCUUUGAGAUAUUCCAUGUUUUUAUGUAAUUUUUCCAUGAAUCCUUGAAAUGUCCUUUUCUAUCUUUACAUGUUCGAUCUUAUCCAUUAUAGGAAAAUGGCACACUUGAAAAGUAUGGAUUAGCUCCUGAGGGAAUUGAUCAAGCGCGACUGGCUGGAGAAUUACUUCUGAAGGUAUCAUGCUUUCAUCUUUGUUUAAUAAGGCUUCUUUCUAAUUAUCAGUGAUUACGGAUGGUUCUCAAAUAGUCUACGUGAGGUUUAUAUAGUUUAUGAUAUUGAAUUAUGACGAUGCUACCACUAUUCUAAAUACUACCAUGAGGCAUCUGGCUAAAUUAUCGUGUUUCUAUUGUUGUUACCAUUGCGUGUUAUUCUAUGAUGAAUGGCGUUGCCCACAAAAUAAUCAAAUAACUAUUAAAAGGCUUCAGAGAUGACAACAUGUACAUGGCCAAAUCAGUGUUUUAAAAGACUACAAAUGACAAACAUGUGGUUCAGGAGACCACCUGGCGGUUAGGUGCUAAGGAGACACUUAGGCAAUAGCCCAGAGACAAAGGUACAGCAAAAGUAUUGGAUUAUGAAAAUUAAUAAAUAUAAGAAGAAAGUAAAAACUAGUUAUAAUUCAACAGAUAAUACAGAACCUAUAAAAAUAAGAUGCAGUAAGCAUAUGGGAAGUAUCAACUUGGCAACAUUCAGUGCUAUUAUAUAAGUCAUUCGCAUUCUCCAUGUUCAAACACAAUUCAAAAUGCAUGGGUGCCUAGGCAAGCCAUCCAGACAGCCAAUGCUGUCUUCUGUGGCACUUACUAUAUUUGUGAGAAUUUCCUAUGAAGAAAUGUCUCACCAUCUCAACAGCAUAGAUAUGGGGCAGCACACAAUGCCUUCCUAGUUACCCAUUCUCUCUACGUUUCUUGUGAGAAACCUUGUAAGUUCAGGUCGUGGUGAUUCUCCAUAUGUGAUAUCCCUAGGAUCAUAAAUUGCUCCCUUCGACCCUUAUGCCACUUAGCUUUUUGAAAUAAUUUUUGCUGAAGGUCAUAAGAUGAAAUUUGACAAUGUCAGUGGACUUUUGUUUUCCCCUUUGUAACAUGAAUUUUACUCUCUUUUUUUCCAUGUAUAAAGGGAGGGGGAAAUAUCAGUGGUGUACACUGGGUAUUCGUGAUGCAUAGCUCUAGUUUGUAGAUUAGAUGAUAUUGCAUCUUCCAAUAUUCAAACUACAAUUAUGGUAGGAUAUUGUAAAGUUUCAGGUAAAAAGAUUGGUUCAGCCAAAUUCAGUAUGAAAUAUUAUUUUUGCUAAAAUAUGUGCAAGAGAGCAUGCAAUUAGAACAAAGAUACACAAAUUCCUAGAUAAAUAAUGCAUAUGUUCUAGAUGCGCUCUUACUUUUCUUGAUGUUUACUCAAUAUGCUCUUUUGCUAAAACCGAUUUGUUUAUGCAGGAACUCAAGGAAAAGAACAUCUUGCUCGAAACUGUUCGAAUUUGCUGUUCUCCAUUUUCAAGAACUACUCAGACUGCCAAAGAAGUUGCUAAUGUGCUAGGCAUCCCAUUUGAAAGUGCUCAAUGUAAAGUAAGCAUAUUAUACCCAGAAUUUGCAAUUCUAUCCAAACGAGAGAAUGGCAUUCAUACAGGUUGCUUAUGUAGCUUUGACAUGAACUUGGGCCAUCGGUGCUGAGCAAAUUUAUGCAAUAUCAACACAUCUGUUGGUUCAAUUGAUGACAUCUUAGGAAGAAAAAUUAGUUCAUUAACUAAUCUUCACCAUUUAAAAGGGCAAAAUUGGAAAAUAAAGAAAAAAUGAGACUAAAAUGAGAAGAGUUAAAGGAGUAUGCUUCCCAGGUUGGAGUCAGACAGCAAGGGAGACGCAUAGGCAAUCCAUUUUUAUAGUAGUGUAAAUAAAGUUGCUUCCCAUGCAUUUGUUCCAGGUCCAUGGAGAACAUUAUAUUAGCAGCUUUAUAUAUUCUAUUUUCUUCCUAUGACUUUUUAGUUGCAUAUUCUCUGUACUUAAGUGCAUAAGCAUCUGCUUAAAUUCUUUUGCAGCUCUCUUUUUUUUUUUUUGAAAAAAAAGUUCUUUUCUUUUCCCUUCAAAGGCCAUGAAAAUGAUAACAAUGAAAUAUGAGUGAGAAAGAUCUUAUAUGUAUAUAAUUGGACAAGAAAAAAAAAAAACUAAAAUUAUCGAGCUUGUCAAAGAAGUAAGUAAGCAUCAUGCCUGCAUUAUAAAAUACCUAAAUUGUUCUUUGUUGGAAAGUUUCUUAAUGCAGCAAGGAGAUAAAGUGGUAGUGUGAGAACAUAUACCUUUCUAAACAAUGUGCUAUCAUAAUUAUUAUGGUAUAUAAUGCACCGAGAUAUACUGACACAUUUUAACUCUCAUGAAUGAUUCCCUAAUACACAGUUCUAUUCCAUUAUGUUUUGCUUCAAGUAGGACAGAAGGACAAGACAAUUAUCUCCAUCAAUGAUUUUACUAUUCUGGAAGUUUUACCCUGAUGAGCUUUAACAGUAAGUUUUUUGUUAAAUUUUAGGGAUUGUUGGAUUUUGGUGUAGGUUGUAUAUAAGUUCUAUUCAUUUUUGGAAUUCAACGAUCCACUUGUUUGAGGGAAUGGAGGAAAACAUAAAAUGACAUGAAUUGAUAUUCUCAUUAACUUUUCUUCUAGAGGUCUUUCUCUUUGAAAUUUGGAUAGUUCAUUUUCAAAUUUUCUUGUAAAUGCCCUAACAACAUCUCAUUCCAGCUUUAGGAAUCCUGUGCAUUAGUAAAAAAAAAGGAAAGUGACCAAAGAUCAGCUAAUGCCACAUAGGAAUAGAUAAAUUGAUAAUUUUGUGUUAUAUAUAUAUAUAUAUAUAUAUAUAUAUAUAUAUAUAUAUAUAUAUAUAUAUAUAUAUAUAUAUCCACAUUUUAUUUUUUGUAACUGGAUGAAGCAUAUAUGAACUGAAAUAUAUGAUGUGAAUAUUAAUAAAAUCAAUUAUUGCAUUCAUUUAAGAGGGAAAAAUGGUUGACACCAGAAGGACAUAAAUAUCCACUCAAGAGAUGAUUUUUACACCAAGCUUUCUCGAUUUGGUUCACUAAUAUUGCAGUCUGUCUAUUCAUUUCUAGAACUUGUUGUUGCUUUUGUAUAAGGGAAAGGUUAUAUUGUUUUUGUUUCAUUUUUGUCCUCAUUGUCUUCCUUAUUGUUUGGUCAUCUUGUUGUACAGGUGAUGCUAGAGCUUCGGGAACGUUUUUUUGGACCACUGUUUGAGCUUUCCUCACAUGAUAAGGUUAGCCAUUUGUAAAACUAUGGUGAUAAACAUUCUAGUUUAAGGGUUUUAAGAUUACUAAGUAUAUGUGAAAUAUGAUUCCCCGCAUAAAAGUGUGGUUGCCUGAUCCAUAACAUUUACUCCUCUAGAAGGUGAGGCAUCUACCAAGUAAUAUAACUAUUCUAAAUGCAAUUAAUUAUACACCUUCCGUGGUUUAUCUGUGCACCUAAUCCUUUAAAUGACUAUAUUCUGUCACAACGAAAUCCCAUCAUGUUUUGCAGAAAGGUGUUACACACCUUGCUAUUUCUGUUUACCACUUUGCUUUCUUCUACUGACAACUUCAACUUCUUCACUGUUUACCUCCUUAGCUGAGGUGUUGCCUUCUCCAAUUCCUUUGCCUUUCUACUCAUCAUUGACCAUCCUGGGAUUUCUCUUGACAUUGCAGAACCAAUAUCUGAUGCAAAUUAUAUUUAUUGUAUCCCCUGUAGUUUCUGGUCAUGGUAGCCAUUUAUUGAUGCUGGCCAUGUCUCUGAGUUUGCUCCAUUUUUUUUAUACUUCAGAAUCCCAGCUAUCUGAAGGAGACUUAACAUUUUAUUUUUAUGGCCAUCGAUGUACAUUCUUACAAUUAAGUUGAAAAUUGAAAUACAAUCAAUUUGGUUAGACUAUAUAAAUUUAGAUUUUUCAUAUUUUAUUUUUAAAUUAUUUUAUCAUAACUAUUAACAAAACUUAAUUUGCAGUAUUCAGAGAUAUGGGCACUUGAUGAAAAGGAUCCCUUCAUGCCACCUGAAGGUGGAGAAAGUGUUGCAGAUGUUGCUUCUCGACUUGCAACUGCUGUUGCAGCAAUAGAGGCAGAGUUUCAAGGGUAUUUUUAUUUACCCUCCCUUCAAUGAAAUAUCUUUUGGGAUUUCCAUGAUAUGUUUUAUUGUUCAUAUUCAUAUGGACUAACAGCAACAGCUUUUCUUAUUAAAAACCAGACAUUUAGACAUGAACAUUUCAAUGGACCCAACAGUAUCAUAGUUUUUAAGAUUGUAUUAUAAGAGUUUUCAAUGGGAAAUGUCUGUAUUAAACCAGUAUGUUUCUAUUAGCUGAUGAUGGGUAACAUUGAAACUUAUUGAAUAGAUAAGAAAUUGCAUCAUUUGGGUUGACAUGGAUGCAAGUCAUGUGAAUGAAGUUAAGAACUUUCUUUUUGGUCCACAUCACAUCAUACCUAUGAUGGCCCUGAGGGAUCUGAGUAUCUUGGAUAGUUUAAUUCUGUACAUCUGCAUCAUGAUGGACUCGGAAUAUGAUAUAAGCUAUAUGGUGUUCAUGAAUAUUUUAGCAGAUUUUGCCAGAGCAAUAGGCAAAAAUGCAAAACCUCCUGAUUAUUUACUCUAUAAGAUUUACUCUGCUAGAUUUCCCAGUAUCAAAGUCAUUGUGAGUUACCUUUUUUCUCCAAGCAGAUUAUCCUGGACGGUUGAUCCUUUGGCCAACACAAACACUGAAAGUGCCAUACAUGGAAUAAACUGUAAUUAGAAGGCUCAAAGUUAUCAAAACAUAAUUAACCAUCCACAUCCAUAUUAGUUUGGAAGAUUGCUAGCUAAAAGAUCUAAUGCUGAUACUUAUAUUUACCAACAUAACCAAAAUACUGCUUAGGUGUAUUCUGAAUGACAUUUCUCUAUCGAGUGACCACUGGAUACCUUUUGUUCAAAAAUGUUUAUAUUGCUGCCUUCCCAUUUUUCUUUCGUAUGUUUGUCUUCCCUACUGCAGUCAGUAGACACACUUGGUCAUCUUUGAACGAACAUCAGAUGUUUGUUUGCAGAUGUUCAAUUGUUGUUGUCAGCCAUGGUGAUCCACUUCAAAUAUUGCAUACAGUUCUCCAUGCAGUGAAGGAACAUGCAUCGUCCAGUGAGGAGGGCAUUUUGUCAAGAAUUAAAGGAGUUAUGGUGCAUUCAAUCCUAUCUCAACACCGAAAGUCUGCCUUGAACACUGGAGAGCUGCGCUGUGUCAUAUGACUUUGAUUCUUACAUAUGGAAAAGUACAUUUCUUAGUAAAAAGAUUUUAAGUCAUGGCAUUGUUUGACCAGCUUUAUCAAACUAUAAAGUUGGUUGACUAUCUUGCAUCUUUGAAGGGGCUUCAAAGACAUAUAUUUUAUCAGGUUACUCACCAAGGACUUCUUUUCCUCACCAGUUGGAUACUCUUAAUACCGUUACUUUUUCACUUUGAUCAACGGCGGUCUCUGGGAAUUGGUACUACUGCUUUGGCUACCUUGUGAUGUAUUGGUUUGUCGUUCCAAGAUAGCAUCUGAUUGAGUUGGAAUGCUGAAUAUUUUAUUAUUUUUUAUAAUGUUGUGCUUGUCAAGGUAAUUAAUGGAGGCUCCAUGAAGAGUCAUUUUUCAGGGAUGGCAAUUUUGCUCCAUCGGGUAUCUGAUCCGAUCUAAUUCGAAUAUGAUAAAUUUUAUCUGAUCCAAUUAAAAUCUGAGACGGAUAUGGAUUUAAAAAAAAAAAAUCUGAAAUAGAUUUAGAUCGGAUAUGAGUAAUAGUAUAUUCCGUCCCGAAUCCGAUUCAAUAACUUAUAUAUAAAUUUCCAACACAAAAUCCUAACCAUCGUCUAAGCUUACUUAUUCGGCCAGUCCAAGCCUCCCAUCCGAUGAGAACCUAAAUCCUAGCCAUCGUUUUCCCUAUUCGGCUCAUAGAGGCAGAGGCGCUGAGCAUGACGAGUAGAGAUUGAAGGACUACGCCGUCAUGAGCUUCUCUUGCCUUUCUUCUUUUUCUCCCCCCUUCAAUGGAUGGCGCUUUUAGAAGCUCAUCCUGAGUUCCUCCAAGCCCUAUCCUUCAUCUGGGGCCCUCCCACCUCCUUCCAAAUCUUCGAUUUUUUGAGACUUCUCAUUUCCUACCUCUUUAGAUUCUUUCGUCUUUGCUUUCCCCGUAAGGCUUUUCCUAAAUUUUUUUAGUGGAUUUUUUGUAGAAAUUGAAGCCUUUGAGUAUGCAAAAGCAUCUGAUGGUUAGCAGGGUAUUUGGGUCCGAGGAAAAAGAUUCCAAGAUUGGGUCGUCGACCACCCUCAGCAAGGUUUUCAUCGAAGAGGUGAGUCGUUGAUUUAACUUUUAUUCUGGGGUUUGAAUUUUUAUAAUUAUUUUUCUCAAAUUGAUCUUGAUUUUUUUUCUUGAGUUCUUGAGGGAUGGGUUUUAGAGAAGAACAUUGAAGUGAUUCAGAAGCAAUGGGCAUAUUUCUUUAUGUAAUGAAUUUGACUACAAAUAAUUGAUCUUCUUCUUCUUCCUUGAGCCAAGUUUAUAAUCACAUCAGAAGAGAAAAAAUUUUUCUAAAAAGUUCUUUAGUUUGAAGUCAUAGGAUACACUAAUUCAAUUGAUUAUUUUUUAUUUUUUCUUUUUUUUUUUUUGAUCGAAGAUCAAAAAAAAAUUUUAAUCAAAAGAGGGAUUUUGAAUAUAUCUAACAUGAUCUAAUCCAUCCUUAUAUCUCUGUUUUACUCAAUCCCAUCCAAUCCGAUCCAAGAUGUAUACGAGAUAAAUAUAGAUAUGGAUAUGAGUUNUUUUUUUUCUCAUAAAAUAAAUAUGGGUAUUAAUCUACCCGAUAUAUAUCCGGUCCGUUGCCACCUUUAGUCAUUUUGCCACUUGUAUUGCCCCUGCCACGUAUUAAAUGUUGUUGAGGUCUACCAAACCCAAGCAUUGAAAAUUCUCGGGAUCAAGGAGGAUCUCAACCGCCCUAAAGAACCUAAAUUUGCAGAGGGAGAAAACCACUAUGAUUAAUUUUUUUUUAAAAAAAAGAUUGAAUUAUGUGAUUACACCUAUAGUCUACAGCUAGAGAUGGACGGGUAUCUUUUCAUUCAUGUGAUGCAGGAUUGCAGGUUGUAUGAUGGCAAAUAAAAGUUGUUCAUUGUUAAGCUUUCAGAUUGAAUUAUUUGUAACAGGUUACAGAAAAGUAUCAAACUUUAUCGAACCUCAGCACUUGAACGAACAAGCUGAUAUAGUAGAACGUUAUCUGUUGGAUCUGGCUGGCGCUUCAUCCAAGACGUCCUCAAUCCUUUCACCCGCCCUCUACUGUUCCGGUGCCCCAGGCUAACAGCGGAUUAAAUAAUUAUAACCAUCCAGGAAACAAAGUUUCUUCGAGUUUUAUAUGACCAUAAGCUUCUAUACGACUGGUUCAUACAUCGCCACAGUUUACCUGUCUUAUGUUCUUAAAUUAUACAUUAUCUUUCAUUCACAUCUCUGUGCUAAUCGUUCCACAAUUCUAAUAACAAUAUCAAAGGUUUAAUUUUACCCUAAUAUAUCUUUUCAAGCUAGUUCAUAGUAAAAUUCUCUUAUAUUAUCUCUUAAAGAGACUAUUUUUUGUCCUUUUAGUCAUUAGACCAUCAUGAGUUUUGCCUCACCAGUUUGAUCUCAAAAGUUAUUUAACUUGCCUGAGCUCAAAAGCAACUUCUUUGUGAUGGUUGAGGAGAAUCAAAAGAACAUGCUUGUUGCAGCUUCAACAUAAAAACAACCAAGCUGACCCCAAGCAAUGCCAUUUCCAAUUUUCCAUCAUGGACAUGAUAAAAUAUUCAAAUAUGGACAUGUUUUAACCAACUUGGAGGUCAUUUUGGCAUUUACCACAUGUUAUCAACUACUAGUUAUAACCCUGCGCGAUUAUUAACUUCAACCAUCAGCUUCUGCAUCUCCCAUACCUUAUAUUUCAUCUUCAUCUGGCAUUCCAAAUGGGACCAGAACUUCAUCAGCAGCUUGGUUGGAAGUCCCCUUCUCAGGUUCCUCAUCUCUGGCUACUGCCUCCUCAGCAUCCAUCAUCUCCUCAUCAAAAUCUUCAGGGUUUUCUUCAACUUUGUAAUACACCUAAAGUUGUAAACAAGGAUAUUUCAAUCAAUAUGGGAGUCAAUCUACAAUUUCAAGAAGAAAACAUAGAAGAAUAUGAUUAUCAUACCACACAAGUGCGAGCAGGAGAUAGGACUUUGAACGAGUUUGGCCGAUUGUUAAAAUUUGUUUCAGGUACUCCUGGUAUGCCUUCGGGGGUCGUGAAAUGGUCCACAUCAUGACCAACCUGCAAUGCAAAAUCAGAGGAAAUAUAUCAAUAGAUUACCGGUAUCAGGAUAUGACGGACAAGGAAUUGAGGAAACUUCUAGAAAAAUGGAACAAUGAUUUCAUGCUGACCUAUGAAGUUAAUGUAACUCAUGCGUGCUGCUUACGUGCCAGUGUUGGAGGAUGAUAAAUGAGAAACUAAUCAUGCAACAUCUAACACCUAGUCAUGUGUCUCAUCGGUAUGGUUCUUGCAGCAAAACAAUGGUGAAGCGGAUGUGAUCUCAGAAGUGAGUAUUUGUAAAAUGGAACUCAAUAUUUGGUGUAAACGUUAGAAAUUUGAUGUUGAUCCACGAGUACUGCUAAAACAUCCAUACUGGAAGAUGUCAUACGAGUAGUCAAAAUGUAACAUGCAGACACGUAGUCAUGCAUCUGUAUCAAUUUAUGAUAUAGAAGGCACAAACUACUCUUGCAGCAAACAAUGCAGACCUAAUCCGAGCUGAGAAAUGUACACCAACAAAAAAUUGUCAUGUAUGGCAAUGGCAUCUUACUCUUCCAUGUCCACCAAAUUGAAGAGCAUCACUAUCCAGUGCAACUCUGUACUUUCCUGGCAAGUCACACCCAAUUUUAUACCUGUGUUUCAGAAAAUAAUUAGAUACCAGGUUCAAGCAAUGAAAUCUUCAGUAAUUGUCUUAAAUAGAUAACAAAUUACCCAUCAUAGGUGUUUUCAGGAUGGAAAUUGAACACAAAAACCAAAUCUCCACGUUCACAAACAAUUACCUGCAAAUAAAAAGAACUCGCUUAAAAAUCUUAUGAUGACCAGAGAAAUGAUAAGUCUAGAGUGGAGGCCAGAGGAGGCUUAUUAUCAGAAUAAUCCUCUAUGAGAUUGGGUAGCAUCUCUGGAUAAAAAACAAAUCUAUAUAUUAAACUUCUGAAACAACAAACAGGCGAAUUUGGAAACUAUAGUUGUUCAAAAAUUGAAUUAUCAUCUUGCUAAUAGCUGUAACUUUCAGAUUUAAAAAGUAGAACGAAAGUAAUUUAACUCUUGUUUUAGAGAUGCUGUAGGCAGCAAAUCAAGAUGAGCCUAAGGUACUUUUCCCCCUCCAAAAUGUUGAUAAAAUUGCUGAUAUUCGCAUUUGAACCAAGGUCAUCCCAAAUGGAGAGGUGUCUCUACAUACAGACCAAGACCCAUAUGGGUGAGUCAUACAGCCAGCAGCUUAAGGUAAGAAGGCACCGCACAUGAUCCAGUUAACUUUAGCAAUUACAAGAUAAUUGCCUUGUCCCUCCCUCUUUGAGAAGAAUGGCUGGAGUGCCAUCUUUUUGAGUCAAACUUAGAACCUCUUGCCUAAUUAAGCACUGAGAGGUGUCGAGCAACUGGCUGAAGCCCCGUUAACCAUUAGCAAGUAUUCUUGGGUUGCUGGAUUACAGAAAUGGAGCAGCAAGUCUUUUGACCAUGUAUAUCAUUUUCAGAAACGAUGCACGUGUUAACUUCAAAUUCAGUAUCAGUGAACACUUAUGUUACUAUGAGAAUGCUCAUAUCAGUCCUUCAAAAAACUGAACGCUCAUAUCAGGAAGAGAAGAAACAGACCGAUGUGGUAUAGCUUAAUUUCUCUAGACAUUUUUGCAUUUUUUGAAUUUGGUAUUUGUAAAUUAAGGCAUCUCGGGCAUAAGAUAUGAGCAUUCAGGGAGAGUUAGCAAUGCUGUCUACACACAAAAAACACAUAAGAUGGUUCGGGAAGGAGUUGAUAAGCAUUUGAUGUUUUGGUAAGUCAUCAAAAAGAGCUUCAUUAGCAGCAUAACACAAAAACUUUGACCUCUCAAGGUAUACCACAAUAAAACUACACGUGAAUGAAAAUUGCGCAAGGUGCAUGAACAUGCACAUAAAAACGCAAAGGCAAAAAUGACAUAUAUGAACCCAUUAUUUGCAACAUGUUUACCUUGUCCUCUUCAUUUACACUGCUCACAAUCUGCUUUGUUGAUGCAAGGAAUGAAAAUCUAUCAUCAAGCAAAUUCAUCGCUCUAUCAAACGCAUUCAAGUGCUGGUUUCAGUAAACAAAGAAUACAUAUGCUUAGUUAAGACAGAUAGUUCAGAUAUUAAAGAAAAGCUCAAAUUAAAAAAAGAUGGGUGAUGCAUGAGCUAAUAGACAAAAUGUUAACAUCUGAUAUGCUUUGUUGACCACUUCCCAAACAGAUUAAGCUCAUAGGAUCUAGUGCUUAGUUAAUAUGGUAGCAGAGCAAAAGGCCACUGGUUCAAAUCCCCAUUCAAGCCAAUUUUUCUUCAUACAGCCAUUUAUUAUCUCGAGUAUUUUCUUUUUUGACUCAUUCUCAGCUAGUUACCAAGUCAUUCUUGAUUCAUCAACAAGUUGUUUUUGACUCAUUCAUGCCAUCGCAUGUGUGGUCCCAAGCACAUGUCAGGGGCAGGCAUUAAGACCUGAUAUGUAUUGUUGACCCCUUUCCUGAAAACUUAGACUUUUGGGGUCUAGUGGUUAGUUAGCAUAGAACAGGGAAAAACAUAUGCUGUAAAAAAGGUUGCAACAAGUACACUCCGAUGGUAUACAAUAUGAACCAAGAGGCAGCUAAAAAUUCCUGAAAUACAUAUAUUCAAGGAAAGAAAAAAAAUGUAUUAUAUUCAGUAUGAGCAUGACUUGUCGAUUGCAACUUAGAAUAUGGUUUGCGCGUGUAAAUCAAAUCUUGAAGGUACUAGUGGAAUUAAGUUAACUGAUAGGAUAUUGGAUUUUGAGAGAAAGGUAUUAAUGGAAUUAACUGAUAGGUUUGAUGAUACGAAGACAACCAACCUUUUUUUUUUUUUGAGAGAAAGAAAAGGAGGGAGAAGGACCCGCCCACACCAUCAUGGUUCGCAGAACCAUCCCAAACUGCCUGUAUUGGGGCAUAUUGUGCCAUACCAAUGCAGAACUAGGAUGAAUUCUAGGUUUGGAUCAGUAUAUUAACAAAACCAGUCCAAACCGGUCCGAACUAAGCAAAACCAUUCUGUACCACCUGAUACCAACCCAUACCAUCCAGUUUUGGGCUGUACCAUGACUGAGAGUGAGAAAAAAGCAUUAGGAAUCUGUGUCGAUACAGGGUGCAUACUGUAUCAUAUUGACCGUGCCGAAGCAGUAACAUAUCAGUGUGGUUCCCAAUACUGAUUUUGCAGAUGUGGCAUGCUAUAUCUAGCUAGGUUCCAACACUUGGGGAUUCACAAUCUAAAAUUAGAAGCCAGAACCUCUGGUUGCCAAGCAGAGAGGUAUGACAACAAAUGCAAGCCCCAGUUUUACAGUAUGAAGGCAACAGUCAGUCCUAUCAUUGAUGCAAUAGCCUAAAAUAGACACAUCCACAAAAUUUCAAAAUCGUAAUAUAUGAUUCAAAUCUCUGCAGAAGUAAUGCAAGAAGUGAUAGAAAAUGUGAAGAUAAGGGUCAGUAUAUAUCACCAAUGCAAUUCUUGAGAAUAAUAUGCCAAUAAAUGAGCAUGAAAACAUAUACACACAGAUGCAUACGCAAGCAUGCGUGCAAACAUGGAUGAGGACAUCCAUCCAUCUAGAGAAUAAUAACUUUCUUAAAAUAUAUUUAUGAAGGCAAUCACAAACCUUGUAUCUCAGGUGAUCAGUGUCAACAAGGUUCCACUGGCGUCUGCACUUAUCAUAACUCCAACCAUUGCCUUCUCUUGGAAAGUCAAUCCAUUCUGGAUGACCGAACUAUAACGAUCAUAUGCCAUGGUGGUUAAGAUAUUCACAUAUAUUUAGGGAAGAUGAAAUGAUCACGAGCAAAUAGCUAGAACUGCCAUUGUUGGACAUACAUAAAAACUUUAUUAAGGGAAAUAAAAUUUUCAAAUUUUAAUUCACAAGUGCCACAGAUAAAAAGCAACUAAAAUGGCGAAAGUUGAUACUCUACUGAGUCUAUCACAUUCUCAUGCACUGAUUUAGAAUGAUGAAUAUCUCGUCCGUGAAAUAUAACUAAAUUACAUUACAGAAGAAUGGGAGAAAAAGAUGAUGUAAACUCUGCCUACCAAAUUUUUUUUAAAAAACAUACACAAAAAAAUAGAUGCAUGGGCCAUUCAUGAAAAUUAUAAGUAGCAAAAAAAAAAAAAGAUUAACAAAAUUUUCUAGUUUUUGUUUUAUGCAAAGAUGGGUGAACCAUCUUGAAACACCCUAUUCAGGGCAUAUUGACCAAAACCAAUCGAUUAUCGAGAUGGAUCGACCUUCCAAUUUGAUUUGGGUUUGGGCUUUACAUAACCCUCUUGCUCGUCUCACUCACCUCGCUCUCACUAGGGUUUUGUCACUACUACCCCUACCAAUGAUGACAGCAACGACAAUGAUGGACCAAUACGCAUCCCUCUCUCUCUCAAUCCCUCACCCUCUUCAUUCUCUCCAUUCUUUUUCUCUCUCACUUGCCUCUCUCUCUUCUCUCUCUCGUGCACCCUCCACUUGCUCACUCUCUCACUCACCUUGCUCGUCUUUCUCACUAGGGCUAGGGCAUCAUCACUGCCACCACCAACAACUACAAUGACAAACCAGUACAUGCCCACUCUCUCUUACCCUCCCUCUCCAUUCUAUCUCUAGUCUCUAUCUCUCCUCUCUUGCCCUCUUUGUCCAAGGAAGCCUCAGCUCCCUUCCUCGUUCACCUCUCUCUCCUUCCCUCCCUCUCCUUCUCCCUCUCCCUCCCUUGGUUAUAGUACAGCUCAGGUCGACACAGUAAGUACUGAUACCAUACUGAACUGGUCACCAGCUAGUAUGAUGCUCGGUACCGGUUAGGCGAACCUUGCUUUUAUGACUUUGUUAAACACCAGCAUGAAUUCAAGUUUGUUCAAAUCCACUUUGUUCAACAUUAUUAUAAGUUUAGACAUGAGUAUCUAUGUGCUCACAGCUUAUCCAUUACUUUCUUUUAAUCAUGAAAGAAACAGGCUUGCUGACCACUUUAAUUUAAUCAGUAAAUUAACAGAAGAAGGUAGUAGAGAAUGGUUGCUGAUUUAAUUUCGACAAGCUUGAUUUUGGUUCUCCCUUUUGACCACCUUCAAAUUUAUAAACCUGUUCUUCAAAGACCCAGAUUUAUAAAACUAAAUAUCUCACACUAUUGUUUCAGAUAUGCAAAAGCACUAAGUGGUUGCAUCAAAUAGUCUUGCACCAUGUAAGCAAGGUUAGUAUGAGAAACAGGGAGAAAACAACCCCGAGAAUCAUUUGUCUAUCAGAAGAAAAUGAGGUCCCCUAUCUUAAAUAGGAUGUACACUUUACUGAGUAGUAAAAAUUGAUCACAAUUUAGCAACCACUGUACUGUAAAUUACCUUGCCAAGAACUCAAAGAACUUCAUGCUAACUUAUAUUUGGAUAGUAUAGUGAGAUUAACUCUAUCAGUUUUGAUCCAUAGCACAGGUACAUCAGGAAGCCCGAUGUUCUAGUUAAUGGACGAUGAGAAACAGUUAAAUGCACAAAUAACUAAGAUCAAAUGUUGAGGCAAAUAAUGGACAUAUGCACUGCCAUGCAACUGAUGAUCUUACCAAGUAGAGGUUGAAGUGAAGAAGUAAGACUAAGAGAGGGUAUUUGUUUGAUUGCUUCAAUUCUUAACCUUUUUUUUUCCUUUUUUCAGGUAAUAUGUGCCAUCAUAUCCUGUUGGAAAAGUCAAGCAAAGCAAGUUGUGCGUAUGGGCACAAACAAAUGUAAAAUUUCAGAUUAUGAUUAUGAUAGUUAUUCAUGAUAAUAACAUAAUAUCUAUUCUUGGAGAAGCUGUUGAGGUCAUAAGUUCGUUAACUAGAUUAUUCUUCUAGAAAGGAUUAUAGAUUUAAAUGGUUUCUUGGAAGAGACUCUCUCUCUCUUCCUCACAUACAGACAUACAAAUAUCUGCUUGACAAAUGAUAUUCAAAUCUCAGUAUUAUUUUAUAAUAUAAUCAGCAGAGAAUUAAGCACAGAAAAUAACAAUACCUCAUUUCCCAUGAAAUUUAAGUAACCUUCACCUCCUAGUGCCAUGGUUAUGAAGUGAAUCAUCUGCAAUAUUUCAACAAAAGACAUAAAGAAGGCAGAUACUCCGUGAUUACUAAAAUUGAAAUGAUAAUAGCACAUGAAACCAUAAAGCUACCAAAAAAUGCUGUCGCUUUAACAUUACAAAGAUAACCAUUAAAAUUUAUGAAAGACCACCUUCAUAGACCUCUACUUAAAUGCCUAAGAUAAAAGCCAUAGGCAUAAACCUUAUGAAGUGCAAUCCCUCGUUCAACUACAGGUGAAGCAGGUUGUAAAUCAGACAUUCCAGAGUACAUUUCCUUAUCCAUCAAUAAAAAGGCAAUUGUCUUGUCUCCCACAAUGGCCUGCCAAAAAGAAAAUAAAGUGCUUCCCUCAGAAAGUUACUUAAAUUGAUAACAUGAAAUCUCCAGAAUUUCUAAGUCUAAAGAUUGGCAGUUCAGCUAUUUAUUUGGUACAGUGUUUAAAUGAUAGAGGAUCUCCUUCCCCUGCAGAAUUAUUUUCUGGAAAAUUAAAUCUAAGAAUUUAAUAAAUAAAGCCAUAGGAUCAUCUAUUCCCUGACUUUGAGGAAAACAGCAAGUGUUAACAUGAUGCAACAUUACCUCAAACUUUUAGACUCUUAGACAACAGAUGCAAUAAAUAUUAAUUUAUCACCAGUGUGCACUGUGCCAAAAGAAUUAGUGAAUGAUUAACAUAUGGACAUCAUUUCAGCUACCUGAUCAUGGCUCUCUGCAUAUGCUAUACACAUUUCACUGUAUCUCCGGUUGGUUAAACUCCACACAAUUUCUUGCAUUGACCAUUCCAUAUCUUUUUUGUUCUUCAAGUAGUCGAUCCACUUGUCAGGAAUUGCCAUUGCCAACCGAUAGUCAAAACCCACUCCACCUUCAUAAACUGGCCGACAUAGAGAUGGCAUCCCUGAAACAUCUUCAGCAACUACAGUUGCAUCUGGCAAGAGUUUGUGAACCAAGUGAUUUGCCAGCAUCAUAUAAACAACACCAUCCACAUCAGUUGCCUCACUAAAAUACUCACUAUAAUUUCCAGUGAAUACCAUGUUGAUACCAUGAUGAUGAUAAAGCAUUGAAGUGACUCCAUCAAAUCGAAAACCAUCAAACUGGAAUUCUUCCAACCACCAUCUGAGGUUAGAUAAAAGGAACCUCAAGACUUCCCAAUUAGCAUAGUUGAAUAGUCGGCUGUCCCACAGCUUAUGGUAACCACGCUCCCCAGUAUGGAAGUAAGAUUCUUGAAUACUCUGUCCAACAUCAAACCCAUUAAGACCAUCAGUGACAUUGUUGCUUGCAUGGCUAUGGAUAACAUCCAUCAGAACACGCAGACCUAAACUGUGUGCUUUGUCAAUCAGAUACUUGAGGUCCUCAGGUGUUCCUGAUCUAUUGCUAACAGCGAAAAAAUUUGUGACAUGAUACCCAAAAGAUGCAUAGUAGGAAUGUUCCAUAAUAGCCAUCAACUGAACUGUAUUGUAGUUAUUUGCUUGUAUGCGAGGCAGAACAUUGUCAGCAAAUUCUCUGUAUGUACUCACGCGUGGUUCUGAACCACUCAUCCCGACAUGAGCCUCGUAUAUGCGUGGAGCUGCAGGUUUCGGAGGGCGAGGGUACUUAAAAACAUACCUGCACGAAUGCCCAUCAGUGUUCUAUGCCAUUAAUUUAGAAUUUUUGUUCUCAAACAAGUCAUAGCUGUGAAAAUGCAAUAUGAAACAAAAAAUCAUUUCUGAGAUUGAGGUUUACGAAAAAGAAAAAAGGACCUCAGACCUUUCUGAAGGUGGUGGAUCCCAAUGAACUCCAUCAUAUGGAGCUGCAAAUCGAUUAGGAUCAACAGUUGUAUAUCUGAUCCAAGCUGGAAUUCUAUCAACCCAUAUUCCAUUGCCAUGCUUAAAGCGAAAUUUAACCCUGGAAUUGUGAGGAAUGGAUGGCUUCCCAUCAGCGUCUGGAAUUUUAAUCGUCCAAACACCAAAUUCAUUUCUUUCCAUUCUGUGGUUCGACCCAUCCCACCCAUUAAAGUCGCCAAUAAGUUGUGCUUCCCUGCAUCAGCAAAUGGAAACUUCCUCUUUUAUAUAUCCAAUGAUUGCAGUGACGUCCAAUAAUCAUUAGUCAACAAGCUUUCUAUAUCGAUUUAGAAAAAGAAACUUUUGUACAUACAAGACUUUAUUAGUUAUCCUGGCAGUGGAGGAGUAAAAUACCAGAAUUACCGAUUUAUUUCUCAUGAUUUUCAGGAUAAGUGUGACAUUUUUAUCUUGAUAUUGAAAAUUCUUAAAUGUGUAAUCAUGGUUUAGAAAUUUGUCAAAAGGAAAUCAUUUGGGAGUUUGUAUGAACCGCUUCAAAGUAAAACACUAAAAUAAUGUUCUUGCGGUCUUACCAUUUUUUCGGCUCUAUCAUUCUUUACUUCUGAAAUGUGUUCCUCCAACCAGAAGUAAAGCCUUUGGCUUUAGCCAACACUAAUCAGUUCAAUUAAACAAUUUCAGAAUUUAUGAUAAUGGAUAAGAGUCCCAUUUUUAAAUUGUGAUCCUUGACACAUAACUAGCACCUAAUGGACCAUGCUAUGAAUAUGAGACCAUAUAAGCAAUUAAAAUCAAGCAGAGCUAAAAGCAGUCCGGAAGCUAGGCAACUGAAAGAUAGCCAGAAAACUCACUCUGCAGCAGGAGCCCAUUCACGGUAUACGAUCCCAUCCUGUUCUCUAUUGAAUCCAAACUUCAGAUAACCUUAGAAGGGAAAAAAAAACAAAGAAAGGAGCAUAUGGCCAGUAAGAUAAUUUCUCUUGGCAAAUAUAUCACUCAUGCAUGCAUAAGGUAACCUAGAGAGUUAAAACUGAUAUGUAGAUGAUAACUGCAUGCAUUUCAAAAAUACAUUUUCACCUUGAGUGAAUUCCUCCAAACUCCCUUCAUACUUCUCAAUCAAUGAUUUUUGCUCUACGUAUCUCUUGGAUCUAUAGACAAAAUGGUCUUUAAAUUGUUCUAAAGAUGGAUCCACAUUGAAGAUACCAAGAUGUUCAGCAUCUUCCUCAACGGUGGUCAUAGCUGAGUUGUCUUUCAGGAUCGUUGAGAGUGCAAAAUCAUGCUCAGGCUUGUAGUGGUACAAAAAAGAAUCAGUAAGAGAAGAAAACCAUGUAAUUAUAGGCUUAUAGCAGUCAAAGAUAAUAAUAUUAUUGCAAGUUCAGACUAGUAUUUAGCAAAGAUGUCAGCCAUUUUUUUCCCAAUAACAUAAUUUUCCAGGAGAAUCAGUUACCUUCUGAUUUAUUGAUAAUCUAUGUGGGCAUGAAAAAGGAUAUUGCCAGCGAGAUCUCUUGGAUCCAACAGCUAGAAAAAAUGAAUGUGGUUGACCAAGAUCUUGAUUGCUUGAAGCCUGCAAGUGAGAGAUAACAGGCAUAGCAAGUGUACUUUACAUGUGUUGAAGCAAAACACAAGCAUAAGAUGGCAGUUAAGCAUACUGACAAACCUGAGACAUCAUUUAUAGUUACAACUAUAUAUAAGGGAACCUAAAUCCCUUGCAAUUAUAAAAUUUCAAACUUCUUCUUAAGUAGGUGACUGACACAUCCAUGAUGCUUUUCUAGUGUCAACUUCAAAUUUUUCCCAAUCCCCUUUGAAAUGGCAUUAUCAACUUAGACCACUCAGCUGUUUGAUUCAUUACUUUUAACUCAAGAUAUAUGUCUUUGUACACAAAAUACAACCAAAAUAUCAAGCAUAUAUAAACCAAGAGCUUAUUUCAAUAGCCAUAACAAACAACCGUCAUCGCCUUUUUUUGUUUUAAAUCUUUCCUUGUGAAAUAUGGUGGGAACACCACCACCAAGAUUCAAACCCUGAACCUCUCCCAGGUAGAGGGGUGAUAACCAGCUAAAAUAAGGCUGGUUGGCAACCAAGAAGCCUCGUGGUAGCAUGUCAGUUUUUCGCAUCCUCCACAAAAAACAAACAUAUUCAGUUGACAUGAACAUCUGUUCUAGUUCCCAGUUUCUAUCCCAAUUUACUUGCUUAGCUGUGCAUGAUCUUAGUCUAUUUGUUAAAUUACAAACCAUCUUAUUCUUUUCAUCAUACAACAUUAUCUCGAGGCAUCAAUGACUUUUUCGUGCAAAACUAGAUAGGAAGGCACACUUUUAAGUCAUCUAGGCGUUAUCAUAAUUCAUUACUGCAUCAUUAGCCAAACAUAUGCAUCACAAGAAGACCCUUCCGCCGAAAAAACACAGACUAUACAUACACUACUUACAACAAUCAAAUCAAUCAGCACAAUUUAACGGUUAAAACAAAAUAAAAACAGAACAUUAUGACCACCUACCCAAAUAAUAAACCAUCUUAAAGGACACUAAGACUGUUGCAGAAAGAGAAAAGAGGAGACAAUAGAUCAAAUGAAAUGGCCAUCUAAAUAAGGAAACAAGUUCACAGGAAUACAAACUGCACAGAAUGCCCCAAAAGAUGAAAGGAGAUAAAAAGACCAACAGACAACUUAAACAUCACGCUAAACUGUUCCACAGACCCACACACAAAACCUAAAUAAGACCAAAUUAGCACCAGAGAGCUUAAAAAAAUUCAAAAAAAAAAAAUGGAGAAGCAACAAAGUCUUUAAGACUCAAAAAAAAAAAAUACCCAAAUAUUUUAAAAAAAUCCAUUCCAAGAGAGAGCAAACGAAUCGUGCCUUUCUGAAACUCCUUCUGGAGUUCAAAGAAGCUCGAGCGAGAGAGAGAGGCGGACACGAGCACGACAUUUUUUUUCCCUUUCCCUCGUUAUUCUCUGAGACGGCCUUCUCGCCGGUGCUGCCAAGUACCAAAAGCCUCGUCACAGCCUUCCAUCGCUUGGAAAUGAUUCCACCUCACAUAAUGUUAGUUUCCCGGGGCCCUCGAUUCUCGGCUCUCGCUCUCGGGCUUUCGCUGGAAACAAGCAAGGUACGCGUGAUUUUUUUAAAUUAAAGUGGUCCGAGGGCAGGAGCCUCGACACGUUCGGGAUAAAGCGGACAGUUGAGGCCCCGCGCGCAACCCUAUCGCCCAAGUUCGACGGAUUCAUUCUCUUGAACCAUCGCGUCAGUGUGGCCCAGAGCUGUCCCCCAUUGUAUCAGCGUGGCCCACCCCUGUCCCCGGACCCUGGUCCGUCCACGUGGAGCAUUUCCUUGCCCAUGGCAUGACCCCACAAGCAUCUCUCGAAGCUCGAGGUUUUUCUGUUUUAAGGUUCAAGAGUGAUUACGACGGAUCAAGAAUGUUGGCAGCAUAACCAAUUCCUAUAAUUUAAGAAUAAUCAAUUUUUUAAGAUGAUUUCUUUUCUGUACGUUGGGAUAUACCGACCGAUCCUGAUAUCGACUCACCGAUGCCGACUCACCGACGGAUCACGAUGCCGAUCCAUCCUCGAUGCCAACUCACCGACGGAUCCUGAUGCCGACCCAUUCUCGAGGAUGGACCGACCGACUUUGCCCGUCUGACGACGGACAACACCAACGAUAACUACCGAUCAUGUCCGGCCGGAACGUGUCGGCCUAACAGGCCGACACUGCCUCCGAUCACCUAAAAGCCGAUCUCGCAUCACCGACUCCCUGUCAGGUGGGACACCACCGACUCCCUAUCGAUUUGGACAACCGACGUCCGACCUCUAUAGGCCCUUCUGGAUGCCGAACGAGCGGUAUGGGCUGCAAUCCUGUCAAGGACAUGCCGUGCAACCGUCAGGGGGCAUUGUCCUGCCAGGAAUCUGGGGCGCUGUCCUGCCAAGGACGCGAAUUAAUUCCUAGGAUCUGUCAGCUCGUCAACGACGUGACAACCCCCGACGAUUUAACAACUCUUCAGUUGUCUAUAUCACCGACGGCGGGACCAUACCACCUCCUACUAUAAAACAAGGUAAGGCAGCAGCUUGAGGGGGGGAUUCCUCUCUCUCUCUCGCUCUCUCCACCGCNNNNNNNNNNNNNNNNNNNNGGUUUGGCGCGCCAGGAAGGGGGGGCGGUUGGCACACGACCUCCAUAGAGUUCGAAGAAUCUUUCCGAGAUGACAAAAACCAUGGCUCAGCGGUCGAGAACCACCGGAUCGGCGAGACGAUCUUUCCGUCGGGGAGAGGCUUCUCCACCACUCCCCGCCGCAGAGCCUAGCUCUUCCCAUCCCGCGGUGACCACGGAGGCGCAGAUCGCAACGAUCAUGCGGUAGAUGACCGUGUUGACGGACGCGGUCAAAAGCCUUCAACCCACCCGGUUGCCGCGCUCGCCGGCGGAGCAAUCAGCAGCGCGUCCGAUGCCCUCCAGGAGCAGCCGCCGACGCCCGCGUCGGUCUCCGUCUCCUCCUCGGGAGCAGCUGUCGCAGCACUCCCACCGAGAGGAAGAGAGGCGGCUAUGACAUGAUGCCCGCCGGUCUCGACGACUGUCUCCUUCCCAGCUGGAACGAGCAAGGAAGGAGAAGCGGCCGCGAACACCGUCCGCCUCCCUCUCGGAUUCAUUAGGAGACUCCACCCUCGGAGUCUCUCAGCACCGACGGGCCGACGACUACGAACGUAGGUUUGAAAAAAUCGACCGUCGGCUUGCCCAGCUACAGGUGGAUGGACAGAAGUCCUCGAACGACGUCGACUUGCAGACCGCCCAACCUUUCUCCCGACUCAUCCUCGACGAACCGAUCUCCGGUCGAUUCAAGAUGCCACAUCUGGAGCCUUACAACGGCUCUACUGACCCUGUCGACCACCUGGAGAGCUAUAAGGCUCUCAUGACGAUCCAAGGGGCAACCGAUGCCCUUCUCUGCGUCGGAUUCCCCGCCAUGCUUCGCAAAGCCGCCCGGGCCUGGUACUCCGAUCUUCGACCAGGAAGUAUCCACUCCUUUGGGCAGCUCGAGCACUCUUUCGUGGUCCACUUCAGCACCAGUCGGAAGCCACCACGAACCUCGGACAGCCUUUUCUCCCUCAAAUAGGGAGAAAACUAGACGCUCCGACACUUCGUGGUGCGAUUUAACGCGGCCACGCUGGAGGUUCGGGAUCUCAACGAGGAUAUGGCUAUCUCAGCCAUGAAGCAGGGGCUGAAGGCAUCCCGAUUCACAUACUCUCUGGACAAAACCCUCCCCCGAACGUACGCCGCACUGCUGGAGCGCGCGUACAAAUAUAUGCGCGCAGACGAAGGAGCUUCCGACCGAUGCCUGACCGAGUCCAAGGGCCCGAAAGAGAAGCGAAGGAAGGGUCGGGCCCCUACCGAGCCUAGCAAGCCCCCGACCGACAGACGGGUCUCGCCCCCACGACGGAGCCCCAGAUCACCUCGACGGUGGAGUCCGAGGCCGACGCGCCCCCAGUAUGAUUCCUAUACCCCUCUCUCUGCUCCUCGUGCGCAGAUUUUGAUGAAAAUCGAAGGGGAGGAAUAUCUGCGACGGCCCCCGCCUUUGAAGGCAAAGGGCCUCGACAGGCGAAAGUACUGUAGAUUCCAUCGGGGUCACGACCACAAUAUCGAGCAGUGCAUCCAACUCAAGGAUGAGAUCGAAGCUCUCAUACGCCGGGGAUAUCUCGACAAAUUCUGGAGGAACCCGCCAACUCAACCCAUCACCGACCGACGACUCCAGCCGUCUGAAGAAGCAACGACUAACCAGCCUACGGCUGGGGUCAUCAAUAUGAUCUCCAAACGAUUGGGCCCGAGGACGACUGCUGGAGGGGAGCCGACGAAGAAGCUGCACCCAGAUGAUGUAAUUACUUUUACAGAUGAAGAUGUUCGGGGUAUCCAAACUCUCCAUGACGACGCUGUUGUUGUCUCGGCAACAAUAGCAAAUUAUGAUGUAAAAAAAAAUCUUUGUAGAUAAUGAAAGUUCAACGAACGUUUUGUUUUACUCGACUUUCUCCCGGAUGCGACUGUCGACCGAUCGGCUCAAGAGAGUCUCUACGCCCCUGAUAGGCUUCGCUGGAGAUGCUGUCACGGUGGAAGGGAAAGUUACUUUGCCCGUGACGGCUGGAACUGAACCACGACAGAGCACAAUCCACUUGACCUUUGUGGUCGUCCGAGUGCCUUCGGCCUACAAUGCCAUACUUGAAAGAUCUGGACUAAACGCCCUCAGGGCGAUAGUCUCAACGUAUCAUCUGCUGGUUCAGUUCCCAACCAAAAAUGGAGUCGGAGAGAUGCGCGGGGAUCAACAACUCAGCCGACGAUGCUUUCAGAUCUCUGCUCAAAGCGAUGAACCGAAGGGCUCCCUGACGGUCGACAAGCUGGACCAACAGAAAGAAGAAGAACAGGGUCAACCAGCCGAACAGCUUGUUCCCAUCCCGAUAACGGAGAAUCCCGAACGAGUGGUCUGGAUCGGGUCUCAAUUACCCGACCCCGAGCGACGAUGGCUAGCGAAGCUGCUGAAGGCCAAUGCCGACGUAUUCGCUUGAUCGACAGCGGAUAUGUCGGGCAUCCCUCCGGAGACGAUGACACACCGACUCAACAUCGACCCAGCAAUGAGGUCGGUGAGGCAGAAGAAGCGGUCUUUUGCUCCCAAAAGAUAGAAGGCCAUUGAUGAGGAAGUGGAUAAGCUACUCGAGGUGGGCUUCAUUAGAGAAACUACCUAUCCCGAUUGGCUCACCAAUGUCGUUAUGGUGAAGAAAGCCAACGGAAAGUGGAGGAUCUGCAUCGACUACACCGACUUGAAUCGGGCCUGUCCGAAGGACAGCUUUCCACUUUCGAAGAUCAACCAGCUGGUGGAUGCGACAUCCGAUUAUCGACUGCUCAGCUUCAUGGACGCCUUCGUCGGGUACAACCAGAUCCGGAUGGCACCCGAGGAUGAGGAGCAUAUGGCUUUCGUGACCGCUAAGGGCCUUUACUGUACAAAGUAAUGCCCUUCGGUCUGAAGAACGCUGGGGCUACUUACCAGCGACUUGUCAAUAAGGUCUUCAAAGAUCAAAUCGGGUGCAACAUGGAGGUGUACGUGGACGACAUGCUAGUGAAGAGUGCGCAAACUUCGGAUCACGUGCAAGAUCUUGAAGAAACCUUCCGCACUCUACGACGACAUCGGAUGAAGCUAAACCCGACUAAGUGUGCCUUCGGAGUAACCUCGGGGAAGUUCCUCGGGUUCCUCAUUUUGCAACGAGGAAUCGAGGCCAACCCCGAGAAGAUCAAAGCAAUCGUUGACAUGCGACAUCCGGACACCAAAAAGGAGGUGCAGCAACUCAACGGAAGGAUCAUCGCGCUCAGCCGAUUCAUUUCUCGGUCGGCCGAGAGAUGCCUCCCGUUCUUCAAAACCCUGAGACAGGCAAAGCAUUUCUCUUGGCCGAACGAGUGCCGACAGGCCUUCGAGGAACUGAAGAAAUAUCUGACUUCUCCACCCCUACUUGUGAGGUCGGAGGUCGGGGAGGUACUGUAUCUUUACUUGGCUACCUCCCUAGAGGCAGUUAGCUCGAUGCUCGUCCAAGAGAACGAGAAUCGAGUUCACCAACUGAUAUAUUACGUCAGCAAAGUGCUUCACGAAGCCGAGACUCGGUACUCGUAGGUAGAGAAAAUGAUAUUUGCUCUGGUCAUUUCAGCACAGCGGCUCCGUCCAUACUUCCAGGCGCACGCUUCGUGGUCCUCACCGACCAACCCCUAAGAGCAAUCCUGCACCACCCUGACACAUCAGGACGGCUGGCGAAGUGGGCUGUGAGACUGAGCGAGUUCGACAUUCAAUACCGACCGCGACCUACUCUGAAAGCCCAGGUUCUGGCCGACUUUAUCGUGGAAUGCCCGACGACCGACCGAGCGUCGGGAGAGGGGAGCCUCGAAGAGGUUGGGACCUCCGAAUGUGACCCCGAUUCAACCUGAGUGUUGCACAUCGAUGGAGCCUCCAACGCUCGAGGGAGCGGGGCCGGAUUCCUGCUCACCAACUCGGAGAGAGUGGUUACCAAGCACGCCCUCCGAUUCGACUUCAAGGCCUCCAACAAUCAAGCUGAAUAUGAGGCGCUCGUCGCGGGCUUGGGGUUGGCACUGGAGCUCGGGAUCGACCAUCUCAAAGUCUUCUCCGACUCUCAACUGAUUGUUGGACAGGUCAAAGGCGAGUUCGAAGUGCGGGAUCCGACCAUGGCCAAAUAUCACCAAAAAGUAAAAGAUCUCGUAGCACCCUUCAAGUACUUCGAGAUCUUCCACAUCCCCAGGGCGAAAAACGCUCGGGCCGACGCACUCUCCAGGCUCGCGACAUCCGACUACGGUACCUUGGGCCGGACAUUCAUAGAAACUCUUGAACAACCGAGCAUCGACAAGAUCGAAGAGGUGCUACAAUUAGCGACAGAGCCGAACUGGAUGGAUCCAAUCGCUCAAUACCUGACCGACGGAACUAGCCCCGAAGACCCCGCGGAAGCCAAACGACUCCGGUGGGCGGCUUCCCAAUAUGUGAUGGUGGACGGCCGACUAUACAAAAGAUCGUUCUCUCUUCCCUUGCUGAAGUGCCUGGGGCCGACCGACGUGGACUAUGCCCUCAGAGAAGUACAUGAAGGGAUCUGCGGUAAUCACCUGGGGGGCAAAUCCUUGGCUUACAAAGUCCUGCGACAGGGUUACUACUGGCCCACCAUGAAGAAGGAUGCGGUUGAGUUGGUUCGGAGGUGCCAACCGUGCCAAAGGUAUGCCAACAUACAACACCGAUCCGCCAGCCAGCUCACUCCCGUCGUCGCCCCGUGGCCCUUCGCCCAGUGGAGAAUCGACAUACUCGGACCUUUUCCUCUGGCGUCCGAUCAACGGAAGUUCAUAGUCGUCGCGAUCGACUACUUCACUAAGUGGAUGGAAGUCGAACCUUUGGCGCAAAUCACUGAGCGGAAGAUAGAAAACUUCAUUUAGAAGUCCAUCAUCUUCAGGUUCGGAUUGUCAAACACCAUCAUUACCGACAACGGACGACAGUUCGACAACCAAGACUUCAGAGACUUCUGUGCGAGGUUUCAUAUCACGCACCGACUGACCUCGGUCGGGCAUCCACAGUCCAACGGUGAGGUCGAGUGACCAAUCGGAUCAUUCUACAUGGACUAAAGACCCGACUAAAUGAAGCCAAAGGCCUAUGGGUCGAAGAAUUAAACUCCGUCCUGUGGGCAUACCGAACGACGCCCCAUGUCCCAACUGGAGAAUCUCCCUUCAACUUGGCCUACGAAACGGAAGCAAUGAUCCCGCUGGAGAUCGGGUUACCGUUGACCAGAGUCGAGCAAUAUCGUGAGUCGGACAACUCUGAGUGCUGGAGAGCCGACUUAGACCUUUUGCCCGAACUCCAACGCGAGGCACAACUCCGUAUGGCUUCCUACCGACAAAAGGUGGCCCGAUACUACAACAACAGGGUUAAGCCGAAGCUUUUCCGACCCGAAGACCUGGUCUUAAGAAAGGUGGAAGUCUCGAAGCCCCUGGACCGAGGAAAGUUGUCCCUGAACUGGGAGGGACCCUACAAGAUAGCCGACACCUACGGACCGAGAGCUUACCGGCUAGAGACCCUAGAAGGAACGGCCAUCCCCCGGACUUAGAAUACCGACAAUCUAAAGCUGUACUAUCAGUGAACUUUGUAUCCACUUGCCCGGAAUACAAAUUCAGUUUCAAAACUUUGGAGUCCGAAAUUUCGACUCUUCGACUGUGGGUCGGCUCUCGCCAGGAGUACAAGCUCCGACGCCCCGACUUGGGCCCAACAUUCCGUUGGAAAUCAACGACCCGAUCGCCGACAACGCAUCGGACACUUACGAUGAUCGAUGUAUCCAUGACGACGGGAGCCACGCUCCUUCUACAGUCAGACGGGCAAAACAAUCGGCUAACUUGCCGACUUGGCCCCAGUCGAGAGAGGCCAAGCGCCAACGCGACCAAAGUCGCGUUCGCAACCUACCGACCAGGUCACCACCGGUCGAAGGAUAUUCGGCUUACCACCGUUUAUCAUGCGCCAUGACAUAUGUACCCGACCAUAGUCUAGGUAAUGGGAACUCGACUUGCCAUCAUUCUCCCGAUCGAAUGCGUCGGACACCAUCCGACUGAUCACAUCGGACGACAUUCGAUCCUAUGCAAUGAUCGGGUCAUCGGGGUGUGCCCGGAGGUCGGUCGACCUUCGACUCAACGAACGUGCCCGACUCAUGUCGGGGCGACGUACACUCGACUUUGACCUUCGACUCAACGAACGUGCCCGACUCACGUCGGGGCGACGUACACUCGACUUUGACCUUCGACUCAACGAACGUGCCCGACUCACGUCGGGGCGGCACACACUCGACUUUGACUCUCGACGCGACGAACAUGCCCGACUUACCACCGGGCGAUGGAUGUUCAACUCAGACCUCUGCCGGAAUGGACGGUCUGUGAUCGGGAUUCACCUUGCCUUUUCCAUGGCGUAUGUUACCGAUUGUCUUGACCAACGACUUGGGGUGUUAUCGAGUGACCUAAUAUGGUAUAUCGGGUCUACGACUCUACGACUCUAAGUCAGAGUGCGUCUUAACAUGCAAAGGGAAGAAAGCUGAAAAUGCUUAAUUUCAUUAAGUCUACAAAAUUAGGCCGAAGCCCGAUUACAAGUAUAUAAAGCGAAACAAAAAAGUAACAAGACCCCGAUCAUCCUUCGGAGUCGACCUCUUCGAUCGGGAGGAGCUCGGGGGCAGCCGGUGCAUCCGCCCUGGUUGGCGCUGGGUCGGAGGUCGGGGCCAUCUCUCCUUCGGCGGUCUGCUCCGGGACGGUUUCUUCCACCGCAGUAGCGUCUCCCGACGAUGGGUCGGCCACCUCUUCUGUAGCUUGGUCCUCGGAUCCUGGGGGGACGAUGCCGCUGAGGUCGAGCUUUGGGUACAAAGCUUGGACUGCGUCCCGAGCAUCUUCGUACCCCACCCGAUACGACGUGAAGCCGCUUUCCAGGAGUUCCUCCCGAUAUUUGUCGGAGCCGCUGAAGUCCUCCACCGCCCGACCCAAGGACUCCUUCGCCGACCUCACCUCCUCCACCGCCCGAUCAAAUGACUCCUUCGCCGACUCUACCUCCACCUUCGCUAUGUCAGCGUCGGCUUGGGCGAUUGACAAGUCCUCCUCGGCCUUGGCGAGGUUCUCCAGGCUGACCCGGAGUUGCUCGCAUUCGGCCUCGAGUUCGACGACGACGCCAUCCCGCUCACGCCGCAGUCGGUGAGCGGUUCGACCCUUGCGCUUGGCUUCCCCGCGGGCCGACUUAAAUUCGGCCCCCGAGGCAGCCAAGACGUCCGUGAGACGAGAGAUCUCAUCCUCAAGUCUCGCCUCCCGAUCGGUUGAUAGCUUCAACUGCUCGACCAGUACCGCCUUUUCGGCUUCGGCAGUCACCGCUCUGUCCUUCCAGGCUGCCCGGACGUCCCCGAACCUCCGGUAUCCGGCCUCUAAUUCGGACAUAGUAUAAAUCAACUGCAAACAGAAACCGACCGUCAGAAAGAUGAAAUAAUAAAGACAGCAAUGGAGGAAGGGGGCGAGGCGAAACUUACCCCGAUCAUGGUUGGGUAAAAGGAAGACAGCAUCUCGAUCACCUGCCGAGCCUUCAGAACCUCCACGUCGGCUGGAAGGAGGGUCCCCUGACAUAAUCUCCUGGCCAAGUUAUGGUCGGCCAGGGCUGACGCUCCCUCGGAGACCCGGGCGCCCGACGACGUGGCGCGACCCCCCGACCUUGAGUCGCCUGCGGGGGCCAUCGGGGCCUUCCCUCGAUCGGCCGCCCAGGCCCGUAGAUCAGGGAAGGAAGGGAUGCUCGAGCUUGAUUGAGCACCCCCCGAGGCAGCAGCGGGAGCCGACGGAGGACGUUCGGGUUCCCGAACGACAUCCUGUGCCUCCUCCAUCAGCAAAACCGCCGACGCUCCUUCGGCCAUUCCCUCCAUCGGCUGCUCCUCUGGUGGUGCCGUCGGAGUCGAAAGCACGAUGACCGGCUCUGACUGAUCGACCACCGACGCAGUGGCGGUCGGCGCUAUUGUCGAGGGUCUCUUCGACAGUCGUGAGGGCCCGACCCCGGACGCCGACCUGUUCCUCGCCGCAUAUUGUCUAAGCUCGACGUCGGUCGGCCAGUACAUGUUCGGAGACAAACGCGAAGCGGAAAGAUAACCGAUGGAUCAGACAGUACCUAGAUGGGGGAUCAGGCUCAAGCCAGCGUCAUAGAGAGCUUGUUCGGUAACAAGCUCCCUCUGCUUCGUUACCGACAUGUCUUUGAGUCGGUAGAAAUCCUCCCGAUCAUCCGCCUCCACUCGGCUGUUCUCGUUCGCUUCAGUCCGUGGCUCGCCCCAGCAGGAAGGGAAAUCCCAAGGAGAAGAAGAGGAAACGAAGAAGAAUUGAUUCUUCCACCCAUGAAUGGACGAUGGAAGAUCAGUGAUGAAAGAAAGACCCUUCCGGAGAUUGAAGAGCCACCACCCUCGGAUUUUAGGGUGGGGUCGGAGGACGAAGAACGCCCGAAAGAGAGAGAUUCGAGGGUUGGUCGGCAAAAGCUGACACAACAGGAUGAAGCUGAUUAUUAACCGAACUGAGUUCGACGCCAGUUGCGCAGGACAAAGUCCGUAAUAAUCUAGAAGAUUCCGAACAAACUCCAGAAUCAGGAGGCGAAGACCAGCCCGGAGGUCCUCGACAUAUAGAGCCACCUGGUCCGCGGGCGGGUUGUUGACCCGUCCCCCGGCCCCAGGGGCGAAGAGUCGGAACUGCUCCGGGAUACAGUACUGAUCCCGAAGCCGAUCGACGUUCGGCCCUGAAAGUGAGGAGACCUCCACUUCCAGGGUCGAUCGAAGAUCAUCGAUCGGAUUCCCCGACUGAGCUUCCCGAGGAGAAGUCUUGGCCGUGAUGCCAGAACCAAGAAGGAGGAAAAGACAGAGAAGAAGAAGGAAAAGACAGAGAAGAAGAAGGAGAAAGGAUUUCAAAGGAAGCAAGAACAAGGCGAAAGGAAACACAAGUCUCGGGUGGACCUUCCAAGGAAUGAAGGCAGAAGCAGCUACCUAGGACGGAGGGGGGGACCGCUCGGGCAGAGUCUCCGCAGCAAAACCGUGAAAAGUGAGAUUUUGGAAACAAGUGACCUCAUGUAUAUAGGGCCCCUCGACGGCCGGGAUGAGAGUGCACCAAUGAGAACCUCUCGGAUGAUCGACACGUGGCAGCACUCGGGCCCUCCUCCAGCCCGACGGUUCGGCGCACCCAUCCCAGAUCGGGCCACAUCGCCUUCAUUUGCAUGAACGACUCCGGCCCAACGACCUCCCGACACGUGGCAAAAAAAUCACGCCUCAGAAUUAAUUCGCUGACGGCGAUCCGUGUUCCCGAUGGGACGCUUGACGGCGGUCCGCGCUCCCAAGGGAGCGCCAAGCGACGGUUUGCGUUCCCCAGAAGGCGUCUGACACCGGAUCGUCUGACACCAGAUCGUCCGACACUGAGUCAUCUGACAUCGAAUCGUCUGACAUCAGAUCGUCCGACACUGAGUCGUCUGACACCGGAUCGUCCGACACUAGAUCGUCUGACACCGGAUUGUCUGACAUCGAAUCAUCGAACGUCAGGUCGUCUGACACCGAUUUGUCCGGAUCGUCCGCUGGUGAGAUCAGCAAAAUCAAGGCAUGACACAAUAAAGAAUCCACUCCUUUCGCCCGACGCCCCACCUGCGUGGAAAUGCGGACCGACGGGACAUCAGGCUCAGGAGUGGGGGUGACAACUGUUGGGAUAUACCGACCGACCCUGAUGCCGACUCACCGACGCUGACUCACCGACGGAUCACGAUGCCAACCCAUCCUCGACGCCGACUCACCGACGGGUCCCGAUACCGACCCAUCCUCGAGGAUGGACCGACAGACUUUGUCCGUCUAACGACGGACAACACCAACGGUAACUACCGAUCAUGCCCGGCCGGAACGUGUCGGCCUAACAGGCCGACACUGCCUCCGAUCGCCUGAAAGCCGAUCUCGCAUCACCGACUCCCUGUCGGGUGGGACACCACCGACUCCCUGUCGGUUUGGACAACCGACGUCCGACCUCUACAGGCCCUUCUGGAUGCCGAACGAGCGGCAUGGGCUGCAGUCCUAUCAAAGACAUGCCGUGCAACCGCCAGGGGGCAUUAUCUUGUCAGAAACCUGGGGCGCUGUCCUGCCAAGGACGCAAAUUAAUUCCUAGGACCGGUCAGCUCGUCAACGACGUGACAACCCCCGACGNNNNNNNNNNNNNNNNNNNNNNNNNNNNNNNNNNNNNNNNNNNNNNNNNNNNNNNNNNNNNNNNNNNNNNNNNNNNNNNNNNNNAUCUACAUCACCGACGGCGGGACCAUACCACCUCCUACUAUAAAACGAGGUAAGGCAGCAGCUUGAGGAGGGGAUUCCUCUCUCUCUCUCUCCACCGCUGAGUCCCCUGAUUCCUCUCUACUAUUGCCUAGUUUCCUCUCUGACUUGACCGUCGGAGGGUCCCCGCCGGAGGCAUCUCCGGUCAGUGUGGACUUUCCUUUGCAGGUGCUCGUUCCCGACGACCAGGCGACGAGGGGAUUGGCCGCAACACUGUACAAAGACAGUGUUGUUUGCAUCAAGAUUCUCACUUGAGAUAAUUUAAUGGUCACGGCAUGGAUCAGAUGAUCAUGCAUGCCACCAAUCACAUCCACUCGCUCUCAUGUUGGUGCAUGAAGAUGAAUGUUUGAUAGAUAGAUCUAUGAAAAUGAGAGACUGUGAUUGACAGCAUGCACAGCCAUGUGGUGCAUGCUAUAUAGAUUAUAAUUUCAUUUGAAAAGUGUUGAGCAAUAAAAUUUUGGAAAAUUCUUUAAUAUGUAUAGGAAAAGCUUGAAGGACCCACAAAUGCUGACUUGGUAACUGAAUGCUAGACAGACUCCAUAUUUGGCAACAACUUCCAUGAGUUACAGCAAUCAGCUUGUGCAUUGUGUCAUGAAGAAUACUUCGCUCCAUGGCAUUACUCUAAACUUAUAAGAUGUAUGGAAUUGAACUGAGCCUGGGGUAAGUAUACAGUCUCCAAACAUGCUAUAAGCUCUAGAAAGUUGAGGGCAACACCCAUGUACAACAAAAAAUAAUAUUAGAAUCCUAUAGCUUACAUACGUUAGCACUGGCAUUGCUACUGAUUACAAUUCUUUGUUAUGAUUAGGAGCCAAAACAUGACCACCGCUAGCCAUAGAGUAAGUGGCCAAAAUGCUCCUUCACCAUCUUCCACGUAAAACUGAACAUAGCAAACACCAAUAUCAAAUGCUAUUUGUGCACUUUCUGUAUCUAUUUUCACUUGUUAAGGCAGCAGCAUGAAAAUGUAAAGCAUAUGUACUGUUAGAUCAUAACACUUGCUCCAGUAAUCCAAUCACUCGCGUCAGCUAUUUCACACAACCAAACUCUCCUCAUCAAGUGCAGGCAGAGCAACAUCCUUCCUCAUCAGUCCAUAAUAAUCCUUUCCAACAAUAGCACCAGCCUGAGCAAAUAGCUCUACCACUGCAGGCAGUUUGCCAUAGUACCUCCUUAGCUCAUGCAUGAGCGGGUUGCCAUCAUCCGGGUCAGGCACAUGCCAGACAUAGACCGGCGGCACCAGAUCAUCAACAGUGGCCUCCUGCCAAGCAUGCUGCCCAUCCCUCAUCUGGUGCUUGUAGGCCUGGCAUAUCCUCGCCCGGUGUCCCUUCGGCCCCACCUGGACCUCAGGGCAGAACCCACAAGUUUGGACAGGAUAUUUCUUCACGAGCUUCAAAGCACCUGAUCGCAUCUUUUCCCAUGCAUCCAUGCCUUGCACAGCUAUAUCUACAAAAGAUGCACCUUGACAUGUUAGAUGUAAGAGGCUACCAGCACAAAUUCAGAAGAGAGUAUCACAACUGACAUUGGGAAAGGUUAUUUUUUAGGUGAUACUGAGAAAGAAACAUAAAUUGCCAAUGGCAUCUUUAUGGUUGUUUCAAAAAUCUUGUAUAUAUUUUUAUGGUAGAUGGAGUGCAUGCAUCAUAUGCUCAUGUAUAAUUCAUGAGUGCUGUUGCACACAAAAUAGAUCUAGAUGCAGUAAAGAGUUGCUACAAAAAUCAAAUAGGAAAAGAGUGAAGGUGUACAUAUUCUCACAACCUAAGAAUCUAAAAAGACUAGUCGGAAGGAUUAUUUGCAUUUCUUAGCCCUAUAUAAGUACCUAAGAUAUACCUAAUGCAUACCCAAUAUGAGACUAAACAGUUGCCUGCACAAAUCUUUACAUAUUUUCCCCAUUUAAGCCCUAGUAUUCUUGUUAGGUUAAGGAUCCAAAUCUAUUCAAAUUCAAGCACAGAUACUACAAAUCCAAUUGCAAACACUAUGAUCAGCCUAUAGCCAACCCCAAAAGAACCUAUACUCCAGUAUCCCCUAGUUUAUAUGAUUUAUGAGCCAGGUUCGCUCUUAUACCAUUUGUCAUAGCUUAGGAGUUCAUCCAAAAAGACUGAUCCGAAGGUAUUAUUUGAUUCCUUGGUCCUAUAUAAAUACCCAAGAUCUGCCUGGUUAAUAGUUAAUGUAAGACUAAAUACACACCCGCAUGAGUCCUUAGAUAGUACUUAUCUACCCUUGUCUCCACCACUGACAAACAGAUGAAAUGAUACAAAGAGCAUGCUCAAUGGAAAGGACUUUAUCCUCCUCAACCUAGUUUUAUGUUUUAUCCAAUAUUUCUCAACAUUCUUCAACUCCUACCCAUUCCUCGUGAGAAAUAAUCUUGUUCCUUCUACUCUAGAACACCCCACAAUUCUUCGUGAAGUAUGAAAUUUCAUACAUCUCGAGAUCACGGUGUAACUGACAUAGGAGCUAAUCGAGCAGUGAAAUAGGAAGAUUUUCACACAUCUCCUAUGCACCAAACUCAGGAUUUUCUUCUGAAAUUUUAGAUCCCCCAUCAGUGCCCCGACACAGCCCAAACUUCAGCUCCAAAUGUGGGAUAUGAAGUGCCUCAAGCAAAAAGAAAAAAAUAUAAAGUUCAUAGCAAAAACAAUAAUGAAAUUUGGUGUGCAUCUUAAUCUGAUUAUAAGCAUAAUAUGAUAAAGCAUCUUAUGCAAAGUAUAGGAGAGUUUUAAAAAUCAUAUGACAACAAACCUUGAAUACUGUCAUUAGAUGAGAAUGAUGGAGAAUCACUAUCCCCAGGCUUCUUCUUCCACUGCCAAAAUCCAAAUGGCUGGAUAUCUUUCCCACUCGAGUAAUCUCGCGGAAACUUCUUUUCAAAAUCUAUCAUCUUCCCUCCUAUAUUAUAAACUGGAAAGGCUCGUCUCUUUGUCGGGUACUCAGGGAUGUCCACGCCAGCUUGCACACAAAGCUCCACAAUAGCUGGAAUCCUAUCAACUUCCAGCCGCUCUUCAUGUGAAACUGCUCUACCUAGUCUGUCAUAGAGAUGAAAGGAUUCCACGAGUGGAAGAACAUGCUCCAUUCCUCCCUUUGCCCAGCUGUGAUCUUUGGUGGACAAACUCCCAACAACAUCACAUGAGCGUAUCCGAUAAGGAACCAUUCCCACAUGAACUUCCCCACAUACUCUACAUCACAACCAAUUCAUUAAAAGAAAGGAAAAAACAACAUUUUCACAUCCAAUUCAUGGUUAUUACUAAAGCAUGACUUUCAAAUCUGGAUUGCGCAACAUUGCAAGCAAUGAAGUAUGAAAAUGAGCACCCGUUUUAGACAUUGUAUGCAAACUGAAUUCAAUUUCAUCACCAUAUUCUAUGUUAUCUUUUGCAGGUGACAAAAUUUGAUCAAAUACUAACCAAUUAAUGCUAAUGAUCUACUUCAAUCGUUAAAAGAAGAACUUUUUGGUAAAAACUGAAGCAUGUUGAAUUAUUUACCUGCACACAUGGAUAGGGAUGCUCUCCAUCACCCUCAAGACGCAGGCAAAGAGGACCUUUCUAGCAUCAAACACCUCAUGGGCAACGGGAAUCAGACUCUUGACCAAAAGCCCAUUCUCGGGCGGCCGAAGCGUGAACUCCCGCACCUCCCGCCUCAUCUUCCGCUCCACUCUCGCCCGCCGUUUGAGCUCAUUGAUUGGUGUUGCAAGGGGCUUCCGUUCUGAUCCCCGGCGCCUCCUUGGGAGCUCAAUAUACUCAGCUAGCCUAGAAGAACUAGUUGAAAACAGAGCCUUGAUUCUAUUCGCGGAGCUUCUGAAGAAGUUCUCCGUAAUUACCUCAUGGUGCUCUAUCAGCCUCUGGAUGGGUCUUGACAGCAUCGCGCCGGUUGGUAUUCAGUCUAAUUACAUUGCAAGAAAGGAUUCGAUAAGGGAAAACUAAAAGGAAAAAGAAAAAGAAAAAAAAUUCAAAAAGUCGAGUCUUUUGCUGCUUUGGAGUAAGACGUCAACUGUUUGAGUGUUUGACGCUGUGAAAUAUAGUUGAGGCUUUUGGAGGACGGGAGAAAUGAGACGGGAGCGGGCUGACUGGUUCCGGUGGGAAGGAGCGCAGCAUGGGUUGGGCUCAAACAAAACCCAAACCAUCCAACCGCUCAUUGUUAGUGUUACAAAGUUGGAUCGUAGUGGGUUAGGAUUGAGGUUAAACACGAUCAACCAUAUCUCCACCCCAACGCGGCCUAACUGGUGAAUAAACAAAUAAUAAAUAAAUAAAUAAUCUAUAAUGUUUCAUAAAGAUUGUUUAUAUGUUUAAUACAAUUAUGUCUUUAGUUCUAAAAUAUAAAAUAAAAUUAUGCAGGUUGCCAUCAAAUUCAAACCAACAAAUAUGAACUAAAUAUAAAUAUUUCAAACCCUUCUCCUACCUUAAAAUUCUUAUGCAACCCUCUCUAAUCUAAUUAUUGCAGUCCAACCAACCUGAUUUGAUACUGACCUCCUCAAAUUUAGUCUAAGAAGGGAUUAAGUUGGGUCAAAGAAAUUCCAACCAGAUCUUGGGUUGGGGUGGAUUAGGAGUGAAGAUAUGAAGCUCGGGUUAUGUUAGAGCUGGUCAAAAACUUAGCUAAACAUAUCGAACUUGCAGCCAUAUGGAUGAGAACGUAGAGGCCUAGAAGUAUAAAUAUGGAUUCAGCUUGACGUGCCCCAUUGGAUGGGAUGCAAGCAGACUCCAUUAAAUUGAGGGGGAAAAUGUUCAUUCUUACGAAAAUCACCAAAUAACCACAUAAUUCUAGAUGCACUUUAAUUGGUCAACUCUCGAAUAUAGAGAAGUUGAUUUGGUCAAGCAGGUUAGUGCUUACCCAAUGCGAAGCACCCACAUCUGUAAAUAGGUAUAGAUGUCGCCUGAACCUGAUCUACCAAUCAUGAGCUAACAUGUGGUAUCAAGAGAAAAAUGAAAACUUUCUUUAGUUGAACUAGUUUUUCUUAAAUACAAAAGUUAGGAGUUUCUUCUUCACUUGAAUUAGGACUCAAGAGUCCAACACUGUCAAAUCUCUUGAUCUAUAAAAAGAAACUUGAUGUACUCGAUAUGUAGAACAUAUGAUAUCAUGCAUGCAUUUUACUAUCCUUGUAAAUCUUAUUCUCCUAUAUUAUUCCACAUAAUCCUUUCUCUGGCCGAAGCAUCAAAGAGCCCUUGGUCAGAUCAGCUCUGAUGACCUCUUUUCUAUUUUUUUCCUAUAUGCAAAUUAAAAAGUUUCUUCCUCUUGCGCACAGAUCAAUUGGCACUCUUUAGAUCAUUGAAUCAGGUUUUGGUUGUAAGAGGUAUAUUAAUAUAAAACAUCUCAUGAUGGAGUUCUAAGAACAUUAUAUGAAAUCAUAAAGGUGGAUAUUGGUAUGUAUUCCGACAAUAAACGGGUCUCCAGUUGCAAACAUCAUGUUCAAAACCUUAACCAAGUAUGGAUACCAGCUAGCUGCUAAUAAACGUGCCUAAUUAUAUUUGUGGAUUGGAGAGAUGAGUUGGGCUUAGAUAUUCACUUGACCUAGGCUGAGAUUAGCGGCAUAUUUGUGGCCAAUAGUAUUGUUCAUGGUAAAUUUUGAUCUAAUACUAAGAUGAGAAAAAAUAAAUAUUUUAAAUCAACUUAACUCUAUCCAAGUGCCGCAAUUUGGUUGACUUGCUACUUAUCAAGGGAGCUUGAUAUAUAUGAUCUAACUACUUCAUUCUAGAUAUAUAGUUUCAGAGGAUAACCCAAGUACAAUUAUCCUAGUUUCACAUAUUUUUAUAUUUUUUUCGUUACCUAUGCCAUUUCAUGUUGUAGUUACAAUCAAUUAGAUUAGUGUUAGAACAAAUAUAUUGCUAUCAAUUAUCAGACUUAUCAAUAUGAAAUUCAUCAGAUCGAGGUGGUGGUUGGAAAUUGGCGCAGCACACUAGUAGUUAGUAGUAUUAGUUAGUCCUACUCACUUGUUAGCCAAUCAUAAAUUUUCAUAGUGGAUCGAUAAAUCAAAUAGUGAUAUGAUAGGUGAUUUAUGAUUUUUUUAAAAAUUAAAUAAAAAUAUUUUCAUGACUUAAAAUUUUUUUGUUGACUUGCGUCACGAUGUUACUUCAAAAAUAAAUUUGAUUUCAAAAAAAAAAUUGAUCGAAAAUUUGAUACAUACAAGAUCAAACACCAAUCCUCAUUUAUUUAUUUAUUUAUUUUUUUAUAAUUUUGGAUACAAACGGCCGAUCCCACUAUUUUAAUAUAAAUAUAAUUCAAAAAAUUAAAAUAUAAAAUAUCUUGCAGGCUUCAUAAAUAAAUAUCGUUUUGACAUGGGAUCAGUUUUGAUGUGCCUGAUAAUAAAGAAUGUAAUUCAAUUCGCGAUGCUGUUUAUCUUCUUAAAGGUGCGACGAACAGAUGUCAUGGUGGAAUUACGAAGGGACUAAAUAAAACCCCAUUUGCCUUUCGAAGCAAGCCAAUUGAUAAUUUCAUCUCAACUUUGUGGGAAAUACGAACAUGUAUAAACCGUCGCAUAGAAGCCGAAAAAAUAUUACUUUUGGACGGCCGGCUUUGAGACGCACUACCGGUUUCGAUUUAAACGGAAAGCCCACCUCACUCACCACGCUGCUUUCCUCUCUCCAUCUCGUCGCCGCCGCCGGCGAUCAAUGGCGAAGAACGCACAGUCCCAGAGCUUGCCGGCCGAUGUUACCCAUCUCAUUGACCAGCUCGAACGCCAUUCCCUCGCUCCGGAUGGCUCCUACGUCUCCAAGUCCGCCCACGCCGAUCUCCAGCUCGUAAUCCCAUCUCUAAUCCAUUCCCCUUUCCCAACAUCUCGGUUUCAGCCCUUUUUGUUUGAUUCGUUGUUCGAUUUGAAUCGUAGGCGAGGGAGGAGAUGGCCAGAGAGAGGACGCGAUACUUGGAAGCCAUGGUAGGCGAUCUCUCCCCUUCGAUGGAGUUAGGUUUAGGUUUUUAGGGCUAUGUUUCUUUUGUUUCAGAAUGAUCAUUAUGUAAUGAGAUUUCGUCUGGGUGUGAGCACAGGCGGUUUAUUGCGAGGCAAUUUCAAUGGUAGAAGAAUACCAUCAGGCGGUGUCUGCUGCGAACCUCGGGGGACUUAGAGAUAUUCAGGGUCAGGCUUUCUACCAACAGCUCGGCUUGAAUUGCUCUCCCCAGGUUUGAUCUCACACUUGAAGAAAAAAAAUAGAUCUUGUUGGAGAAUCAGGCAUCAAACUUUUCCUGGGUUUCAUCUUGCACUCGAUGCGUCGAGCUUAUCUGUAAUUCCUAAGAAGUUUUGCGACAUCUAGAUAUAAAAUGUCAUUGAUUGAACGGUUGUAAAAGUAGGUACUAUAUGAUUGGGUGCAAGUAUAAUUUUGAUAAUUUAUGGAAAAAUUAGUUUAGUGCAAAGUAUCUUUUGAUGAUUAGAAUCAAGAAAAAAAGAACUGCACAAGAGCGUGAUGUAUUAUUUUGUCAGAUAUUUCGUUUACGUGAAUCAGAACUUGUACGUUGCACUCUAACAUCCUAAUGCUUGGAAUCGCUUUCCAAUAUUUCAACUUUGCGUACUGGUGUUUAUACUAGAAAAAGAAAGACCAGUCGGUGCUUACAAACAUUCAGAGUUUUCCUGAAUGAAAAUGCUGCUAGCAUUAGUAGAACCACUUUAACAAUUCCUCACCAGAUCCGGAUUUGACUCAAGUUUCAUAUUGACUCAGCAAAAUAUACAACUCAGAAUUUCCAGAUCUCCUAUUCAGCUUCAAAGCAAGUAUUUACUGCAUCAGAUGGAGAUUUAUGUCAAGACGCUGAAAAGUCAUCUAACUUGUUUUUCCAAUAAUUCACAAGUUGUAUUGACUUGCAUAUUAAUAUUGGCAGUUGAUAUGGACUCCAAUUGGUUCUCCCAUUGUAUCACAAUGAAUCAUGUGUACCAUAAAGAUAGAGGAAAAUGUUUUUACAUCUUUUUAUGUUGCCGUCUAUCAUCCUUAGAAUACCAUAUCCUUGUUUAGUUGAGAAUCUAAUGAGCAGGUAUUUAUAGUAUGCCCAAUCGAUGUGGGACUACCUAUCAUUAGAGUUACUUGUGGUGCAUUUUGAUUGUAUGCCUAGCAUAUUCUCCCAAUUUCUUUUCUAGGAUUUUCAGUGCCUUUUCCCUUUCUCUUCUUUCUGUCUUGGCUCAUUCACUGUUAGAGUUCAGCAUCCUUGUCCCUCUCCAUUUUUGGAAUUCUCUGUUUUCCUCUUAAUAUAAUGUGGUGGAUUUUAUUGUAUUGGCUAUUAACAAUACAGCUACAUCUACCGAGGUUUGGGAUUUGGGUUGCCCUGAUUGUGUAAUGCCGAAUCUGGCUGUAGCUGUAUUAACCAAUAACUAUGUGAAGGAAAAUGGUCAGCUUGCCAUUUUCUUUGUCGUCUGCAUCCUGCUUACUGAGCUUCCCACAUCUAUAUAUUCCUAAAAAAUAUAUCAUUUAUGUUAUAUGGAUGUUAAUGUUUGGUUUAUAUGAGAAGGAGAAAAAAAAAAUAAGAUGGUGCAUUCUCUGGCCAUUUUUAUGGGCCUUGUCGCACAUGAGGAACUAUCGAUUUUUAAUGUUUUCAUUUUUUUUUCCACUAAUAAUAGCUCAGUCAUCAUCUAAGCAAACUGCACUGUGAUCACCACAAGUUGCAUCACCCAAUGCCUACUUCUGCAUCUUCUUUUUUAUUUUCUUUGACUCUUUUCUGUUCCAUGUGUUAUUUUUUAGAAUUUAAAAUAACUUUUUGUUCUUUUAAUUUAGAAUCAUUUGAUCAAGUUUGUGGAAGUUGGAAGAGACUGGUUUUUAGAUUUGAUGUUUGAUCCUUUAUUCAUUUGGAGUUUAGGCCCAACGAAUGAGGGACCAUCAAUCUUUGGAGUUAACUGUAGUUUAAGAAACUAGCAAGGGUCCCAAGGUUGGCUCUUAUAAAAAGCAGCAUAUGCUCCUCUCUCUCUCUCUCUCUNNNNNNNNNNNNNNNNNNNNUCUCUCUCUCUCUCUCUCUCUCUCUCUCUCUCUCUCUCUCUAUCCGUCAAAAGAUCUAACCUUUCUUCUUUUCCUUCUUCUUACCUUGGCUCUUUCAGUUUUAUAGAGUUCACUAUCUUUUCACCUCUCCAUUUCUUGGUUUUUCUAUGUUUCCUCUCAAUAUUAUGUGGCAUGCUUUAUUAUAAUGGUUGUUAGGAUUAGGGCAACAUGAACCAAGGGCAAGGUUUUGUGUUGGUGUUGAAAUUGCUGGAUCUGGCUGUAGCUAUAUUAAUCAAGGAAGGAGGGAAGAAAAUUGGUCAGCUUGCAGUUUUUUCUUUUUCUUUUUUUUUUAGUCAUCAGCAUCCCACUUACUGAGCUUCCCACAUCUAUGUGUUCUUAAAAAAUAUAUCUUUUUCGUUUUAUAUGGAUAUUAAUAUUUGGUUUCUAUGAGAAGGGGAGGGAUGGUGCAUGUGUUAUUUAUUUUUGGAGGACCUUCUCAUGCAUUAAGGGCUAUCAAUUUGUUUUCAUUUUCUUUUUAACUAAUAAUAGCUCAAUCAUCAUCCAGGCAAGCUGCACUGUGAUCACCAUAGAUUGCAUCAUGCGAAGCCUAUAUUUGCAUAUUCUUUUUCCAAUUGUCUUUGACUAUCUUCUGUUCCAUGUGUUGUUGUUUAGAAUUUACAAUAUUCAUUUUUUUCCUUCUAAUUUAGAUGGUUUGAUCACCUUUGUCAAAGUUGGAAGGGACAAGCUGUUAGACAUAAUUUACAAAUAUUGUGGGAGUAUCUAUCUUUCCUAAGAGUUAACCACAGUUUAAUAGACCAAUGAGGGCCCGAAGGUUGGCUCCUAUAAAGACCAGCAUAUGCUCCCAAUUUUUUUUUGUAGGGUUUUUAGUGCGUCUGUGUCUUUGUCUUGGAACUGGAUGUGGCCUAUAUUAACCAAGAAAAGAGGGAAGAAAACUUGCCAGCUUGCCAUUUUUCUUAUUGUCAGCAACCCUCUUAUCGAGCUUCCUAUGUCUAUAUGUCACAAGAGAUAUAUUUUUUGUUUUAUAUGGAUGUUAAUAUUUAAUUAUACGAGAAGGGGAGAAGGAGGUUGUGCAUGUAUUUGCCAAUUCUAGAGGACCUUCUCGCACAUCAAGUGAUAGCGUGUGUUUUUUUUUUUUUUUUUUGAUUUUUUGAUUUUUAAUGUUUUCAUUCCUUUUUCAAGUGAUAAUAGCUUGGUCAUCAUCUUCCAGGCAAGUUGCGUUCUAGUCAUCGCAGAUUGCGUCAUCUGAUGCCUACAUUCUGAUCUUCUUUCCCCUUUUUUUUGCUGUUCACUUCCAUUAUGUAUGUUACUGUUUAUAAUUUACAGAAACUUUUCAUUCGUUUAAUUUAGAUUGUUUGAUCACCUUUAUUGUAGUUGGUAUUGAGAAGUUCUUAGAUGUAAUAUUUGGUCGUUUAUUCAUUUGGAUUUUACACCCAAUUGAUCCGGGACUAUCUGUCAUUAGAGUUAACUGUGGUUUAACAGAUGAGUGAGCAUCUGAAGGGAGGCUCCUACAAGACCAGCGUAUGCUCCCAAUUUUCUGUUCUAGUAUUUUGGGUGUCCCUCUCUCUCUCUCUCUCUCUGCCAGUGUCAAAAGAUCUAACCUUUAUUUGUUUCCUUCUUUUCUUCUUGGCUCUUUCAGUGUUAGAGUUCACCAUCCUUGCCCCUCUCAAGCUUUGAUCUUGCACUUGAUUAAAAAGAUUUAGAUCUGACUGGAGAAUUAGACAAUCAAACUUAUUUGUAAUUCCUGGGAACUGUUGUUACAUCUAGAUAUAUAAUGUCAUUACUUGAGUGAUUGUAAAAGUAGGUAGUUUAUGCUUGACUGCAAGUGUAAUUUUGAUAAUUCUCUGAACUUUGAUGAUUAGAAUUAGGAAAAGAAGAACUAUGCAAGAGUCUGAUGAAUGAUGUAAUUUAUAUUGGUGUAUUUCGUUUACCUGCAUCAGAACUUGUACAUCUCAUUCUCUAUCAUCCUAUUUUUUGGGUAAUGGCUUCUUAAAUUCUUCAGUUUAGUAUGUCUGAUGUUGAUCCUGGGAAGAAAGACUGGUCAAUACCAUCAAACUUUUAAAGUAUUCCUAAACCAAAAUGUUCCCAUCAUUAACAGAACUACUUUAAUAAUGAUUCCUUACCAGAUCUGCGAAUAUGUCUCAAGUUCCAUAUUGACCAAGCAAAACAUACAGGUCAAAGGUUUUAGAUCUCCAAUUCAGCUUCAAAGCAAGUGGUUGCUGCACAAGACGGAGAUUUACAUCAAGAUUCUGAAAAGUCAUCUAAUUUGUUUUGCCAGUAACCAACUAGUUAUAUUAACUUGGAUCUUGAUGUUGGAUGUUGGUAUGCUCUAAGUGGGUCUGUCAUUUUGUCACUAUGAAUCACGUGUAGCAUCUAGAUAUUUUUUUGUUGCCAUAUAUCAUAGUUAGAAUACCGUUUCUUUCUUUGGUUGUGUCUAAUGAGCAGGUGGAUUUGAAACAGUCUGAUGGUUUCAGGUUUAUGAAUCUCUUGAGCAUCGAUUAGCUGUUGCUGAGGCUGCUCAAAGAUUGAGACUUCCUCUUCUUUCUAAAGAUGGGGAAAUUCAUGAGGAAGAGAUUGAAAAAUUGAGCAUGACAUCAAGAAGCUCUCUUGAUAGCACAACUACCAGUAUCACACCCAGCUCAAGUUCAAACUCAACAAGUUUCAAUAAUAGUUAUGCAACUAGCAAUAUCAGUAUGUUGGGCCUUGCUUCUCCACCUAAUAGUGAUAUGGUUGAACCUGGAGUUGGUGGAGUGCCAAAUCGUUUUCUUGGAGUAACACCAGCUUAUCUAUGGCAAGUCCAGCAAGAGCAGCCUGCCAUGGCUGUGGUACGUAUCUUUGGAGUUUAUGGUUUUGAAGUUGACGUUCAACAUAAACUGAGCUCUUUUUUGCAUUGUGCAGUCCCUGCUAAGAUUUAAUAUUUACAAUAGCACAACCCUCAUCCAUACAUCACCGUAAUAUUGUCACUGUAGGAUAUGGCGGAAUAUCAGAGAUCCCUUGUUAGGGAAAUUGAAUCUCGCUUAGAAGCUAAGUGUGAUACAUUAGCUGAUGUGUUUGCAAUGGAUGAAAUAGGUAACAAAGUAAAUUGACUAAUAUCAGGAAGAUGAUUUAUAUAAUUAUGAGCAUUUUAUUUAAUCCAUCUGGUGUAUAAGUUGUUGUCUAUGUGCAGCAGACUCCUCUUCCAUUAGUCAGAUAGCAAGUGCUCGCCUUCCAGAAAGGUGAACCUUUGCACUCUCUUCUAUAUUAUGUCUCUUUUCCUUGCUUCACCUACCAAGUAUCUUGCAUAUGAUGUUCUGUUGCUUGUGUUGAUGGCUUUAAAAAUGCCAUAAUGUCCACUGUCCAUCUCAUUUCCAAAUUGUUGUCAUUUUUUUUUUAAUUUCUCUUUCCAAAAAUGAGAGCCCUUUAUGAACUGAAAGUUUCUUAUCAUACGACCAUUAUUUCCUUCUUGCACCGAUAUUGAAUCAGUACAUUGUGCCAUGCAAUAUCAAUACUUGGUAUGCCAAACCGUAUUGUGUUGACAUUGAAUAUGUCAAAUCUUACCAUACCAUACUGUGUACUGACACCAUAAUAGGAUGGUACUGGAAUGAGGUCUGAUACCGAAAUGGCGAACCUUAAUUUCCCCUCUUUCUUCUUCUUGUUCUUCUUUAGAUCAAGGAAGAUACUCUCUCUCUCUCUCUCCCCGUUGUAAUGUAUUGUCUUCACCAGCAGAGGACUUUGAUUUGUUGAUUUAUAAAUAUUAGAUGUUUAGAUCUGUUUUUGAUCAUUAUUGGCAGGUGAAUUGAAUGGGGUACCUAUGGUUAUGGGAUAUGAAUAACUAUCUGAGUUAUCUUGCUGCUAUUAUACACAUAUUUGCAUGUUUAGCAUAUUUUGAAUGUUUAAUAUAUUAAAGUUAUUGGUGAUACCAUAUCUUUGUCCAAGGUAUCAUGUCGCGUUCUCUGACUAUGAGGCUGUCAGCAUCACUGUUGUUAUGGAUUUAUGGUUGUCCCUGGCUGCUUCUAAUCUUAAAAGCUUUCUCAUGGUCAGGGUAAAACUAAUUAUUGAGGAGAUUGAAAGAGAAGAGGCUGUUUUGCUAGAGGAUCUAUAUUCAAUGGAUAGGAAGUUUGCAGAACACUAUAAUGUAUGUUAUCUUAUUUUUCACGUCCUUUCACUUCCCUGUCACUCAUAUAGCUUUUUAUUUAAAUUUGCACUAUAGUUUGCCUUUUGCACUCAUCACUACUGUGUUUUUUCCCUCCCUUUCCUUUUUUGGCUGUAUGACCAUCUACGUAGGUUCUAGAGCAGAUACUUGGGGUUCUUGUCAAGUUUGUUAAGGAUCUAAAGUUGCAACAUCAGCAUCAAUACGUAAGCCUGCUAAAUUAUCCAUCUCCUGCCAAAUAUAAGAGAUGAGGUAUGAUAGUUAUUCUUUUAUUCCUGAGGUGCAAUGUUUGAUCAUGCUCCUUUUAUUUUCUUAUGUGAAACAGGAUGAACUAAGGAAAACUUGGCUCUGUAAGAGGUGCCAAACAAUGAAUGCAAAAUUGAGGUGUGUCUCUACAUUCUUUUUUUUUAAAAAAAAAUCUUAAAUUGUGGUCGAAAAGUUGCCAUUCCACUACUCAUGCUCUUAUACUCUUCAUUUUUUCACUGCUAUGGGUCCUGUCAAUUUUAUGCCGUCUCAGUUCAGGUUGAUACAUCAAAACCAACUAACAAUAUUGAUUAUGGAGCAAGUAUCAUUAGAUAGACAAGUACAUACAUGGUACCAUUGUAGUUGUAAUGCUCAAUGUGCGCGUUGCAGAGGGUGAGCAUCUGGGAGGCAUGCUUCUUUGUUAAAAUGUUUUGGAUGUUUAUUGUGACUGUUGAGGUUGGCUCCACCUUCAAGAAUGUUCAAAAUCCAAGCUUGAAAAGUUUAAAAAGCAUGAAUUUCAAUUUGAUAGCCAAUGCAUGCUUUGUUUAAUUCAACAAAUAAACAGUGACCACCUUUUAUGUAUCCAUUUUUUCUCGUUUUAUGUCCUUUUCCAGCAUGUCUGGCUUUCCUUUCUGCUCUAGUGCUUUUUGUUUUGCUUAACAGGUAGUCAUAAAGCUGCAGUCUUCCGUUAUUUGGAAUUUUUUUCAAUUUUGAAUUUCUUAUCCUUGUGGGACAGAAAAGGAAUGUGUGUUUGUGUAUGUUUGUGUCUUUUCUGUGCUAGCUGAUGGUUCAAUAGGUUCAGAUAUAUCCUUACAGUCUUCAGCAAUAAUCCAUGGUAAGAAACAUAUUCUAGCUCUUUGCCUAUUGGAUCAUUGUAUAUGCAGCCAUUACCCUUUUUAGAGUAACUAUUAUUUUAUUACAAACGUUUGUAGCUGGGCAUACUUGUCAUUGAUGUGGUGAGAUGGAUGUGUCAAAUAGGUGUCAGUUAUGAAAUCACCAAUAUGAGUGUCCUGUGAUGGCAUAGUUUAUUUUUUGUAUUUGUAAUGUUACAGCUUUUUACCUGCAAUCCAUUUCCUUCUUUUGUGCAAGGGUUUUAUCUUACAUAUAAGGAGUUACAAAAAGAUUAAAGAUUUGAUCUUCUCUUAUCCUGGUUACAUCAGAUAUGUGUCUCCUGAUGCUUCUUAUCUGACUUACUAAUGCGCUGUAUUAAUGACCGCACUGAAUGUCUCCUAACUCAUUGCAUAUGACAAGCUUGGCUCAAGGUUUUCCAACAUGGCAGUGGAAUAUCUAUAGCUUCUGUAUGUUAAUCAUUCCUUAAAUAGAAUUUCCACUGUAAAUUAUAUGCUAAGUUUUGCAACAACCUUAAACUCCAGAGCGUGCAUGCUCUUAUGAUGUAUUUAUUAAGUAGUUUAGUCUAGUUGCAUAUGGGUGAACUUUCUUCUUCAUGUAUUGCUGCUCUGUAGAGCUUUAUGUGUUUUCUGACUUAUGGUUAUAGCGUUCUGGAGCAUCUCCUCUUGCGGGAUACUUACACUAAGGAGUCUGUGCCGGCUCUGCAUAGGAUUCGGUAAUUUUUUAUUACCUUUUAUGUUGGUUAUGGAUUUAAGGAAGUGAUUUUUUUUUUGUGAAUAAACUCACCACUUGUUGCAGGAAAUAUCUCUUGGAAGCAACAGAAGAAGCAUCCAUCGCCUAUAAUAAAGCAGUACGGCUUGUUUAGAAAUUUCUUGAUGUUUUUUAAAAUAAUCUUUUACAGCAAAGGUCAUCUGUUUUUCUUAUAACUCAUUUCUUUUGUAAUUUUUGGUAAUGGUUAAAUGUUACAAUGAGGGCCACAUGGUAAAUAUGGAUUGCUUUGUACAUCUGAUUCUGAUGCCUGCCCUCUGCUGUGCUGAAGUUCAAUUUACUUUAUUUUGCAACCAAUAGAUGUUCCUGUCUUUUGUCAGGUUACACGUUUGAGGGAGUAUCAAGGUGUGGAUCCACAUUUUGAUACGAUUGCCAGACAAUAUCAUGAUAUUGUAAAGGUAAAUUUAUCUUUGCAAUGUUUAUUGUCAAUCAAGUCAGCUUUGAUGGUCCCUUCUGGUUACAACAAUUGAACUGCAGAAAUUGGAAGGCAUGCAAUGGACAAUUCACCAAGUUGAAAUGGAUUUAAAGCGCUCACUCGAGGGCCCAAACUCUUGAGUCUAUUCUGAGAACCGGUAAGAUUCCUAUUGAACUUAUUCUUGCUUUAGGUCUAAAAGUUAGUAGUUCUGAUAAUCUGAUUCAGAGUGGCAAAAAAUGAUAUAUUUAUGCUACAUAUUGCUUAACCCUGAGCUCAACUUUCUCCUAUAGCCCUAUUUAACAUACCAGUGAUAAUGCCAAUGCACAUUCUUAUAGCCAUGUGCUAUUCCUGCCUUGUAUAAAUGUUAAGAUAUUAACUAAAGUAACAUUGCGAAACAAGAUGGAUAGAAAUCCUCAUGUUCCUGGACUCAUGCUGAUUGGGCAGCAUUCAAUUAUGGAAAUCCUCCUUCCUGUGCAACAGGGUUGUUGCAUUUCCGGAAAGCAUUUCUUGGGAUAGCUAAAACAACUUGAUCAUGACGGCAUAAUUUCAGCGGUAUCUCAUUAAUAGUAGCCUUCUGGGUCUUAGAUGAUUUCCAAGAUUCCUUUAUUGGAUAUAUUCCUGAUCGAUACAUGUAGACUAGUUGGGAGGAUAAUUUUACUUUGCAUUGAAAAAAACAUUUGAUGCUACUCCUUGCUCAUAUAUUUAAAUUGAUUUUGACAAAUAUGCAGUGAUGUCUUUGACUGUGUUGUUGUAUUCCAAGUAGCAAGUCCUUCAUAUAAUGCUAGAAGCACCUGCCCUGUUUUAGACCAGUUGUCACCUCACUCUGAUUUCUCUUUCUGGUUGCAUGAUAUGCGAACAGUAGCAUUUGUUGUACAACUUGUGUCAGAAACUUCCAUGCACCAGUGAUUGGCCCAUAUCUGCUAGGUAACAGAGAUGGCCAACUAUUUUCAACAGAUGCAGCCAUCCAAAUGUAGAGUUUGCGGAACCCUGUAUAAUGGAGACGAGUUGUUUACAGCUUUCAUCUGUGUCUUGGCAACCUUAAUUCCCAUGUAAAUCUGCAUUGAAUUGCUUUUUGACUGUUUUUGUUGGAUAUUUUUGCACUAAGAUUGAAAUCACAUACAGUCAUUGAUGCAGUUCUACCCUCUUUUUUUUUUUUGCUAUUCUACAGGGUCUGGUUUUGGUCACUUGAAUCAUUUAAGUGGAGAAACUUAUUUCAGUAUUUUUGCUUUUCAUUUCUGGUUCCCUAUUGUUGUUGUACUUUUGAUCCAUAGCUACGUGAGCCAAGAUGUAAGCGACAUGAAGUGUCUAUGAAGCUACUUUUGUAUUCCCGUGGUAUGUAAUUAUUCAUGUAAUGUAGGAGUUCUGUUUCACUUGCUACAAUUUAUUAUUUCGUUCUUUGCGAUCAUAGACUUUGACUGUUAAUGCAGAAAGCAGUGUAUGCCAUAGUGCACCCUCCCUAUUCUCUGGAAGAGAAAGAAACAAGACUUCGGUUUGGAAGACCGGAGAUUCUGGAUGCAAUUUUAAGUGAAUUCUGCGGUGGCUGCACAGUGAAACAAUAAAUCUUGGUCUAGCUUUACAGGACCAGUUCAAAGCUUGUAAAACUUGGGUAUCUUAGAAUAAUCCAUAAAUUUAGAGUAGCACUUAAGUAUAGGCGAGCGCAGGGGUUUGCUGGCUUUGCUUUAAAAUUCAUGAUAUUAUGGUUGGACUUUUCAAUUGAGAUUGUUGGAUGGAUGGAUGAAUUAGUGGAAUUAGAUCAGAAAGUUUGUCAGUGGAGUGUAGCCAGCCAAAAUUUAAAUUGAUGAUGGUUGGUGGUUGUCAUUGGAAGCCACCGGACAGGUCACUCAGUUAAUGAUUCUUUACAGAAUUAAUUUAAAUUUCCUACUUGAGUCUCUCUAUCAUCUAGCAUGAUUUGUUACACUGGAAGGGAGUUUUUUUUUUUUCUUCUUUUUUUGGGGGGUAGCAGCUCGGGGAAUACUUCCCAAUUUACAAAGUUGAAGUAUAGCGUGGCUGCAUUUCAGGAAGAUAUCAACCACUUGCCUCAAACUGAACUAAUAAACUCAGCUCCUGUAGGACAUUAGCAUCUGAGACUCAGAGCCCCAGAGGAGACCAGAUUAGCGAAGUGUGCUGGUUGAUCACUGAUGUCCUCUAGGAAAAGGCAGUCUUUAAAGCCUCGUUGGCAGCAGUUCAGUCAACUAAUG